CUUCGUUUGGGCAUGUGUCGAAAAUUCUGAAUCAACAAGAAAACUUGUAGUGAUCUUCGAACAUUCUUUUACUUCCAAGUAUUCCAGUGUUGGGAACACAAAAUGAUAACACUUCGGUAUGAACCUCGUGAGGCUAGGUAGCCUUUUAAGGAAUAACCGUUUCAGUUGAGGAAGUAACAUCUCUUUCUCAUCUUUGAGGUCUGUCUCAUCUUCAUGUCCAAAUAGUUGCUCCAAUUUAGAAGCUCCUUCUACUUUGAACUGUUCGAGUUUGAGAAGACAAUGAGCAACACUAAUAGGGAAGAGAGUUUUCAAGCUGUUGCAACCUAUGAUCCAUAUUUUUCUUAAAUUAGGGAAGCUUGUAGGUUGAAGAGGAACAUUUGAUGUCGAUGUUGAACUUUGGCCCUCAUAAAUUAUUUGCUCUAAUGCCUCACAUCCCUUCGCACACAGGAAGCUCAAAUUUGAUAAAUGUUGGGCAAGCAUAGGUGGGAAAACGUAUCUCAAACUCUUGCAGUCAAUCAACAUCAAAAUUGUGAGAUUUUGAACGCUUGCUAAUUCAGUGGGACCUUUCCAUAUAACCUGUAACUCAGAUAAGUCCUCUAAGUGUAGUGCCUUUAGAUUGCGAAGGAGGUAUCCACCUUGGAGUUUAAAUAUCUCUUGACAAUUCCCAAUUGUCAAAUAUUCUGAAUCGGAUGACCUCUGUCUCAAUUGGGGGCCAACUCUAUUGUACAAUUGGCUAUUAUUCCCAACCUUAAAGAGGCCCAGCUCCUGUAAAAACAUGCUCUAAUUAGACUAGAUUGUGAAUGCUGGAUGUAAAUACAUACUUCUUUUUUUAUCUAAGAAGUAAAUACUAGACCAGAAUUCAAGAACUCUAACAAAAGCUCAUAUGUAGCCCUUAAGCAAGGAUUUCUUUUUUGCCUUCCUUCAAACAUGAAUUCCUGACUCAAUUUGAUUGCUUGAAUUUAAUAAGCAUACAAAUUUUGAGAUCAUAUAUGUAUUGAAAGUUGUAUGGAUCAAUAUAAUCGAAGUGAUUAGAGUAAGAAUGGUUUGAGAUCAUUAUGAUUUAAAAUAGAAAGAGCUUAAUUUUGAACUUUAACUAAAUAAUUAAGAUGAAUCAAGUCAUCUUUGAAGAUCUCUGCAGAAAGUAGAUUGCAAGCUUGAUAUUCAGAAUGAGGUAAAUCAUUCAGUGAGUGUGAGAGAGAAGGAAGUACGUUUAGUUGAGCGAACAUCGUAGCUGGUAGUUGACCAGUAAAAUGAGUCAGUUGGGGACACCUAUACACUUUCAACUUUUCCAAAGACGGCAAUGUAAUAAAACAGUUUUCCGGACAGAAACUCUUCAAAUGCAUCAAAUUUUGAAGCACUAAUGAUUUCAACUGUGAGAGCACAAUAUCCUUUUCAUCCUUCUCCUUUGCAGUGCUGAAUAUUUGUUGUAAUUGAGAGGAAUCAAUUAUGCAAAGGCUUUUCAACUGUGGAAGGCAUAUUCCAAUCUAGAACAAUCAAUUAUCCUAAUCGUUGUUAAUCAAGGUCUAAUACCCUGGACCAAGACACGUAAAGAACUAAUUAGUAGUGUCCAAGCCUACCAAAAAAUCGCAUUAGCGGUGGAUAAAUGUUCAAACCUGAACAAUUAAUCUCCCACACAAGGACUACAAUGCAGCCCGAAAGUUCAAAUGCCAAAUCCAAUGUCUUAACCUCAUUCCAUUGAAUUCUUAGUGUUCCGCUUAACGCCGCUUAAAAAUGUCCAAGCCAGGGCAAAAACCCCAAAUUAACGCUCCGAGUAAUUAUCUCCCACACACGGACCCUACAAUGCUGUCCGAAAGUUCGAAUACCCAUAUACAGAUGUCUGAAUCUUAUUUAAAUGAAUUCAGAACUUUAUCAUUAUCCCGCCAAAUUAGGAAAACAAAGCAAUCUGAACUCUAUUCCACCAAACCGAUUCCAGAUCAAGCACAACAUGUGCCACCUAAUGUAUUCAAAAUCAAAACACACCAAGAAAUAUCCCAGUGGAGUCCAAAUAUAAUAUAACUUCCUCCUUGCUAAGGCAUCCCAUCCAUACAGACUCCUAAUAAAUGAAGAAGGGAGAACAUAACUACAAGGCAAAAAAUUAUAAAUUCAAGGUAAAAUUUAUGUGUGGACAAAAAUGCCCAUUCAGGCAGGAGGUCAGCAUAAUUUCGAAAAACCAUAUAAAAAGUUCAUAUUUUAUCCACAAAAGAAUAAAAAUAAAAUAGAAAACCGAAAAAAAAAACCCUUGUUAUUCAUCUCUUGCAGCUCUCGCCCCAAAGCCCUUUCCACCACUAAUUCAUCUAUGAGGCAACUAGCAAGUUGCGAACACAUCAGGUACGUACAUCAAAUUAUCAUCUUAAUCAAUGGAAGUUGCAAUAUUGUAUUCUCUUUUGAUUAUAUCUAACACUUUUGAUGCAAGUACUUUAUGGCUUGAGUCAUCAAACCCCCCACCCCCCCACCCUUCUGGCCAAGCCUAAACAAAAUACUUAAGAGGAAGAAAAUAAUCUCAUUAGAAAUUGUUUUACAAAACUCAUAAAUACAAUCCGUACGUAGCUCUCGUAAUGUGCAGAUCCGUGAACUUGACCGCUAUAUGUGAAAUUUUAGAAAGUCAUCUUUAAUCUUUUUUUAUCUAAGUGCGAUUGGUCACCUAUUAAAUUUGCUUUAUUAGAUGAAAUCUUAAAUCGAUUUUAGGUCCAUCUAAAGAAUAAUAACCUAAUUUAUAAAUUUUAGAGUUGGGAUUCGAGAGUACAGUUAUGCACAAUGAAAGAUUACUACCAUCGUGACACUUAUUCCAUAAACAGUACCAUUUAAUCAUAUGUUAUCCUAUUUUAAGAUUAACUUUUGAUUUUAUUCUUCUGUUUCCUUAUUCAUUGUUUAUUGAUUUUAUUCUUUAUUUUAUUAGCAAGUUAAAAGUGUUUUAUUUGAUUUUAUGAGUGUGACGUGCACAUGAUGCAAGUAUGAAAUACAUGGUGCAAAAUCUAAACAAUGCCAAAUGAAAACCUUUUAUCGAAGAUAUUUUCCAAAUCUGCCCUUCAAACUGGUGAAAUCCAGAGAUACUCUCUUACUUAGGGAAAUGCUCGAGAACUUCACCCUCACAAGUUUAACAAGUAAAUCUCAUCAUUAGGGUAGUCAUUUGUAGAUAAGUGAAAAAUAUUGUUUUGUGAAUACAAACCCUAAUAUGAGUGAAAGCAUUUUAUUAAGAACAUUCUCUGAGCCCUCCCAUCAUAUUGGUGGGACUCGAAGGUGUUCUUUCACCUAAAGAAUUUUCAAAAAGAACUCGCCUUUGUAAAUCCCUUAAAAAAAUCCCAUCAUCGGAGCCUUGACUUGCGCACACAACAUAUCAAUAUGCCAUGACAUUUAAAUAAUGCAAUGAUGGUGCAUGAUGUGCUUAUAAAUUUCAAUAUUAAUCAUGAUUUAUUCCAUAUAUUUACUAUUACUAUAAUUUAUCCUUUUUUGUAGCUUUCCUUUUAUUAUUUUAUUGUUAUUCAUCUUAUGCUUUUUUAUUAUUUUUUUAUCCCUUUUUAACGUAUGUAUAUAUAUGUAUAUUAUUAUAUAUUUUUUCUUAAAAUAACAAAGCCAUUCGCUUACUUAUUAUUUUGUUUUUUCUUUAUGUCUAUCUAAUUGAUUUACUAUUAUUCUUUUUGUCUACCCUUUUCGUUUGCAAGAUUUUAAUUUUAAUUUUUAAUUAUCCUAAAUUAUUAUUAUUAUUAUUUAAUUUGUUUUAAUUUUUCUCUUAAAGCAACUCUACACUAUUUUAGAGCUACACACCUAUAGUUUUUUUUUGUAUUUAUUAUCAUUAUUAUUUAUUUUAUUUUAUUUUAUUUUGUUCUUAUGUUUUUUCAUUUGAUUAACAUUUUUUAUUAAUGUUUUUCAUGUUUAUUUAGGAUUAUAAUAUUGAGAUUUGAAAUUAAAAUCCUCCUAUCGUACUAGUGAAGUCUUAAUUAAAAUCUCUCACUUAGGAGAAUUAAUUCAAGAUUACGACUUCUUGUGUCUCAAACGAAUAUUCUAUCAUCGGUAUUAAGUCAAACAAUCAUCCUAUUUAUAUCAGUAAUUUUUUAUCUUAUACUAUUUUCAUUCUCUCUCUCCCUAUUUUACAUAAAGCUAUCUAUUUUAACCAAUUUGAUACUACCAUAUUUUGUUUCAUUACAUUUUAAUUUUAAUUUUUCCUAGUUCAUUUUCAUUCCCAUUUUAUAUCUAUAUAAACUUACAUAACUAAGUAUUUUAUUAUUAUGUCUAACAUUUCACCUUUUCCCAUGUUUUAUAUUUCUUCCCGGACAUAUUCUAUAUCUAAAUAUACAUUCCUUUUCUACAUAUAUAUAUAUAUAUAUUAAUAUAUUAUUAAUCUAAAUAAAUCUAUUUCUACCACUAAAUAUUUACUUUUCCUAUAUUUAAUAUCUACCUAAAUCUUUUUUUGUAAUUAAAUUUUUAUUUAUAUCUCUAUUUUUUAUCUACCUAAAUCUGUUUUUAUAACUAAAUAUUUUUUCUACCUAAUUUUAUCUUUUUUAUAUAUAACUGAAUAUAUAUAUAUAUAUUAUUAUUAUUUUUAUUGAAACUUAAAAUUAAAACCCUUUCAUCGUACUGGUCAAGCUUUAAUCGAAAUCCCUUGUUUAGAAAAAUUCAUUCGAGAAUGUGAUUUCUUGCCUUCUAAAUAAAUAUUCCAUCAUCGAUAUAAUUUAGUGUUCUCUCCAUUAGUACUAUCAUAUGUGUACGUAUAUUAACUACGAACCCUAAAUAUUACUUCCUUUUCUAUUCUAUUUCCUACUAUUCCUAUUUUUUAUGACUAAAUAUUUACCUUUUAUAUUUUAAUUCAUUAUCAUCAUUAUUUUAUAACCAAAUAUUUAUUUACUUUAUAUAGAUAUAUAUUUUUAUCUACCUAAAUACAUUUUUCUUACAACUAAAUAUUUAUAGAUUUCUACAUUUAUUAUAUUAUUCUUCUUUUACCUAAAAGGCAUUCUUUAGAUAUUUCGUUUUCUUCUCUCUNNNNNNNNNNNNNNNNNNNNNNNNNNNNNNNNNNNNNNNNNNNNNNNNNNNNNNNNNNNNNNNNNNNNNNNNNNNNNNNNNNNNNNNNNNNNNNNNNNNNNNNNNNNNNNNNNNNNNNNNNNNNNNNNNNNNNNNNNNNNNNNNNNNNNNNNNNNNNNNNNNNNNNNNNNNNNNNNNNNNNNNNNNNNNNNNNNNNNNNNNNNNNNNNNNNNNNNNNNNNNNNNNNNNNNNNNNNNNNNNNNNNNNNNNNNNNNNNNNNNNNNNNNNNNNNNNNNNNNNNNNNNNNNNNNNNNNNNNNNNNNNNNNNNNNNNNNNNNNNNNNNNNNNNNNNNNNNNNNNNNNNNNNNNNNNNNNNNNNNNNNNNNNNNNNNNNNNNNNNNNNNNNNNNNNNNNNNNNNNNNNNNNNNNNNNNNNNNNNNNNNNNNNNNNNNNNNNNNNNNNNNNNNNNNNNNNNNNNNNNNNNNNNNNNNNNNNNNNNNNNNNNNNNNNNNNNNNNNNNNNNNNNNNNNNNNNNNNNNNNNNNNNNNNNNNNNNNNNNNNNNNNNNNNNNNNNNNNNNNNNNNNNNNNNNNNNNNNNNNNNNNNNNNNNNNNNNNNNNNNNNNNNNNNNNNNNNNNNNNNNNNNNNNNNNNNNNNNNNNNNNNNNNNNNNNNNNNNNNNNNNNAUCAACCCCACAUAUGUGUAUAUGCCUUAUAAUCCCAUUUACGCUUCCAAGAUCUACCUUGAUUUGAUCAUUGAAUACGAUGCAGUAUCACAAUUUCUCAGAGUCAUUCCUUUGUCCUCAAUCAUCUUUCAUGCCUCUAUAUUGCUUUGUAUCCCAUCCUCAUACUUAUGUGACAUGUCAGUCAUGAGUCUAACUUGACUGUAUAGCCAUUUGCUCCUUAAGCUUUAAUGUUUUCUCAUUGCGAAAAGUCUUUCGAAUUUAUCACAUCAGAGUAUUCAUAAGGUGGAUACAUAUCCAUAUUUUAUAGUUCAAGGUUUAACGCAGCAAACAUUGUCUCAUCAUUAAAGUUCUACCGUUAUUUAUCGAUCAUAGCUCCCUUACACACUUACCUAUACAUUCCUGGGUUACCUACAAGCCACUCAUGGCCAUCCAACUUUUGCCCUCUUAUAGUAAGUCAAACUAAUAUAUUCUUUUAUGUUUUUUCAUACGCUAUCUUGAUAAAGUUUCACUCUUUCAUACGAAUAUAACAUCAUUCUUCCUUAACCAAUUUACAAAUUGUACUUCAAAUUGCAAGACUUAAAACUAGAUUCUCCUCAAGUACUUUUCAAUAUUAAUACUAAUAUCACUCUCAGCUUAUAGCUUCCUUUUUAUAAUCACAUAACUUAGUGCUUGCUUUUACAAGAUCCACGACAGAACUUCUCUUGAGUAUUUCUUUAGGGAUAUUUAUCUUAAACUUAUGUCUCACAACAUGUGAUCACUUAACCCCUAACUUAGCCAUUUAUGUGGCAUUCUCUUCGGGGCCCACUCUAAGGUAUUGCUAUAUCUGUAUCGAUCCCCUUAGCUUCCUGACCCUACAGGACCGCAUACACCAAGUAUCGAAUCCCAAACCUUUUACUUCCCCCGAAGGGAACGCCUUUAACUUAUUCAUAUCGAUACCUUUCAAAACCUUAAAACUCUAAUUACCAAAACUUAGAAUCAAGUUCAAUGACCUUGGGUCAACUCGUGAAUUCAACUUCACAUCUGUCUCAUUUUAUUUAUUCGUCUUAGAUAUGAAGUGUUCUUAGCACCGCGGCACGGUGGCUAUUGGAGUUUACUUGAUCAAUGUUAUUCAUCUAUAUUUAAGGUUACUACACUAAUCAUUCUCAACCGUUUGGUUUCCCUUCAAGCUUACAUCACAAUUUUCAUAACCAUUUAUAUCGUCUUGUGCUUAUCACAUAUAAUAAGUAAAAUAGAUACUUUCAAAUUCAUCUCAUCCUAUUCAAUCUAACAUGACUUAACCUAACUCGGGGCCACGCAGUGUCAGUGUGGAUUUCUUAAAACAACUUUAAAAUCGAAAACUUUAAAAUCCAAAGCUUUAAAAUCAAAAUAUUUGAUCUUUAAACCAUGCUCUGAUACCAACCGAAUUGUCACGACCCGAAACUCUCAUCGAGCCAGUGACAACUGCCGCGACGUCCCGAUAGGCACUCAUUACCCCGAAUGCCGAUCGAAACCCCGCAAAGCUUAGCAUCAGCUUCCGCAUCUCCCCAGUGAGCGACAGUUAUUAAAUCUCACAUUUCAAAAAAAUCAUAAGUCAUUUCUAAAUCAAAACAAUAAAAUAUUACUUUUUGGCUCACAGGGGUAUUUUCGUCAUUUUUCUUCAAAAUUACCGAAACUCGCCAAAAACAUGGUGUAAAAACUAAAUAUAUUCAUACAUACUUUAAAUCAAAUAACUGAAGAAUAAAAUUACUUUUACAGUGAUACGUGGGCCCCCAACUGACUAAGAAGAUGUAGGGCUAUGAACCUUUACUUUUUAGGAUACAACUCCGAGAUUAAUUCUCGUCUUAAUCAACUAUCAACAAAUUAUCCUGAGCCUGAAAAAUGGAUAGGAAGAAGGGUGAGAUUAUGAUUAUAUAAUCCCAGUGAGUAGACAAACACCAUCAAAAUAAUCUAAAGCCGAGUAAUAGGAGACAAUUAAAAUAAUUCAUCCCAAUCCAUAUAAAUAAUUGGAUUUCAUUCAAUUACUCAACAUGGCUUAUGCACUUUUCAAAAACUUGGCCCUUGCCAAAAAUCCAUUCUCGGGGAUACCCCGCGGAGGCAUCUUACCGAGACCGCCAAGGUUGUUUAUUGUCACACACACAAACACAUUUUACCUCUGACAACACAGCCGUUCCUUGGCGUUGGCUGAGUCUCACUCUCACGUGGUGGCCUGAAGGUGAGGUGCACUCAAAUCCUACCUCGGGAGUUAUCCUACGCGCCUCUCCAAUCGAGGUAAGCUCAAUAAUUGGGAACCGUGCCCCUCUAAUUAGGCUGGCCCACGGAACCCCCGUCACUGCAGUGCCCACUUUAUAANNNNNNNNNNNNNNNNNNNNNNNNNNNNNNNNNNNNNNNNNNNNNNNNNNNNNNNNNNNNNNNNNNNNNNNNNNNNNNNNNNNNNNNNNNNNNNNNNNNNNNNNNNNNNNNNNNNNNNNNNNNNNNNNNNNNNNNNNNNNNNNNNNNNNNNNNNNNNNNNNNNNNNNNNNNNNNNNNNNNNNNNNNNNNNNNNNNNNNNNNNNNNNNNNNNNNNNNNNNNNNNNNNNNNNNNNNNNNNNNNNNNNNNNNNNNNNNNNNNNNNNNNNNNNNNNNNNNNNNNNNNNNNNNNNNNNNNNNNNNNNNNNNNNNNNNNNNNNNNNNNNNNNNNNNNNNNNNNNNNNNNNNNNNNNNNNNNNNNNNNNNNNNNNNNNNNNNNNNNNNNNNNNNNNNNNNNNNNNNNNNNNNNNNNNNNNNNNNNNNNNNNNNNNNNNNNNNNNNNNNNNNNNNNNNNNNNNNNNNNNNNNNNNNNNNNNNNNNNNNNNNNNNNNNNNNNNNNNNNNNNNNNNNNNNNNNNNNNNNNNNNNNNNNNNNNNNNNNNNNNNNNNNNNNNNNNNNNNNNNNNNNNNNNNNNNNNNNNNNNNNNNNNNNNNNNNNNNNNNNNNNNNNNNNNNNNNNNNNNNNNNNNNNNNNNNNNNNNNNNNNNNNNNNNNNNNNNNNNNNNNNNNNNNNNNNNNNNNNNNNNNNNNNNNNNNNNNNNNNNNNNNNNNNNNNNNNNNNNNNNNNNNNNNNNNNNNNNNNNNNNNNNNNNNNNNNNNNNNNNNNNNNNNNNNNNNNNNNNNNNNNNNNNNNNNNNNNNNNNNNNNNNNNNNNNNNNNNNNNNNNNNNNNNNNNNNNNNNNNNNNNNNNNNNNNNNNNNNNNNNNNNNNNNNNNNNNNNNNNNNNNNNNNNNNNNNNNNNNNNNNNNNNNNNNNNNNNNNNNNNNNNNNNNNNNNNNNNNNNNNNNNNNNNNNNNNNNNNNNNNNNNNNNNNNNNNNNNNNNNNNNNNNNNNNNNNNNNNNNNNNNNNNNNNNNNNNNNNNNNNNNNNNNNNNNNNNNNNNNNNNNNNNNNNNNNNNNNNNNNNNNNNNNNNNNNNNNNNNNNNNNNNNNNNNNNNNNNNNNNNNNNNNNNNNNNNNNNNNNNNNNNNNNNNNNNNNNNNNNNNNNNNNNNNNNNNNNNNNNNNNNNNNNNNNNNNNNNNNNNNNNNNNNNNNNNNNNNNNNNNNNNNNNNNNNNNNNNNNNNNNNNNNNNNNNNNAUAAUAAAAUAAUAAAAACAUGACACAUGGCAUUUCCUUAUUGGUUCAAAUUUUAAAUAUUUGACUUUUAAUUCUUUAAUUCUCCACCACACAUUUCUUAUGUUUAUCCAUUUCCAUGAUGAAUAAAAUCCCUUGGUCUUGACAAGUGUCGAGGUAAAAAUUUACCGAUUUACCCCCGGGGUGGUAAAAUUAUCAUUUCACCCUUAUACUCCAAAUUAUAUCGGAAUUAAAAUUUUUCAUUUCUAAACUUCAAAUCAUACUCCAAUAAGUCAAAUAGGACUAAAAAAUCUUUUCUAAAAAUUUCCAUUUUGUCCCUAAGUGCAAAUGAUCAUUUUGCCCUUGAAUAGUGAAAAUUUCGGUUUGACUCCAAAUUGAUCCUCGAACUCCGAAUUACCAUUUUGAGUCAACCAUGAACUGUGAAACUCUUAAUUUCACCUUAAAAUUCCUAUUUGAACUAGUUCGAGGCUUAAUCGACUUAAUGGUACCAUUAGGGGCAAUAUCGUCUUUUAACGAUUUCUCAAACUUCCUAAAUAUGUAACCAUUCUAUUGAGCAUGUAAAUGACGUCGUAAUUAUUUUAUAGAAUAGGGUUUGACACACUAAAUGCUUACCACUUGAAUCUGUUUAGUUGCACACCAUCCAUUCAAUAAAAGUUGUUUUAUUAAUAUCAGGUCUAUAUAUAACACUCAUUAUGUUCUCAUUAUCAUGAAAAUAAAUAUUUUGUUGUUUUGGUAAAUGAACUAUUAAUCUUUGGAUAGUUGGUUCCUUAUGGUGUAUUGGAAAGGCAAAAUUUCUCUAACAUGCUUAAUAAGUUGAUAGGUAUCUACAAUCUAAAUAAGUUGUGAUAUCAUCUAUUUUCAUAGGUGUAUCUUGUUAAUUUUGUUGACUAUUUUAAUUUUUGUCUUGUAAGUUCUAUUCAAUGUUUGCAUUAGUAUCACGUACAAUUACUCUAGCUCGAUCAGAUCUUUUAUUUAUAUACUUGAAUAGGUACUUUAUAACUCUAAAUUGUUCACAAAUUUCAACAAUAAUGUGUGCUUAAUAUUUGACAACUAGGUCUGCAUUAUAAGGAACUACAUAUUUAUUGUCUAAUUAAAUAUUGUUCUUGGUAGUUACAUUUUGUGGAACAUUUCUCCUUUUAUAUAUUGGAAAUCCAUCUUCAUUUAUUGUAAUUCUUGAUUAGAAAUCUUUUGGAUAAUAUUUUGAACAAAAUCCUUUAGUCAUACAUGGAAAAUUAGGGUAUGCAAAACCACAUGGUCCAUGGAUCAUAAAUUCUGCUACAAAUUAGUGUGCAACAAGAUUUGCAAAUUUGUCUGACAAUUCAGCUGAUAUAACUUUGUCAACAUUUUGAGAGGAUGAGCAUUUAUAAUCAUGAUGCAACCAGAGGAAGAUAAGCACAUGCAGCAAUUCUCUUUUUUGGAAUUCGAUGAUGUAAGUCAUUGGAUUGUGAAAAGUUAAGAAUAAUUACUUAGGGUAGAAGAUAUGUUAAAUUCUUAAAACUAAGUUCAGUGUGGUAAUCGGUGUAAAAUUUUUUAAUAAAAAGUAAACAAAAUUGUGUCUUACCAGCUGUGACAAAACCAAAGUGUUUUUUCUUCAUCAAAUCAUCCAUUAAAUAAUGAAGUUUCAAUCUAAAAACUCUUGAUAUUAAAUCGAGUCUAUCAUUUGGUUUUAAUUUGAUUUAGGAUUAAACUUAAUGCACUUUGAAUCUCUUCCCAUUUAACAUUGCAUCCGUAAUACCUAUAGAUGGCCAUGGAAUCUUAGUAAUUUUGUAAUAAAUAUCCAAGGCCUCCAGUAAAGCUAGAUGGUAGCAUGGCACAUUUUCUUAUGGCAUUUGCAUUAUUGUCUUCUCUUGCAAAACCAUCGUUUAGACCUCUAUACAACUCAGAUCUUAAAUUUUUUUGAUUAUUUCUUAUGUAUAAUAAUCUGUCUUCUUCUAUAGUCGUAUAUGCAUCUAUUACAAACUGUUGUAGCAAUCUACCACCUCUUAACUAUGUAUUUUUUAAAGUUGAUUGUUGCUGAAUUAUAUAUGCAUAAUAUUCUCACAUUGUUACAUUUUUAUGUUUUGGUUUUUUUUCUAGCUAUUGAAUGUACGUAGUUUAAAUUAGUUGUACAACCAUCUUCUCUAUAAGAGGAAAGAAAAAGGUAUUGUACUACCAUGAAAGAAGGAUGCAAUUCACUUAUUUGUUUAAGCCCUUCACUUAUACAAUCAACUAUUAUGUCUUGACGGUCAUCAUGUUGUCCUAAAUCACCUACUAUUAAACCAGCAAUUUCAAAAGUUGUGAGUGAUCUAUAAUUUAAUUGUGAAUCAAUUCAAGAUGCUAUAAGUCUAAGUUCAAGAGGGGCAAAAUUUGUACUUGUUAAUCUUUCUCAAGCCAUCCUAAAGAUUUUAACACUUUGGUUAUUAUCAUCAAACAUUUUCAUUAAACCUUCAACGAUAGAUAUAUCAAUGGCAUUAUUGUUGUCAUCAUUUCUAAAACUUGUAAUCUGUUUGAGAUUUCAUUCUUAAUGUCAUAGAUGUAUAGUUGAGCAAACUUAAAUUAAUUACCAGGCAUGGGCAGUAAAGAUCCUAUUCUAUGAUAAGUCUGAUCGUUAAUUUUGAAAAUAUAAUGUCCUAUCCUAUUGUUUAUUGAUUUAUCAAUUUGUGCUCCUAAUGAAGCCAAUUGAAACAUAUUAUUAUACAUUCUUAUAUAUAUAUAUAUAUAUAUAUCUAAAUUUGAGAUCUCUAUGAGUUGUACUAUCAUUAAGGAAAUUGUUUAGAAAAAACAGUGUUUCUCUAAAAGAAAGUAUUUGGCAACAAAAAUUAAAAGUUGGAUUCCUAUUUUCAUUUGAAAUAUCAAAUCUUUUUUCAUACUACAUAUAAGCCAAGCAAAAAUGACAUAUAAUUAAGCACUCCAAAAUAAAAGUAGUGUGGCAACUUCCUAUCAUGUGCAUCACCAACAAAAAUGAAAUAUAUCAAUUAUUAUAUUUUAAAAAUAUAUUAUAAUCAUUUAAUACAUUUUAUUGUGCAUUUCAUAAAACUUACGUAAUUUCUGUUGCUACUUCUGUCACAUGGCUUAUGAGUUUCAGCCAUACAGUCCGAAGAUUGAUAAUUAAAACUUUUGAUUUGACCUUCAUAAAUUCAUGUGCACAACAUCUUAAUUCAGUAUUAGCUAUACCAUAAUUUCCUAAUUAAUUAACAAUUAAGUAAAUUAAUAUGUACAAAUUAUUGAUAAUUUAUGAAAUGAGAAGUUUACCAAUAAGAUUGGCAUGGAAAGGAUUUGUCAAUCGAGUUAAUGAAGCAACAAAAUCAGUAAGAUGAUCAGCCGAAGAGAAAUUAUGAGUUAUGAUUUCAGCACUCCCUGUAAGAUGGUUACUCGAACUAGUUGCAGGAAAAGUUGUGAAAUUGAUUUGGCUUGGAUUGGGUAUAACGUUUGGUGAAUUUACACAAAAAUGAAUUCUGAUUGAGUCCACCAAAGUUGUUUCCAAUUCACUGUGGGCAUUUACAGUAGAAUGCACUGUGACAUGCCCAGCAGGAGGUAUAUUAAUAGCAUUGAUUUUGUUUUUUUUUUUUACAUUGGUUGAAAUGAGGAGAGGUUUUAGCUGUCACACCAUUCACUCCAUUUGGUUCAGGGAAACAAUGGCUACCUUGUCUUCUUAAUUGAUUGUUAUGAUCAGUUACACAACUAUAACUAUUAAAUUUUUUUCUAAACUUGGAAAUUUUUUUGGAUCUUAAUAUUUUUAACCUAUUAACUCUAUUUUGCUUUAUUUGAUUCAUUUUUUCUAUUACCACAAAUGAUCCUAAUGUUAUAAUGCAAAGUAAUAAAACAGAAAAUAAUAUAGUAAACAGUUAUAAAUAAUUAAUUAAGUAAAUACACAUCAUCAUUAAACAGAAUUUUGCAAUAACUAAUAUAAUAAAUACAUAAAUAAAACGGAAAAAAGAUUUUCAAAACUGAAUUGAAAUAUUUCGGAAUAUUUGCUAUUAACGUGCAUCGAUUGUUAAUACUAAAUGAAUGAAGAGCCUGAAACACAUUAGGCGAAACCAAAACAUAUUGGAAAUAAAAUUUAAGCAUUUCAAUUUAAACAAUUUUUUUUUAAAAAAAAGUUGGAAUAUGCGUACAUGAUUCAACAUUACAUUGUAAAUUCAAUAUAUAUAGUUGACAUAAAAUAGACAAUUUUGUAUGCAGUUCUGUUUGCUUUGAUUUCAUCGUAAAUAAAGAUGAGAAUACAAUUAAAUAUAAUCAAGCAUCCCAGGCAUAAAUCUGAUUUGCAUAUUGUUGGUCACGGUCAGCCAUGUGCUAGCAAUAUCAAUCUAAUUUGCAUAAGAAAUAUGCAUAAGUAAUAAGUUGGGGAAAAAAUCAACACAGAGUGAAAAAAACAGAAGCAAAUGAUAGGUUGAGAUUGAAAAGAUAAGUCUAAUCUAGAGAUUGGAAAAUAACAAAGAAAGAGUAAAUCUUGGUCAAACAAACAUGAAAAUAUCUGUAUUGCAAAGUAGACGUAAAUUGGGCAGAACAAAUGAAUCAUCAUAUUUUAGAAACAAAGUAAAUAUAAUUGAUGUAUAUAAGAGAAUAUUGACUUUACAAUGGUUGCGACAUGCAUUACUUGUCAAAACAGAAGGAAAGAAUAAUUAUAUGUUUAUAUAUAGUGCCUGUCAUGGGAUAAAAUAAUUAUAUUGUCAUCAAAUAAGCAAAAUUUGUGAGAGAAAAAUUAUUCUUGCGAUCACUGAAGGAGAGGUCACUCAUUGCAGAGUGUUGAUUUUGGCUGCACGCCUAUAGGCAAAAAGUCAAUAGAAAAAAACAAGAAGAAAAUAACUAGGAACCAACUGCUCCACAAAACCUCAUGAGGAAAAACGUAAGAGUUUUAAAAAAAAGAAAUAUGCAUGAACGGUAGGAAAAUUACGGCGAAACAUGUGCUUUACAAAUAGCAUUCACAUUCAAAAACAUGUUUCAAUAGAAUAUGGCCCCUUGAACCUGACCUGAUGUCCUAAAGCUUGGUUGAAUAAGCGAUUGCUUCAUUCAAGUUCACUGCAAAGGAAAUUCACAAAAAAUGAAAAAGAAAACAACUGACAAAUUAUUAAGUAACUAGAAAAUAUAAUUUCAAUGUUAACUUUAUCUGAAUAAGCAAAAACGAAUAAAAAAUAAUAAAAUAGCAAAAAAAGCAAAAAAUAUAAAUUAAUAAUAAAAGAACAUAACAUAGUCAGUUGAUCGAGCGAAAAAACCAUUGUUGAUCAUAUAAAUACACAAAGCUGAAGGCAGGCGAAAAAAAUUGUACAUUCAUUGUCAAGGUGAAUAUGAAAUCACUACUUUUUUGCUGUGAAUAGAAAAACAGUAAAAAUUCAUAUUUUUUUUAUUUUUUUUGGAUUCAAACCAAUCGUAUGAUUUUCAAUUUAUAAUUUUUAUUAUUUCAUAUUAGCAAAGCAAUUUUCCAACUAUGGCUCUAAAAUAUAUAACAUAAUAAAUAAUUAUUUUAAUAUUAUAUAUUUGUUCCUCAUAAUUCCUCAACUUGGACUGAAGUUUUCCAAGAAGGCAUGGGCAAUUGAAAAAGCAGUAGAAAAAUUACAGCAAACCAUAUGCCUUACAAACAGCAUUCACAGUGAAUAACAUGUUUCAGUAUAAUAUGACCACUUGAACCUCACCUGAUGUCCUAAACCUCGGUUCAAUAAACAGUCCUUUCAUUCAAGUUCACUGCAAAGGGAAUUCACAAAAAAUCAAGAAACGAGCAGUCAAAAAAUAUAAACCAAUAAGUAUAGAUAAUACAAAAAUAAAGCAAAACAAAAAACAAACAGGCUAAAAAAAAAAAAGGAAACAAUUAACUUUGAAACUAAAGAUAAUCAAUUAAUAAACCAAAAUCAUUAAGUACAUAGAAAAUAUAAUUUCAACGUUAACUUUACUUGAAUAAGCAAAAAUGUAUCAAUAAUGAUAAAAUAGUCAAAAAGCAUAAAAUAAAAAUCAAUAAUAAAAGAACAUAACACGUUUAGUUCACUAAGCCAAAAAGACCAUCGUUCAUCACAUACAUACACAAAGCCAUAACAAAUUAUAAACAAACCAAUCGAAAAUAAAAUAGAACAAAGAUCACAAACGUUAUACAAACAAAUAAUAAAUAACUAUUUAUCAGAAAUUGUUACUCAACAAAAAUAUUUAGAAGGCAGAACAGAAAAUUGAAAAGAAACAAACAGAAAUAUGCAACAAAUUUUACAGACAAAUAAACCAAAAAUCCUCACAUGAUACUCCAAAUGAAUCUCAAGAGAGCAAAACAGUUAGAAAUCCGAAGCAAGACUGAAAGGGCACAAACAAAUGAAAGAAAGUGAGAAAGACCCAAGCAAAAAUCCACCCUCCACAGAAGUCAAAAAGAACACGGGCAUGAGCCUGCCCAAAGCAGCUCGGGGGAAAACGAAAAGAACGCGGGCAUGAAGCUUGCCCGACACAGCCCGAAGGCAAAAAGUGCCUCCGGAAUUGCCAAUUGUCAACAUAUUAAACAGACCACUAAUAAACAAAAGGAGAGGCCACAUGAAAACCGUACAAAACCUCCUUUAAAUGAUAGUUAUAGAUGGAUGGGUUGGGCUAGUUUGGAUUGGGCUUAGAUCUAAAUAUGAACUAAGCUUGGUUGAACUCAUGAACACCUCUAACUUAAAAUUUCUUACUAGUUUGAGAUAUGUUAGUUUGCGAUAAUAUCUAAAGGAUUUUUAAAUUAUUUAAAAAAUUUAAAUAAAUUUUUAUUCUUUUAUUAUAAUCAAUUAAGUCAAUCUCUUUUUAUAUUGAGUCAAAUAAAUAUUUAUCAUUAAUGAUUAACUAAUUAUUAUUAAUUAAAAUGUUAAUUAUCAUUUUAUAGCACAUAAUGUUGACAUGGCAAAUAAAUAUGUUAUAAUGUAUGAUGACAUGAUAUAUUGAUAUAGCAUGAUGACAUAGUCAUGUGGUAUUUUCUAUCCUCAACAUCAAUAAUUAUGUCAGCAUCACGUUCGCAUAAAUUUACAAGUGACAUUUUGACAAAUAACAAUUAAUUAACUAUUAAUAUAAGAGUUUAUUCGAUUUAAAAUAAAAAUACAAUGAUAUCUUUUUUAACAACAAAAAGUAACAAGAUCUUGGUUGAAAACUCAAUUAGUAAGCUUGGAUUACAACUCCUCAAAAUGCACCAAAUCAACAAAAAACUAAUCUUAGACCUCAAUUCUUUGAAACCACAGCUUAAAUCUGCCCUGCACUUCUGUUUGCACUAAAAGCAACCCACAGAAGAUUUUCCGGCCUUAUUACCCCCUCUUUGGCAAUUGGUUUACUCUUGUAUUCACAUCUCUUAGAACAUGUUGAAUUCUCCAAUUCCUUAUACCAUUUUGCAGUUUCUCAAUGUCAAUCAACAAUCUUCUUAACCUCCAAAGAACAAAGCUUGGCUAUUCCACCCAUUUCACAGCAUUCAAAUAAUCACUUUCCACCACCAACCGGUAAGAGAAUCCCCAAUCAGUUGCUUAUUCCAUUAUUGGAGAAAUUGAGAAAUUUUUAUUCACUUAUGUAGACAUCGUAAGUUAACCAAAGUAAUUGAAGAAAAUGUUAAAAUAAUUAUAAAGAUGAAUAAAGAAUUAAUUUGAUUUAAAUUUUUAACUUUGAAUUGAACUCAUAAUUAAAUUCACCUCCUUCAAUAAUCCUUUGAGAACAAUGAGUGAGAGAAGGUGGUUAGAUAGCUUAUGCUCAAUCUAUGUCUACAACUUGAGCAAGAAGGUUACUGGGUUGGCAAUCAAGGGUGCUUUUGACAGGAUGAAGAUGUGUUGAAGCCGAGGAAAAGUUAUCAAGACUGAGGGAGAUCAACAAUUUUCGCAUUUGUAAGAUAUAGGAAAGGUUCGAAAUGGAGAAAACUUUGCAGUGGGGAGGCCAUUAGUGAUUGGACAAUAAAAGGGUUAUGGUUAAAAGGGCAGAACCGAUAAGAAAGGCUUAGAAAGAAGAAAGGCUCAAAGAGAAGGAAGAAAGGUUUUAACAGUUGAAAGUAGAAGUGAGCGAAUGGAUAGAAUCAAAAGUAAGGAUAAGAGGACAUAUAGGGAUGUUGUGUUAGCAAAGGAAAAUAUUGCAGAAAUAAGUGAAAUCAUGUGAAGAAUAUAGAAAAUGGGGGAGAAAUCAAAGAAGAUGACAAACAAUGAGGAAAAGAAAGCCACUAUGGCCGAGGAUAAGAAAUUAGUCAGGCAACAAGAAGGACAACAUCAAAUUAGUAAAGAGGUGAUAACAAUUAGUACCAACAUUCCUGGUGAUGAGAUGAUGUGGGUUAAAAGUAAUGCAGUUAGGAGGCUAAGAGCUAAAGUGACAUGUGAUGCCAUUAAAAAAGGUUUGUUAGGUGAAGGGAUUAAAACCCAAGGAAGGAUCAUUGAAGGAAUGUUGUUACUUCUUAGCUUUGAAGAUCAGCAAAUGAUGGUGUAAGUUGAAUCUCUAGAUCCAUGUGUGAAUAUUAGAACACCAAAAGCAUAAACUGUUUAUUGCAUACCUGUUUGAUUCAUAGAGGUUGCUAUUGUUUGCAGUAAAAAGACGAAAAAUAUUUGGUUAGCUAGAUCUUCAUCUUCGCACUUCUCUAUUAUUUGUGGCAGCUUUCAAUGGACAGAUACCGUUAAGUUAAAAGAGAAGAAGGGACCUAGCAAUAUAUAUAUAUAAUAAAUAAAACCCCAAUACAAGACUCCCAUUAAAAGUGUAUUAGGUCAAAGCCUACAUAACCGUCAAACCACACUAACUUAAUAAAACGUGCAAAACCCAUCAUUAACUGAUUAUUUUAAUAUUAAUUAGGUACUCAUGUUUUGUCUCACAAUGGGACUAAACUAUCAAUCUAUUUUAUCAAAUCAAAAUUAUCAAUUAAUAGAAGCCCACAUAAUAGAAAAUUCUAACAGAUAGAGGCCAUGCUAGAGAAUUAUGCUGAAAUCUUUGAGUUUUGGUUUAUCUCUAUCACACCGCUAACUUUAGCACAUCAAGAAAAAGAUAUAAGACUAUGGGUAAAAUUAACAAAGGUCUCAGUAAAACUCUAGCAUGUCAAUACUUUCAAAGCUAUAGGGCAACGGUGAGAAGAAUUCCUGGCAACCGACAAGGAAACCUACAAAAGGAAAGGUUUGACCAACCCCACGUUUUUGUGCAUGUUAGUAGCAGAGUUUAGAUAUACCAAAGCGAGUCUUUCUUGAAGCAGAGGGUAAGAUUAGUAAUUUAUUUGUGCAAAUUAUAAGAAUUGAGGAGAGCAUUGUUUUAGAGCCUUAUGUCAAAGGGAAGAAAAAAAAAUACAAGUCUUGGGUGAGCAUGAUGCAAACAGAGGCGGUGGGGAUGUUUUUGACGACCAAGAAAAACAAACAAGAGUGGAGACACUAAACGGAGAGAAUUAUGCAGUAAACGGCAUUGGUAAAAGUGAGGGAUUGACAAGGCAAUCUGACACAAAAGGGAAAUUUGAAUUAAAGGAAAACGAAAAGGACUCAACAACCAGGAAGCAAGGCAGCGAAAAUCAUGGGGUAUAGCAUCAGGUUCACAAAAGGUAGGGUCAAGAAACAUGAAAACUGAUUUGAAAAAAAAUCAAAGAUACGAGACAGGCUAGCAAAAGUCUUGCCUAACCAUUACUAUAAGGAGGAGACCUUUGGAAUAGAAUGGAUAAAUGGGCCUAGAGUGAAUUGGGUUGAAAAUGCUAAAAAGAUGGGCCAAGACUUUUCUAAAAGAAUGGUGGACCAAGACAAUAGAUUUAAUGAUGGACUUAAUAAAAUUAGGGAGGUUGAGAUUAAGAGCCCAAGACAAUGUGACUAUCUUACUCAAGACCUAAUGACGGUUGAUUUAAGAGGAAUUAUAAGCCGAAGUGCAAAGAUAUUAAAUGGGUCAAGAACCUACAGGCUUGAUAAGGAUUUUGAAUUAAAAUGUAAGCAGCCUAUUAAAGAAUAAAUUGACACAAGCCCAUGAAGUAAGCACUAAAACAAAGCAAACUGAAGAUAGGAAAGAAAGGAAUUCUGGAAACGAUGAACACAACAACAAGAGAGAUAGAGAUGUGCAGGGGCAGAGUUAGAGCAAUUUUAAAGAGAGAGUCAAUAGAAAGAGACAUUAAAUGGUUAAAGAGAAUUUUAUAUAUAAUUUAAUUAUCACUCAUCUAAAAGAUUAAAUAAAUUUAAAAGACAUUGAACAUACAAAAAAAAAAAGAUACACAUUAAUAGUAAUAAUGGUAUCAUUUGUAUAUGACUAAAUGGAACUAUAAAAUGAGUCUCUUUCACUCUUUGAGCGCAAAAAUGAAAGAGAAAAUAAUUUUUUAAACUUAAAUGAAUUGCCUCUUUACUUUGUGCAUUGUAAUUCUCUUCUUAUUUUCUAUUUGCUUCUUAAAUUACUAAUUAAUAUAUUAAGUUAUUAGUUUGAACUAUUGAGAUAUAAUAUAUUUUGAUAAGCUAUUAGGUUGGAUUGUUAAGAUAUAAUAUGUUACAAUAGGUUUAAAUUUAUAUUAAAACUUAAUGAGUUUGAAUUAAUAGACUCACUUUUAUUUUUUUGUAAAUUUGAUAGGCUUAACAUAUUAAUUUAAAAUUUAUUUGUUGGGCUUAACUAACAAUAUGCUAACCAUAAUAACUCUAAUUUUAUCAAAUAGUUUGAAGAAUAAAAUUAAUUAUUAAAUAAAAAAUUAUUUUGAGAGCUAUUAAAAAUAAAUAUAAUAAAUAAAAUUGUAUUGAAAGAAAUACAAUUAUUUCAUUUUAUCAAUUUAUAUAUAUAUCUUUGUUACUUAAAGUUUACAACAUGCAUGCUAAGAUACAUUGGUUAUUCUAAAUAAAAAAUAAUAUAUUGAUAAAAUUUUAAGUAACAGUAAAACUUAUAUUUGAGAAUUAAAUAAUAAUUUAUUUAUUUUUAAAUAUUAAAAUAAUAAAAAAUAAAAUUCACGUAACAGGAAAAAAAGAGCAUGAUAAGUGGAAGAUAUAAUCCAUAUAUGACAUAAUAAAAAAAAUGAUUGAUGGCUCGUAUAAAUUUAUAAAAAAAAUCUAUAGAGAUUUAGAAUAAAUGAGUAAAUAGAAAAAAAAUAAUAAUAUAAAUUAAAAAUAAAAAAAUUUUAAAAUUGAGUCGAGUAUAUAAAAUUAUUUUAUUAUUCUUUGUUUGUAUUAAAUAAAAAUUUAUUUUGAGGGGUCAUUAAGAAAAUUCAUAAACAAAUUAAAAAAAUUUUAAAAUUUUGGGGAAGCCAUUCAUAAGGAGGCUCCGCCCCUGGGGACGUGGUUUAGGGAAAGACGCAAAGUGGGGGAAGAGAUGGACGGCAGUCAGCCGAAAGGAAAAACAGAGUUUUAGAGGAUAAAGGCCACAUGGUUGAUGACAAAAAUCAGAGCAGCAGUGACGAUAAGGAUUCUAGACAAUUGGCAACAGUAAGUGGAGGAAGAUUUGGGCUCUGCCGGAAGAAAAGCUGAAGAAGUUUGGGAAACUAGUGUGUUGAGGAGAAGCAAGAGAGGUAAGAGCUUGAGGAAGAGAUACUCACCAGAUGCUAUAAGCAUUCAAGGUAGCAAAAGUAAACAAGAAAAGAAAAUUGGGGACAUUCGGAAACGAAAUGCCGUCUUGAGAAAGGAAGCAGAGUUUUUUUUUUAAAGGAAGCAGAGUUGCUAUGGGAGUUGACAAGAAAAUUGGGGCUACCUUUACAGGAGGAGAAAGAGGAAGUGAUGCUGAGAUUGGUUGAAUUGGAAACAGUGGAUAGAGGAGGACAACAUGAGGCAAUGACAGGUGCCGAUUAAAGGUUCAAAGCUUUAUGAUGAUAUUGGGGACAAGUCUUCGACGUAAAAGGGGGCUUUGGAAAGUUUAAGGAGCUGAAGGAAGGUGAUGAAAGGUGGUUGUUGGUGUGACAUUAUAACACUACCUUUCGAAGGCUGUUGGGAUGAUGAAAGAAAACGGAGAGGGAGUAUAUCAAAUAAGAAUCAUCUUAUUGGGAGAAGAGCAUUGUUGAAAAUCGUGUUGUUGAUGCGUUAUGUAUACAGUGUACUGAUGAAGCCUUGAGUCUAUGCAGAUGACAUGGGAUGAUCUAGUGCUUGUGGCCUGAUUUGUAUGCCGUUUGUUUUUCUGUGGACAAAUGGCUAGAGGUAAAUAGUACAGGGGAGUGACGCAAGUUUAGGCAUAAUUCUGAGUUUCCUUUUUUCAACUCGGGAUCCUUUGGGGCAAAUGGUAGGGAGCUAAUUCUGUUUUGUUUUCUAGCUCAACUUAAGAUCGAGAAAUUACCACUGAAACUAAAAUGGUAGUCGUUUUGUAAUGGACUUUGGAUUCUUUCUUUUGUUGGGAUAUUAGUUAACCUCACUUCUUUAUAAAAGGGGCAGGCAUUCCUGUCCAGCCUCCAGCCUCAGCUUUUAUUGAUUCUAAAUUAUUUCAUUCAAAUUCCCCACAAUCCCUAAAACAUAUAAAAAAGAAAGUAGGCAUGUAUAUAAUAUCUGGACGACAUGAUCUUUAUCUUAUCUCGAGGAACCAACAUGCGUUUUUGAACAUUAAUUGUAAAAGGGGAGAUAAUAUAUGUGCCAGCCCACAAUUUACUGAGAUAAACCUUUUUGUAUCCAUGGAAAACAAUAAAAGAUGGACUCAUUAUCUUUUUCCCCAUAUUUUGUUUAGCGCCAAAGUGAUAAGAUUUUCUCCUUAUCUGUUUUUUUUUUUAAAUUAGGAAAUGUUUUAUUAACAAUGAAAUGUAUAAUUGAUAUUAUUAAUUAGAGUUUAAAUUCUAUCAAGACUAUUUAUAAAACCUUAUAUUUAGUUGUCCGAAUGAGUUUUAUCGCACUUAAUCCCUUGGUUCAAUACCUCAAAAUACCGCACUGUCCUUUUUUCUUCAAUUUGUUUUUCUUUUAGCAUCCUCUCUCCUAUUCACCACUUCUAUUUUCCUUUCUAUAUCAAUAUUUCACCCGCCUCGCCAUCCUUCUCUUCCUAUUCUUUGUUUUCAAAUUCUUUAAUUUUAGGGUAAAGUACUCUUGACUCUCCUCAAUUUUAACCAUAAUUUUACAAAAUAAAACUCAAAAAGUCCUCUCAAAACUCCUUUAAAGGACAUUUUGAUCCACUCUUAUUUCAAAAUAAUAUUUUUAUCCCCUUAACUCUAACACUGGUAAUCAAUAGUUUAAAAAAUUAGACUUAAUACUAGACAAAUGUUUUCAAACAUAAAUACUCUUUAUAUUAUUUUUUGAAUUUAAGCAUAUUCUUUUCUUAAAAAAAUCUGCUCAGCCUUCUUUCAAAAACGUUAAUAAGAAAAAAAAUUAAAAAUUUUGAUUUGAAGGCCGAUAAAUUUGGAGUUGUAUCUACCUUUAAAAUCAUAAACUUUUUUCUUAAGGUAAAAUCUAUUGUCAUUAAACUCAACAGUUUGAGCAAUUUUUUUCAUUAAAAAGAAUAUAUUAAAAGUAAAUUUUUUGUUCAAUGCUGAAUAUUUCAAAUUUAAUGCUGUUGAGUCGAAAGAUUAAUUUUUUACUCGUGAUUACUUAUUUUCUUGAAAAAUUUUUGUCCAAAAUUUGUUCCUUGAUAUAAGGUGACGUAAAUUGAUUUUGACUUGAUUACUAUAUAUCAAAAGUUUAAAGGUUUGAUGGCACACUAUGUAGUAGGUUUUGUUCUUUAUUUAUGAGGCUUUAGCUCUGUUGCAUUUUCGUUUUUGAUUUCCUAGUUCAGCUUUGCUGUGUUUUUUAUUUGGUUGGGGUGACUUUUGCGUUUGAUGUAGUGCUUGAUGUAUAGCUAUUGGAAAAGGGCUCUUAUGGUUGCUUUGAGAUUUGAUGAGAUUUGAGUUUGUAUUUGUUGAUCAGAUUUGGAUUUUUAGGUUCUUGUUUCUACUAUGGCUAGUAGCUCUUUAUAUUUUUUUCAUUAAGAAAUCAAAGAUGCUUUUCAAAAAGAAAAAAAGUUUUGAUAAGUUUUUGUUUUUGUCAAAUAUUGAAUUUUAUUAAGUAUCAAAGUAAGAUAAACAAUCGCAUUCACAAAUAUCGUUCUAAAAUUUUAUUCAAUUUUAAGUUUUUUCUUGUUUGUCAAAUAUUAAAGUGAGUUAUAUUAAGUUUUGGAAGAAAACAUGAACAAAUUUUUUUAAGAAGGCAUUCAUGUCCUAAAAUAUUUAUAUAUUUUUUUAACUACUAACUAACUGUAUUAAUAGUCAAAGGACCAAAAAUAUUAUUUUGAAAUAAAAGGGAUCAAGGUAUCCUUUUGAAGUGUUUUAAAUGGGCUAUUUGGAGCUAAAAAAAAAAUUCCUCAUGUUAGACACAUAAGUCUUGUCAUUGGUCAAUUGUCAAUGUUUUCGUUAGUUUGAUGACAUAGCAAUAUUUUUAGGGUAAUUUUACUCUUUAUUAAUUUUAAAAAUUACCAUUAAAGUAUAAUUUCUUUAUUUUUACAACUUCUUUGUCUCUCUACCCAAGCAUGCUCUCUCCAUCUCUCACUAAAUUGUCUCCAUGGCUAAUGGCAGUAGUGGUUAGCAGCAGAUGGCAUAACAAGUGUCGAUCAGAUGUUCCUUGACCGGAUCUUAUCGCGAGAACACUAGAUUAGACAUUUUUCGACCGAAUCUAGUUGUGGGAACGCCAGAUCAAACAUUCCCUGACUGGAUCCGAUCGUGGGAAUGCUAGAUUUGGCACUCCUCAACUAGAGUCCGUUUGUACCAUGUUCAGCUAAAAACUAUCAAGUCUCAAGCUCUUUCAGAUAUGUUAGCAUAUUUUCCACCUCAAUUUGAAGAAGUUAUUCUUGAUGCCAUUCCAGUUGAAUUUCAUGAAGAACUAUGUUUAGUGAAUAUAAAAGAAAGAGAGUGGAAUAUAUAUUGUGAUGGUUCUUCAAACAGUUUUAGAGGAGGUGCUGAAAUAGUUCUUAUUCCACUAGGUAGAGAAGAUAAUUUUUUGAUACAAAGUUUCGAGUGAACUUCAUCCCAUUUAAGUAAAAGUCGCAUCUCUUUGGAGGGAAAAGAUCUUUAUGUAUUGGAAGCAUCAAGUUAACCUUUUUUCUUCUUUUGUAAAAAGUCUUUUUUUUCUUUAAAAUGUUGCUUUGCUCCAGCCCUUUUUUCUCAUCUUAAAAAGUCCAAUUUCUACUCCUUAAAAGCUCAAAGAUAAAAGAAAUUAGAAGUUGCAGAUUUGUAAGUCACGUGCUGAUGCCUAGGCAUAGAGUAGCUAGCACUUAGUCUUUGAGCUCUUUGGAAUUUGUAUGGGGGCAUCUCGGUGUCUAGGCACUAAGUGGCCAGUGUCGUGACCCUAGCUUCUUCUUGUUGCCACUAUGCAAAAUCUACUGUAGUAUCUUCACUUGUAACACAAUUUUCUUCUAUUUCAAUGCUAAAUGGGGCAAAGUGAUAAACAUGAAAGUUAUAGCUCUAUCUGUUAACUUUCUAAUGGUCCAAGAAUCACGUCAAUUGGAUUUUUGAAGUGAGAGUUAGCUCAAAAUAUCGCAGUCUGUUCAGUGAGAGUUUGCACUUAGCCAUACUUACAUAAUUCAUUGUCGCUUAAGCCCUUUUCAUUUGUGGACCUUUAAAAACAAGGAACUAAAUCAACAGCGGCUAAAAUUACGCAUUUUAACAUAUAAAUGAACUAAAAUAACUGAACUUAAAUUGACUCAACAUUCUUUUAUUAACUUAAGAAAAACAAUUAAAACAAUUUAAAAUCAUACUUGAAACUCGAGAACUUAGCUAUUUUAUCACCUAAAGUAUGUCAAGAUAACUCUAUGUAAUAGAGUUAUCAACUCUCCUGGCCCCUUGUUAAAAUUGAGGUCUUUAACUUUAUCACUAAAUUUAUGUCAACCAUUAAAUUGGAAAAGGCCUUAACUGUUCUUUUAUCUCUCUUAUCCCUAAAAUGACUAAUCCCAUAACUUUGAGAAAGUAUAAGCUGAUUAGUCUAAUGAAUUCUCUAUGUAAAAUUCUAGCCAAGUUUCUAGCUAAUCAACUCAAGAGACUCAUUUCAUGGUGAUAAAAGAUACUCAAUCAACAUUUAUCAGUGGUUGUCAAAUCAUGGACAACAUCAUGUUGGCAAAUGAGAUGAUUCAUAGCAUGAAAAAAGGUUUUCAUAACAGAAGUGGUAUUGUUCUAAAAUUAGACUUUGAGAAAGCUUUCAACUGUUUUGAUUGGAAUUUUCUCAUAUGUAUUUUGGAGGCCAUGGGUUUUGGAUAUAGAUGGAGGUCUUGGAUUUAUGAGUGUAUUUCCAUAGCUUGGGUUUCUAUCCUUAUUAAUGGUUUAGCUACUUUAGAAUUUCCAAUGAAAAGAAGUCUUCGUUAAGUGAUCCUUUAUCACAUUUUCUCUUUAUUAUGGCCAUUGAGGUAUUACAUUUACUUUUCCUUAGAGUUGAAUCUUUUUAGUUAUUUUGUGGUAUCUCUUUAUCUGCUUUUGAUCUCUUUAUCUUUUAUUUUCAAUUUGCCAACUAUUGUAACGUGCGGGUCCGGGAACUCGAUCGCUAGACGUAGUUAACUUGGGGAGUCGCCACCAAUCUUUUUUAUUUAGGUGUGAUUGGUCACCUAUUAACUCGAUUCAAAUCGACGAAAUUCUAAAUUAAUUUUAAGUCCGUCGAAAGAACGAGAACUGGUCUACGUUUUUUGGUCAAAGUUGGGUUCGGGAGUACGGUUACGCACAGAGAAGGAUUAGCACCCCUAUGACGCCCGUUACAGGAAUGGUACCAUUCAAUCACGUGUUAUCUUAACGCAUUGAUUUGUUUUUAUGUUCCCUUAAUUAUUAUUUAUUAAAAUAUUUUAUUCGACUUUUACGAAUUUGACGCGCAUGUGAUGCGAUUGUGUAAUGCAUGGCAUAGAAUCGAGAUAAUGCCAAACGAAUACCUUUGAUUGAGGAUAUUUCCCAAAUCCGCCCAUCAUGCUAGUGGGAUCCGGAGAUAUCCUCUCACUUAGAGAAUUACUCGAAAGACUCGCCUUCGUAAGCUUAACGAGUAAAUCCCAUCAUUAGGGUUAUCGUAUUUUUUUUUUCAAAAAAAUAAUGUUUUCAUGAACAUGAACCUAUUACAAGCAAAAACCUUUUUAUUAAAGAUAUUUCUCGAGCCCUCCCAUCAUACUGGUGGGACCCGGGGACAUCCUUUCACCUAGGGAGUUUUUCGAGAGAAACUCGCCUUCGCAAGAUCUUCGAAAAAUCCCAUCAUUAGGAUAGUCUUUUGUGAGUAAAAAAAAUGGUAUUUUCGUGAAUGCAAAUCUUAAUAUGGGUAGAAGCCUUUUAUUAAAAAUAUUUCUCCGAAUCCUCCCAUCAUACUAGUGGGAUCCGGAGGUAUCUUCUCACCUAGGGAGUUUACUGAAGAAACUCGCCUUCGCAAGCUUCCUCGUAAAGUCUCAUCAUUGAGAUUUAGACCCUGUACACAGAAUAUAUCUAUAUGCCAUGACAUUUAACAAUGCGACCAUGAUACGUGAUGCACUCGUAGGUUUUAUGUUCGUUUCUUAUUUUUUACGAAAUUUACUACUUUUUCUUCGUGUACGUGUUUAUUAUAAACAAAUAAUUUUCAUUUAUUGAUUGUUGUUGUAUAACCAUUUCUAUGUCGAUAUAUAUUUUACUAUGUAAGUACUUAUUUAUUAUACGAAACUCCAAAAUCAAAUUUUUAGACUAAGUAUUUUUUAUUAUCUGUAAUUAUUGUUAUUUAUGCAUAUGUGUUUUCUACUUUUGUAUUAUUGUGAUUAACAAAUUUAUUGUUAUCAUUAAUUUCUUAUUUAUCUUGUUUUGUAUAUUUUGAUUAAUUGGUGAUUGAAUAUAUAAUUUUUAUUUUAUUUAAAAUUAGGAACAUUGGAAUUUCAAAUUAGGACCUUCCCAUCGUACUGGUGGAGUCUUAAUCGAAAACCCUAACCUAGGGAAGUUUACUUGGAAUUACGACUUGUCGCGCUCCAAAUGGACAUCCCAUCAUCGGUAUUGAUUCCAAAUCAAACAUUAUAUUUUCCUACUUAAUAAUUUCAAACUAAGUCUUCUUAUUAUUUUUAUUUUAUUUUUAUUUCUAUUUAUUUAUUUAUUGAUUAUUUUUUUUUAGACCAAACCUUGAAUCUUUCCCAACUAUAAAUAUUGAUCCAAAAUAUAUACUUUAUUAUUAUUAUUGUCAUUCCCCUACAUAUGUUAUUAUUAUAUAUUUUUUACAAAAAAAUGAACUAAACUUUCCUUUAUCAAAAAUAUUUUUAUUAUUCUAAAUUUAUGUUCUUUAUAACUAUGCAUUUUUGCUAUUUUUUAUUAUUACAAUUAUUUUUUGAUUGAUUUUUUGUUUGUUUUUAUUUUCUUAACACUAAAAUAGACAUUCAUAUUUUAUAUAUAUUCCUUUCCUAGAAAAAUAAAUACAUUUUAAUUAAGAUGGGCUAGACCCAAUAUCAACUAAAACAAACCCAAGCAAAAGAGAAGAGUUGUACCUUAUUGGGUUGAGAUUGGCCCAAUUCGAAGACCCACAAAAAGCCCAAGUCUACUGCACUGGAUCUGACUUCAAAGGUCCACUAAACUGAGCCCAAAACGCACCAUUUGGAGUGUUAGUUUGGCAGCUUGUAAUCCUCCAAAACGGUGUCGUUUUGAAGACCCUAAACCUAAGUAUUUAAGCUUUCUUUUUUUUCUUCUCCUCUCAUUUUCUACCUUCUUUUCUCUCUCUAGCCGUAACCAUCUUUGCCUUCUCUCUAAAAUUUUCUCUCUCUCUCUCUCUUUCUCUUGUGGCCAGCAAAAGCUUUUCUCCUUCUCUUCUUGUCGCCGGCGUCUCUCAUUCCCUUCUCUUUCUUUUUUUUUUCUUCUUGCUCUCUUCCUCUUGGCUUUUCGCCCUUCUCUCUUCGUCGGUCUCUCACCGCCGGCUAGAUCUCAUACAACCAGAUCUGGCCGAUCGGAUCUCCUUUUUUUUUUUUGCUCUUUUUUUUUUGUGUUGUGGUUUUGUGGAUCAGGUUGCUAGAAAACUUAGGAUUUUUUUUAUUUUUUUCGUAAGUUUCGGUUGUUUGAAGAAAAAUGGGAUUUUUUUUUGUUGUUGUUGGGUUUGAUUUUUUUUUUUUAAGGUUCGGUCCUUUGUUUUUGGAUCUAGGUUUUUUUUUUAAAUCCCCCCCCUUUUAAGAAUUAGAUUGUCAAAAAAUUUGGACAAUCCAGAGGUGAAAUCAUACUCUUCUGAGCAUGAUUUCAUAAUGCUCUGGCAAACAAAAGGGGUUGGUAGCCGAAGGUGACCACUCCUCCCCCAAAUCCUGCUGCCUUUCAGGGGCAUUCAUGCUCUGUAAUGAUGGACUGGGGAAGUUGUUGAGCACACGCUUAGUCCUUUCCUGUUCAUCCAUUUUUUUUAUUUUUCAAUUUAUUUCUUAUUUUUAUUUGUUGGUUUUUUUAUUAUUAUAUUAUUUUUAUAUCAUAUAUAUAUAUAUAUAUAUAUAUAUAAAUGGUGUCUACACCAACAAUACUAUCAUUUUUAUGGAUUUGGAUCCUCUUUGUCCCACCUUUUUGAGACAUAUUCUCCACUGUUUCGAAGUUACAUCUAGUUUGAGAAUUAAUUUCAGCAAAAUCUUGUGCUUUUUCAGUGGGAAAAUGAAGAAAGAAUUUAUGAGGCAACACUUUUAGAGGCAGGGCAAACAAAGGUUCGAGAAGAUGCACCUGAAGAAGUUGAGCAAAAGGUCACCUUGGAAGAGAUUGAGGCCACCAUCAUAAGAACCUCACUCUAGCAUAUCUAUUAAGACCUAAAACUUGGCCUGCUAUACCUACCAGUCGCUUCCCACCCACUUAAAGCCACCCCAUUAGCUUCACCCCAAAACCAACUAACCUCACCUUAGGACCCUUGAUUUCAAAUCAUUACUUAAUUCAUUUGUUUUUAAGGUGUCUUACUUUCUAAUUUUCUAACAUUUUGUAAAAAGUCUUCUUUUUUUUUUAUGUAAAAAAAGAAAGCAUUUGAAUUAACCUUGCUUUAUUUUUAACCCUUUUUUUGAUUAUGACAAAAAAAUGGAUAAUCAAAAAAGGGAGAAAAACUACAUAGGUGCUUGUGAUUAAUUUAAAUAUUUUUAACCUUUUGAAGCUUUACAAUUGUGGAUAUGUUGGAUAUGCAAAUUGUGUUAAUUUUCGAUAUGUUGAAUAUGCAAAUUAUGUUGAAAUAUGAAUGUGGUAUGUAAUUGAGUAUUUGAAGUUGCCUAUACUUGUAAAUUUUCUUGAAAUGCAAGGGGAUAGCCCUAAUUAUAAGGGAAACUCUUGCAAAAUUUUUAAAAAAAUUAGAUGCACUCAUUAAGGUGGAGCAAUUCCCAAUUUGCAUAAAAGACUUCAAAAUUUUGAAAUAUACUUAAAGUGUUCAUACAUUACUCUUUGCAAUAGUAAAUAAAUUAUGAACAUACUUAACAUACUUUAAAAGACAUUAUACAUUUAAAUCCAGGGGUGUUUUGUCAUCAUAAAAAAAAGGUAAGAUUGUUAACUCCAUAUGUUUUUUAUGAUAACAAAACAUUCAUUUUCUUCAAGUCUAACUAUGUUACUUGAGUGUGUAAGGGUAAAAUUGGUAUUUUAUUGUAUAUCUUACACCCCAAAUACCUUAAGAUAAGUUUCAAGUUCAAAAAAAGUGAUUCAAGCAAGUUAAAGGGUAUUUUGUGAAGUUUAAUCGAUUAACAUAACACUUUAAUUAAUUAAUCAAGCUUGGAAGAAAGGUUUAGAACUUCAAAGAAGAUUUUAAUCAAUUAACACAAGGAUUAAUCGAUUAAAAAGGUGUUUGAAGAGAUAUUGGGGCUUAAUGAACAAGUUUAAUCAAUUAACACCAAGGUUUAAUUGAUUAAUAAGCUUGGAAAAGGAUUUAAAGCUUCAUGGAACACUUUAAUCAAUCAACCAUACGGUUUAAUCAAUUAAAGUAGCAAUAGAAGGCACUUUAGAGCUUUAAAGUGAAUAUUACUCAUUUAACAUAAGGUUUAAUCGAUUAACAAGGGUUUAUAAGGAAUUUAACCGGUUAAAAGGAAGAUUAAUUGAUUACAAGAUGACCGUUGGAAGGCACCACUUGAAAAAAUUUGAAUUCAAAAAGACUUUAAUCGGUUAAAAAUUAGAAUAAUCGAUUAAAGAGGACACAGAGAAGUUUUAGUCGGUUAAAGCCAAGAUUAAUCGAUUAACAUGAAGAAAAUGGAGAUAGUGCAUAAAGACUUUAAUUGAUUAAAGCUCACUUUAAUCGAUUAAACAAGCUAGUUAACCAGAGUUAAAGUAUCGCAAAAGGACAAAAAAAAGGGGCAAAUCUUACCUAGCCUCUCCCUAAUGGCUAGAAUUCACCUUCUAUGUUUAAAAAAUGUCCCAAACAAUCAAAAAUCAAAAGCAAAUGUUCCAAGAGCAAGAAUUGAGCUUAGAGGUAUCUUAGAGUUUUCUCUUUAUUGUGCUUCACUCUUAUCUUUGUAAAAGAGUUUUGAGCUUAACUUUAUACAUCUUAGAUCAGCUAAGUGAUCAAUUAUACUUUAUCUUUUUUGUAUUCUUUGUUUACUUAAAGUGUGAGAAACACUCAAAGGGGUAGACUAAGCUUAGGAAAGCUUAGGGAAUCUUGUAAGAGUUUUGAGCCUAGGUUAGAAGCUCACCUAGUAAAAUCUUGAUGAAAGUUGUCAAUUCUAUUAGUUUAGUGAAGUUGGGUUGAAAAUCCUUUUGUUAAAUUUAUUUCACGCAACUGUACGUAUCGUAACAAGUAAUAUAGAGGUAAAUAGAAUGUCCAAUCCCACAAGGAAUUGCACAAAUUUAAGCUAAGUACUAAAACUCUAGGAAUCUAAUUUUAUCCAAGUAAUCAAAAUUAAAUGAUUAAUUAAAAGAAAUUUGAACUAACAAACUAAAACUAAUAAUUGAAUGACAAAAUUUACUAGAAAAGCAAUUGAUUAAAAGCCUAAGAUUAUGAUAUCCGUCAACAUUUCAUUUGAAUUCUCUCUCUCUCUCUCUCUCUAAACUUAUUCAAUAAAUUGAGUUGUUAACCUAGAGUCUCAAGCUAUCUACAUGUCUCUAUCAAGAUGCUCAUAAAAAUAUCUAUCUCAAUUAAUUCACUAUAUAUCUAUGUAAAUUCAUCUGAAGACAAAUUCAUUAAGUUUGUGUUCUAAUUUUGGCUACAUGCAGCACAUAGUUAUAUGUCUAUCUUAUAUGCAAAUCAAAUCACCUAAUCAAUUAAGUGAUAUUGAACACAUGGUAUUCUAUUGAUGGCCUAAUCUAAACUCCCGUUGUCAAGUUUUAUUUAGAUAUCCAAAUCAAUCUAAUUAGUGAUCAAGAAAUUAGAAGCAUUAAAUACAAAAUUGGAAUUAACAACUCAUAUUCCAUUGAAAAUAAGCAAAAGAGAAAUUAAAAAUCCAAAUUACAUGUUGAGUUCAACCAUAAUACUAGAAAAGGUAAAUUACUUCAUAAUAUCUAUAGAAAACACCUUCCAAAGAAGAUUAACCAUUAAUCCAAGUCAAAAAAAAAAAGAGAAAAACAAAAGUAGAGAGAGAAACUAAGAAUUGAAGCCGUUAAAUCUCAAAUCUUCCUUGAAUUCUCUUAUUUUCAUGCUUUACUUUUAACCUUUUUUUGUCCAUAAUAGUUUCUCUCUAUCUCCCCUCGAAAAGCUCUAAAAAAGGCCCUUUAAAUACUCCUAAAAAAAAACCCUAGAAUUAAAAUCCUGUAAAAACACAUUUUUGGAAACACAUCCAACACCACGACCUUAGUCACACCGCGGCACCAUACCCUCAAGUGAUGAUUGGGAGCAUGGAUCAUCACUAGCGCCAUGGCGCUCCUAUCUCUAGUUUACAAUGGUGCUCUACUGCCUCUUGGCAUCGCAGCCUUGAGCAAGUCAAGGCCGUAGCCUUCACCUACACAUGUUGCCUUGCGUAGAAACUACAACAAUCUAGUCUCUUCCAAUGUUAUUUACACCUCAAUCUUACCCGAACUAAAUAAAGUGGUAAACAUGAAAGUUGUAGCCCUGUCUACUAUCUUUCAAUAGCUUAAGAAUCACGUCUAUUGGGUUUCUGUAGCAAAAGUUAUGCUUAAAAUACUUCAACAUAUGCAAAUAAAGCUAUCACAUAUUUGCACGGAUUAUCAUCAAAUAAAGCCAUUUCAUAAAAUUUCUUACAAAAACAAUAAAAGAUAUCAGUAAUAACUAAACUUAAAGUAACUUAAAGAAAUAUAACAUAAAAUUAAACUAAAAUAACUUAAAUUAAAUUACUCAAGAUGCAUUUAACUUUGUUAAGAAAAUUACUAAAAUAUUAAAAUUUUGGACCUAGAAUCUCAAAGACUUAGCUACUUAAGUCCAAAAUGUGACAAAAUAACUCUAUAUAAUAAAGUUAUAUAGUCCUUUAUUGGAAAAUCAAGGUAAUGUAUGUAGGUCAAGGGGACCAAACCAUGCCGAACCAUCAUAAAUAUUUGUAUUUUGUCAAUGUCUCUUUAUCCUCUCUUUUCUUGGUGUCUUUUUGCCUUAAUAAGUUUUAAACUUUUUUGAAAAUCCUUCAAAAGUUUUUUAACCUUAGGAGUUUCCUUCAGAUUUUUAAAAAAAAUGCUAUUCACCCCUCUUUAGCACUCCAUUGAGACGAACAACACUUUUGUUCGUUUGUUGUAUUUUUUCCUGUUUUCAUUGUUUGUACUACAAAUUAUACUCUAGCAUGCAUGGACAGUCAUCAAAUAUUUUUCAUCUUUUUUCAUUAAUAUAAUCUCCUUUUGGUUGAGAAAAAAAAUGUAAGUGUAUGCAUAAAUUAAGGCUUCCCAUAGAAAAAAAAAGCGGUUUCCUUAUCAUGUUCUUGAACAUUGGUUUAUUGUGGAUAUAUGAAAAGAUAAGACACAUUAUGUGUCAAAAAAAGGGGUUCUUUUAGCAUGUGUAAAACAUUGAUAUUUUCUUCCUAAGCAUGUGAAAGCAAGACUAAUCGUCAGGGAAAAAUGUUCCUUAAGCAUAAGCUUUUGGAUAGGUGAAGGAGUACGGACUGUGUAGGCCUAAUGUGGAGGAACUUAUAGUCAUUUAGCAUGUGCUCAAGCUCACCAUGCGAGAUUUACUCCUUUGACAUGAGUGAGAAUGUUCUUGGUUAUCAAAAAACAUGGAUUGAUUUGCCACUAUUGCAUUUUAAAUAUCGUUAGCCUAAUCCUUGAAAGGUAUGUAAACAACUCGAUAAUUAAGGACUAAGUGUAGCCAUAAGCAUAAACAUGAGCAUUGGCAUUUUCAUGUUACAAAGAUGUUUGUGUGGACUGCGAGUCGAUAAGAUGUAAAAAUAUAUACAUGCAUACAUAUAUAUAUAUAUAUAUUUUGCCAAACAUUAUUUCUGUUUUGAGUUGUUGAUCAGCAGGGGGGUUGCUUCCGAAUCCAUCUAAUCCCUUCUUCUUAAUUUACUUAUAGCUUCAUAUUACUAAAGCUUCCUUUAAACGAACCAUAAUGAGGUUGUGAUCUUCUAAAACUCAAGAUAUCAUCAAUUCGAAGGGAAUGCAUUUGAAGUGGUUCACUUUUCUCUGAUCUGUAUUCAGAUAGAUGCUUCUUUCCGUAUACACGCACACUUAGUGUCUUCUUUCGAUGUGAACCAACUUUUAUAUAUUCAUUGAAAAAAUCAAUGAAUUCUUGUUGUGUAACCUGUCUUAAUGCUUCAACCUGCUCAAAUACAAAUUGUGAGAUCAUAAAACUAUUUUUUAGUUAAAAUAUUUAUAUCAUGUAUCAAAACUUUCAUCUUAAUUAGCCUAUAAAUCACCUACAUGUAUUUUGUUCCUGACAAUGUCACGUACAGUAAAAGUGAAACGGAUUUUGUUCUUUCUUUUACUUAAUAAGUAAAAAUCUAAAGAGAGUUACUUACCUCGGCUUCUCUCCUAUCAAACUUGAGGGUGCCAUUGAUAAUCUCCCGCCAGUAAAAUCCAGAUUCUUCCCGUAGGUUCUUGUGCUUCUCCAGUUUUAUAUCAAUCAAUGCAUUUACAUUUCUCUAUACAGUAAGUUAAAAAGAAAAAGUUAGUAACCUAAAAUCAUAAGAAUUUGAGAGAAAUAUUUGAUGCAUUAAUCAAGUACAUUUACUCGAAAAAAAAUAUUCAACUGUCCAAAACUCUCCUUCCAAACUUAGCAAAUUCAUGACAAAUAACAUAUAUAAAUGUUAAAUAAAUCCUAAAUUCGCAUAUGACCGUUCUAAACCACAUGUAAACUAAUUCCCAGAUCUCAUAUAUGGAAGAUAGAACACCAAAUAAUUAAAUAAUGUAACAUACCUGUUAGAGCUAUUAAAAUCAUUGUUAAUUACAAAUGGAAUCUAGGACAAAUUCCUAAGUUAGGGCUAAGGUCUUUCUCUUCACUCUCCUCCUUUAGACAGCUCUUAAUGGAUAAAUCCAUGCAUUAGGAGUGAAGUGGAGACCAAGCCAUAUUUACAUAAAACCCUGAUAGGAUCCAUCAUCAUGGGUUCCAUUGGAUUGAGGCCUAUAUAUAGCGUCUACCGCACUGGCUCAAAUGAGAUGCAUAAAAUCCGGACCACUCUAACUUAAUUAGACUUACUUACAUGUUUCCAUUAAGACUAAAUCAAAAUUUCAAUUAAUGGCAGCUCACGUUUAUGGAAAAUUCUAACAGUUUUUGCUUUUUCAUGAAUAGAGAACAAAAUAUUUAGCUGUUAUGAAUAAAAAAAAGAAUGAUUUCCUUCAUAUGGAAACUUUAUGUGAAUUAUGUUUUACUUCUUAACUGUUGACUUAAUUUAUGCAUAGUUCUAAACAUAUCACAAUUAAAAAGGAUAAAACUUAAGAAAUGCAAUAACAAAUUCUCAAACAUGAGAAAACCAAUAAUAAGAACACAUUCACAUGUAAUUUGGCAGUUCAUUUUCCUUUUUCUAAUUUAAAAUAUAUUUACAAUUUUUGGCCUGAAUUAUACUUGCCAUAUAUCCUACAAGUUGUUUCGUACUUAUAUCUGAAAAAAAUUAACUACAUAUUGAUAUUUAGACUUUAAAAUAUCAGAAAACAAAAGAGCUACCUGUUCUCUUUUUUCUGCUUAAGAUACCAUAUUCACAAAUUAUUACCUUAAUUAGACUUCUUCGAUGUAGGCUAGAGCCGAUUUUUUUACCUUUGUUAUGUUCGUUAAAACAAUGUCCACUACAUAUAGAGAAAACAAUCAUUAUGUGCAAUUGAAAAUUUUCCAUCUUACCCUAAAUUCAUCGUUGGUCAUUUCAUUAAUUUUGUUCUCAAACAUCUCGAGGAAUGCCUCAACCCUCGAAUCAAUGUCUCUUGGAUUCUGUUAAAAAUGCCCAAGCUCUUUAGAAGAUGAAUUAAAAAAUUAAGCAAUGUAAUUAAGGCAAUAAGUUAAUUACAAGGGUCCCCCCUCUCAUUUUCAUCCAUCCAAGUUUAAAGCAAUACAAAAUAUAGGAUGAGAAAGCUACUACCAAAAACUCAUGUAUAAACAAACAAAAUUAAAAAGGACCACACUACGUACCUUCACUGUAGAUUGAAUAAGGAAUACCACUCCAUGAAUUCCAAAAUCAAUCCUAAUGAGAGAAAAUUAGUAAAACGAAAGAUAAACUUCUUGCUUCUCAAAUUGAAUAUAUAUAAAUAUAUAUAUACAUAUAUAUAUAUUUAUAUUAAAGAUUUCCCAAAAUUAUAUUUGUAGGCCAUUUUUAAAUGCAAAUAACUCCCUAGUCUUUUUUUUAACUUUUUGAUAAUAGUAACUAUUGAACAUCAAAUUCAAUUGCAUAAAAACAUGUAUUAUCAACUUUAACAUAGUAAAAUGAAAAAUGAAAGUCAAAUCGGAGUAUAACAUUCAUGUAUGAUUACAUUUAUUCUUAUACCUUCUAUAGAAAUCAUUUAUGUACCCAAGUUGCUCAAUAGAACUAAGCUGAUGAUAGGCUGGUUCCUUUGCAAUAAGGCAAAAAAGCUGAAGUUUCACAUUCAAUAUAAAAUCAUCUCGAUGAACCUAACAUCCAAACACUAUUCACAUUAAAAUUGCAUGAAAAGUUAGAUAAAAUGGUAGCCUUACCUUAAAACAAAUAAAAAAACACAAACAAUAUAUAGGAGAUUGAAUAAGGGAAAUGGGGCAAGUAUAGAUUAAGUAAAGAUAAUGAUCUAAUAAAAUAAUCUAACUUAAAGUUCGUUAGUUGCAAGCGGUGUAUAAUUCCACAAUUAAUAUACGUCACAUAUAUAUAAGCGUCAAUUCAUUUUUUUUCCUUGAUUUACAGCUAUAUAACCAUGGAUAUAUUGAGGCUGAAAAAAUUAGACUUUCUUUGCUUAUCACUAAGGGUUUGUGUUUUGUUUUUCCUAUCUUUCUUAUGCAAAAGUUGUUAUAAAGUAUAAUUAAGUAAACGAUGAUCAAAAACAAAAUCAUAUUUAGUUAAUUAAAAAGGUAAAGAUGGUUUUCUUAGUACAUAUCAUGAAACCCAUCGCACCUUGAAUCACAAAAAGAAGUCUCUUUCAUAUAUCUUAUCAUUUUAUAAGUUAUGAAUUAUUUUCCUAUCAUUCCACGAGUUGAAAUUGAGAUUUUUGGGUACAGAGUUCGGAACGCAGACAAGUGUAGUUAAAAUGUGAUACUAAUCAUAUAAAAGUAAUUUUAUUAAAAUGUAUAUAAAGUUAAAUCAUGUAUUUUGUUAUCUCUAGAUUUAUCGAUAGUCAGGUGACCUGCUAGGUUCAUGGGUAGGAAUGUCAAUGAAUAAGGUAUCUGCUAAUUUUGAAAUACCCGAAUUCGAACCCAAUUAAUAAAUGGGAUACUUGAACCCUACAAUUACUCAAAUAUUUUUUAAAUUUAUCAUCCUAACUCGAACCAUAAUACAUACUCACUACUCGAUAAUUAUUUGAAUCUAUUUAAAAACUCAAUUAUGUAAAAAAAUUAUUAAAAUACUCUUCAUGGAUACCCAAUUAUCCGAAUCCAUACCUGUCUCUAUAUAUAAUAAUAUUUUUAUCCAUAUUCCAUAUAAUUUACUAAUAAUUAAAUUUAUAAAAGUACACAAACAAUAAAAUUUAAAUUUAAAUAAUCAAAAACAAAUAUCUCAAAUAUCAACUUAAAUAACUAAAAACAAAUAUCCAAACAACAACUUAGACAACAUUACAAGUUUAAUUAAAUAUAUGGGUUUAUUCUUAAUUACAUGAAAUUAAAAAAAAUAGUUAGAUUUGAAAACUGUUCUAAUCUCACAACUUUUCUUUAGGUAUAUAUUUUAUAAGUUUAUAUAAAUAAAGGUAGACGUAUUAUAAUUAAUAAUUUUAUAAGUUAUAAUUUUUGUAACGUUAAUACAAAAUAGAAAGUAAAUAUGUUUAUAUUUAAAGUAUAUAUUUAAAAACUAUAUAUAUUAGUAAAUAUAUUUUUUAUAAAUUAACACAAUAUAUAGAGUAUAUAUAUUAAAAGAUAUUGCAAGUUAAUUAAUAAUCAUAGCUUCAUGAAUUAAUUUAAUUAACAAUAUUGGUUUGUUUUUAAUUAUAUGAAAUUAAAAAAAAUAUAAUCGGGUUCGGGUAUUGGGUACCUAAGGGGUGGUAAUUGAAUCCUACCUGAACCCAAUGUGGGUAGUAAAAUUACUAUCCAAACCUUACCCAAACUCGACUAUAGAGAAUCCUAAUCUUAUAAAACUAGGUCGAAUACCUACAAGUACCCUGUAAUAGGGUACCCAUUGCUAUCCUUAGUCACGAGCCUACCCCAACUUAAAUCAAGCGUUGGAUCCCUACCCAAGUUGGGGACAUUAUUAUACGAAUAAAAUUAAUUUGACUGAAUUUAAAUUCUAAAAUAUAUUUAAAAUAUUAAAUAUUUAAUUUCAUUCCAAAUGCUUUUUUUUUUCGUUUCUAUAAGUAAAGGUAGGUGACAAAAGUAACAACUAAAUGUAGUCUUAGUUUUCACAAUUAAUUAAAAGAAAUAUACUAUUUCAUAAAGUUGUUAUUUAUUAUGCCCCAUUUGUGAGAGUUUCAAUUAAUUAACUCUAAGUUAAGCUUGAAGCUAUACUAUUCUUAUUUUUAUUGCCAUUUUUCACUAUUCUUAGAAUCUCUUAAGAAAGGGUUUUUUUUUUUCUUUACGGUAGCAUUCAAAAAUAUGCACAUAAAGUAAGAUCUUCUUUAGACUUUAAUUUUAUUUUAUUUUUUUGUGUUUAUGUAAAUUCGGAGGUAAGGUUAUGUCCCCCUCCCAUAUGUACGUUCUUAUUUUCUUUAUUAACAAAACAUUAACAGGGUAGCUGAGCUUUGCGAGAAUAUUCCAGCAUAAAAGAAAAAAAAAACUCUAAGUUAAGCUUAAAGCUAAAUUUUAAAGGUCCAUAGCAAUAAGAGACAAGAAAGCUAAGAAUAUGUUAUAGGAAAUGUUAAACUUUGAUAAUUUAGUAGUAACUAGAAGGGAUCAAAGUUAUAUAGAUAUAUAUAAUUACCUGAAUAUAAUGGAGUAGGGCGGAAUUCUCAUUAUUUGGAUUUAGGCCCUGAAUAGAGUAGAGGUAACUCACGCCUCUUCCAAAUUUAACAACUUCAUUUGUAAGAUGUAGGGAUGGAAAUAAUGGUUGGCAUUUAGGGUUUGAACCUCCAAAGAAAAUGGAUUCAACAUGUUGAAUUAUCGAAAUCGCUUCAUCACGUUCCAUGUUUCCUAAUUAACAAGCAAAAAUUAAUGUCAAAACCAACAAUGUGAUUAUAUAUAUAUAUUGAAAGAACAGUGUGAUUAUAUCAAUAUACAGGCACAUCCGUAGUGUAUAUAUUUUCCAAAUUCAAUAUAUUAUGAAGACUCUUAUUAAAACAUGAUUCAUAAACUACCACUCACACACAUUGGAAUUAACUGUUUAGUUUUUGGUUUGUUACUUGGGGGUUUUGUAUUCUUGGAACAUUUUAUAAAUCUCCAUUGGCUGAAAAAAAACCAUAAAUCAUGAAAUUGUUUAAAAAGCUUAGAGGUAUCAAUGGGCUGAGUUGGGGCAUUGUUUUUUUUUUUUAGAUCUGAGCCUGAUUCAAUUAACUUAUUUUUAUUAAUAAAUAUUAUUUUUUAUUAUAUUUAAUUUUUUAAAAUAUAUUAAAAAAUUAAAAUAUUGAUAUAAAAUAUUAUUUUAUUAUUUUAAUAAUAAUAUAACAAUUAAAUUGGCAGGUCAAUUUGGGCUUGAACUUGGCUUUAGAAAGCAUAAAUUUGGGUCAUUAUUCUUCUCUAGGAAGAUGGGAUGAUAAGGCUAUCAGAGAACUGGUGAGUGAUAGACAGAUUUUAAGGAUCCUAUUAUAGAUGGGAGAUCCACGUUGGCUAGCUAGCUUGUACUCCAUCUUUGUGGACAACCUUAGCAAGAGAACACCAUGAUCAGCGAUCAAGGGAGCGCUUGAAGAGUUUGUCAGGGUCAUCAAUGAGUUUGUUUCUAAAUGAAGUCUAUAAGAUAAGGUAGCGUUUGGUAUGAGAAAAAUUGUAGCACAUUCUCUGUAAUGUGUUCAAUUAAAUUACAUUACAGUAUUUGUUUUUGCAACAAACCAUUACAAUGUAAGAUUACAAUACAAUCAUAUAGUAUUGCAUUUUACAAUAUUUUUAAAAAUAUUUUUACCUUUCAACUUUGUUAUUUUGUUAAAAACAUUUUCAAUGUUAUAAUUUGAUUUUUAUAUAGAUUUCGGGAGAUGUCUUUUUAUUAUUCUCAUUAGUCAUGGUGACUGUAAUAAAAUUUAUAUUACUUUUUAAAAGAAAAAAUUAAGAUAAUAUAUAUAAUAUAAAAAAUUAUAUUAAAAAAUAAAAAUAAAAUAUAUAAGGUUAUAAUAAGAAAUAAAAAAAAUAUAUGACAUUAAAAAUAUAUUUAAGAUAUCACAUUAUAAAAAAAUUAAUAAUAAAAAAAAUACAAUAUAUUAAACUUACAUUUUAAUAAAUAGGAGUAAUUUUAAAAAUUGACAUUACAUUCUUAGUAAAGUAUUUGUAAACCAAAGCAAUGUCAUCUUUUUUGCAUUUUAAUCAUUAUUUUGCUUAUAUACUAAACACUGCAAUGUUAUCUUCCUUACAAUCACAUUACUAACAAUCAUAUUACUUGUAAUCACAUUACAUUAUAAAAUACCAAAACGCCACCUAAGGGAGCAGCAAACUUGGCAUUUGUGAGGUACACAGAAAAGCAUAAACUAGAGAAUGCAAUCAAAUGGGUUAACCACUAGUGGAUCGAUGGAAGACGUCUCAUAAUUAAGAGAAAGGAACCACUAAAGAAGAAUGCAAAUGGCGCGAGAAUGAGCACUAAGGAAGAACCAAGAUGGAAACAAAGCACUUAGAGGAAUGAUGGUCAAACUUUCAAGGAGGUUAUUGUAAGAAAGAACCAAAAAGGUUAUGGUUGUAAAGGGGAGGUAAAAGAUCUAAUAAGAAGAGAGAAAGGUCUUGAGAAGGCCUAAAGGCUAUGGUGGGUAAAGAAAAAAUUGAAGGGAAAUAAGAACAAAAGCAAACACAUCAAGUAGAUGAGCAAAAGAAGGAUCAAAAGAUUGUUAAUGUCCAAGCAACCAUCCCAGAUGAAGAGAUGGAAUGGGUGAGUUGCAGUGCAAUGGGGAGCUUUAAGAAAAAGAUAGCAUGAAAUGUGAUGCAAACGAAGCUAGCUAAUGAAGGGAUUGAUGUUUGGGUAAGAAUACUAGAAGGCUUGAUAGUUCUCCUAACAUUGGAGGAAUAAGGAAUGAUGAAAACAAUCUUAGAGUGCUAUAUGGAACUUUUUGAGGUUUGGUUGAAGUUAAUGGUUCUAGUAGCUUAUGCAAGUUGAGAAAGAGAAAUUGGCAUUUGGGUUAGAUUGUGUGAAAUCCCUUUACAAGUUUGGCACUCACUACCUUCAAAGUCAUUGCAAAAUUGUUGGAGAAAAUUCAUUGGAGUUGAUAAAAGCACCUAUAAAUUAGAGAGGUUUGAUCAAGCACUCGUGCCUGUUAAGGUUAAAAGUAGAGCAAACCAUCCUAGUAAGGUGAGUGUAGAGGUUAAAGGUCAAGUGUUCAACAUCCUAGUAACUAUAAUGGGGAUGGAAAGGAAUUGUGGGUUGGAAUGCUAUUUUAAAGGUAAGGAAAUCGUUCAAUCUGUGGAAGAGAAUAAGCAUGUAGAGAUGGGUCAUAGUAGUGAUGAUGGAAAGGAAAGAAAAAGGCAGAAAGUGUCAUUGAAUAGAGGGCACAAGGAAUAAGACAACCCAAUGAUCAAAUAUUGUCAAGCGAGAAAAAUAGAAGGUCUAGAGAUUUUUGCAAAAAAGCUCAAAGGAGUAUAUAGAAGUAAAGGGACAAAAGACAAUGGGCAUCAACAAGUGUUCUCAAAAGAUGUGGUCUAUAGGCUACCAAACAUUGAUAGAAACAAGGGAUGGUACUAAAGAAGAGAAAAAGCAUGGAGAAAGAGGGAUACAAGAACAGAGAAAAGCUAACUCACCAAGUUUAAUACUGAAAAAAGGGAGAAGAAAGAAGAUAAUUUUGGAAUAGAGAAAGAGAGUCAAGAUAGAAAGUUGUUGGGAAUGACAAAACACUAUGAAUAGAAGUCAAUGGAGGAAACUAGAGAAGAGUCAAGUUAGGAAUAUAAAAUGGCAAAGAAAAGGGCCUUGAAGUCAAGUCUUGUGGGGCUCAAUGGUAAUGAACAAAGAAAGGACAAAAGUCCACAUAGGUUGAAUUAUGGGGUUUGGAGCUCAGAGAUGAGAAACCCAUGCACAAUAAAGGGCAUAGAAUUAAGCCUAUGCACAGAUAAGAGCAAUGUGGAACGUAGGUUGAAGGAAGAUGAUGUGGGCUUUUUAAGGGUUAGAAAUAAAUUUGAAGGCAAGGCUUAGAGUAAUGACCUAAUCAAUGGAUCAGAUGAGAUGAAAAAAUGGCUUAAGGGUAAUGCUCAAGUUAAAACAAAAAACGGCCUCGCAUAGGGAACGCCAUUAAAAUGAGAAAGUAGAGGAAAAAAUCAAAUGGAAAAAGGAAAGAACGAUGAAAGUGAUCAAAAGAGUGAGACUGAGAUGAGAGAAAAACAAAAAGAAGGGUAUCCGAGGAAGAAAUAGAGGAAAGUAGAGAAAAUAAGGAAAUUUGUAUUCGGGAAUAUGAGUGAGAUGAAGGUGAUAAUGAUCGAUUGGACAGAAAAGUUGAAGAGGAACGGGGGAAGAUUAAGUUACUUAAGAGUAAGAGGGGGGAAAGGUAGUGCUACUAGGUAUUUGCUAGUGAUGGUAAGUGAACAAAAAUGCAAAAGUUGAAGUGGGGGAGAAAUAGAAUGAAAGCAAGAAGGGAUAUUUGAUGAGUGGAACAACAUCUUCAAGAGCGAGGUCAAGCAACAGUAGAAAGAAACAAAGAAGGAUGAAGAACGAAGAACAAGUGGGAUAAUGUAGCAUAAGGAAGAGUGGAAUUGGUGAAGGCUAUGAGUCAGAUGCAAAAAUUAGUAAAUGAAACUUGGUACUCAUAAAAGAGGUAGAAGAGAUUUGGGAAUUGAGUAAAAAGUUAUGAAUAAAUUUCUUAAAAAACAAAAAGGAGGUGAUAUCACGAAUUAUUGAGUUGGAUUCAAAAAAUGGGAGUUAAAGAAGGUUGUUAGUUCAAGAUGAGUAGCUGUGCCUUGUCCUGGAUGACAAGUACAAGGGUGGCGGCCCAUGGAAGAUGUUCACUUAGAGCUUUUGUUAAAAAAAGGUGCCUUUUGGCUUUGAUGAUCUAUUUUUGAUUAGAAAAUACCCUUAUGAGUUAAAAAGUUUCCCCUUUUUUGCACUUUCUUUAAUUUGCUAUUUAUAUGGUUUGGUUAAUGUUGUGGGGUUGUGAAUUUCUGUUUGGUUUUUUGUUUAUUAGCUGAGUUUAGGGUUCGACAUACCCUAUCGAUGAUUUGGCCUUUUGUAUGGUUAGAGGAAAAAGUGGGACAACCUGCAAGUUAGAUCAUAGAGGAAUUUUGGUGUGGUUAAAUCUUCAAAGAGUUUGGCAAGUUGAGAAAAGCAUUUGGAAACUAAAGAAGACAACGGGAGAGAAGACAAUGGUGUUGGCAUAGUAGUGCAAUCAAGCUUCUUUUGUGCUUCUUUAAGUUGUUGUUGGGUUUUGUUCUAGGUGUAGUUUUUUCAGUAGCUUCGGUUCGUUUUCUUUAUCUUUUGAUCAUCAUAUUUAGGUCUUCACUAGUCCUUUGGAAAGGUUUUCUGUUUUUUGAGCUUUGAAGGAAUUUUACAAGGAUGUGCAUUUGAUUGGUGCUGCCAAUUGCUUUUUCAGCAGCCACUUUGUUUUUGCAAGUGUUUAAGCUUAUGUUUCACCAAAGCUAGAUUUUUUAUGCCCACAAAGUCUUAGACUAACACAGUUCAAGACUUAUUAUGACAUACUAACUUAUAUAGGUCAAUAAUAAAAUCUGUUUUUCAAAAAAAAAAUUCAGGUCGUCUCAUGGACAAUUCUAAUAAAGCUUUAACUUAUUUUUUUUAGAGAAAUUAUAUAUAUGUGUGUGUGUGUCUGUGCACAUACACAUAUGUAUAAUAUAAUAAAAUAUAAUAUAAAAUUUUUGUUUGAUUUCUUCCUUUUAUAUUAAUGCAACAUGGGAAAGAAACAUAGAACGAACCUGCUAUGAAACACUCCAAAAGAACCCUCGAGAACAUAAUAGGAGUAAAUUUGACAAGGUCUUCUACUUCCAAAUGAGGUAAAACAUCAAGUUUCUCCUUCCAAGGCCACCUUAUAUCCCUCAAUAUUAAUGAGCAGUACUCUAUAGCCAGCAGAGAGGGAUUUUCAUAUUUGAAGUUGUUAAUGCCCUUUGUUGUCAUUUCCUGAUAAAGAGAAGAAACAACAUGAAAGGUAUAAAACAAAAGGUUAUAAACACAUACAGUUAAUACUUGCCAUAAUGAUGAUACUUUUCAUAUCAGAUGUUUUAUUAGCUACGAAGCCAAGAAGUUAAUUUCUGUUUUUUUUUUUUAUGUGAAUUUGCAACCAUGGUCAACACCAAUCUGGAGCAGUUAAGUUGAAACGUGCUGAAAGCUCUGCAAACCUUAAUUGGCUUUAAAGUUAGUCAAAAUUUUGGAAUUUCCAAAGUUGCUGGAUAGGCAUAUCUAGAUAGUUAUGGACUCAUUCAAAAGAUACUGCACCAUGAAAUGACUACCUAAACGACUAUGUAAGGUAGCUCAACAUAGAUACGCAUAAGUAGCGAUUUACGAACCCAACAAUCAAGCCAAUCCAUUGGAAUUUUGAGUUCAACCUCUCUUGCCUCAAACCACCUGAAUGGAACCCAUUUUGGUAGCCAGCACCAAUGUAGGAGCCGCAGCCAAAACCAAGCAUCUAUUGGGAAGACACCCAAGACCCGUUUGACUUUAGUGAUUACUCUGACCAAAAUGACUUCUUCAUUAAUGAGCUAAGAUGGGGCCCAAUCAAACACUCAAAGAAACAAUUCAAAUAAAGAUACCAAUUAAUAAAUAAGAUAUUGUACGUUACAAAUACUCUAAUAUUAUUUAAAUUUAUUAUCUUAAUCUGAAUCUUAAUAUAUAAUCACUAUCUGAUAAUUACCUGAAUCCAUUUAAAAAAUUGAUUAUAUAAAAAAAAUUAUUAAAAUGUUCUUUAUGGGUACUUAAUUAUUCGAACUAGCAUAUAUACUCAUAUCUAUAUACAAUAAUAUUUUCAUCCGUAUUUCAUAUAAUUUAUUGAUAAUUAAAUUUACAAAAGCACACAAACAAUGAAAUUUAAAUUUAAAUAAUCAAAAACAAAUAUCUCAAAUAUCAACUUAAAUAAUUAAAACAAAUAUCCAAACAACAACUUAAACAACAUUACAAAUUUAAUUAACUAUAUGAAUUUGUCCUUAAUUACAUGCAAUUAAAAAAAUAAUUAAGUUUCAAAACUAUUCUAAUAUCACAACUUCUCUUUAAGUAUAUAUCUUAUAAGUUUACAUAAAUAGAGAUAUAUAUAUUAUUAUUAAUAAUUUUAUAAGUUAUAAUUUUUAUAACGUUAAUAUAAAAUAAAAAGUAAAUAUAUUUAUAUUUAAAGUAGAUAUACUAAAAGCCUAUAAUAUAAUAGUAAUUAUAUUCAUUACAAAUUAACACAAUAUAUAACAUAUAGGUAUUAAAAAAUAUUACAAAUUAAUUAACAAUCAUAAUUUCAUGAAUUAAUUUAAUUAAUAAUAUAAAUUUAUCUUUAAUUAUAUAAAAUUAAAAAAAAUUAAUCAAAUUUAGAUAUCGAGUACUUAAAAGGUGAUACUCGAUCUCGAUACAAGUAAUAAAAUUAUUACUCAAAUCCUACCGAACAUGAUUAUAGAGUAUCCUAAUUUUAUAUAACUAAGUUAGAUAAUCACAAAUACCCAUUGCCAUUGCCAUAGCCAAUUCUAGCCAAGCAUCUUGUAAUGCUUCUCAACCAAACACUAUGAACCAAAACAUUCCCGUUGAACAAUAAAUUUAUGGUCUCCCAUCGAAAUUGGCUUGAACAUUUAGGAUAUGAUUUUACUCCAACAGCAAAUAAAUCUCAUCUUGACCUCCUAAAUGACAGCACUUAAGGAAAUUUUUAGAUUAAAAUAUUUUGAAUUAAGUGUAUCAGUGUGAUUAAGUAUGUUAAUUGUGACAUGUUAAAUAUGCGUGCUUGGCCUGUCUUACAUUAAAUGGCAUGACGUUUGUCUUUUUGUUGUACUCCACAAACGAGCCUUCAUCAAAAGACAAGAAAAGCGCAUCAAGAGAAGUGUCACCUUGACAAUUGUGCCAUGUAAAAAAAUUGUACUAUAAGACGAAAUUUACUUGCUUUUAAUAUUUAUUUUAGAAUCUACUUUAUUAAAUAUACAAGCUUUUUCUUUAUGUCUUGUCGAGUUACUUUCGCCCAUAUAAUGAAUAGUAACAUUGUGUCCUUGUGUAACUCUUGAGUGCUUAUAUAAGGAAAUUCCUUCUUUAUGUAAGAGGCACCUCUUAAUUUUCUAAGUUUGUAAGAAUUCUUAUGAAAUAUAAAAAGUAUAUGCUUCUAAAUUUCUCUCUUUUGUAUACUAUCUCCUACAAUUAGUGACUUAGUAUAAAACUAUCGCUCACACUUAACAAAAUGUCAUGAGUUAUAUACUUUAUAAUUGUUCUUUCGAUAAAUCUUUUACAUCAAAAUUUUAUAAAAUUAAUUAUUGAUCGUUAUAUCACAACAGACUUAGUUUUGUAGCUAAGUUGAUCAUAUCCUGUUACUGUAGCACGACGUCAUAGUGCCAUAAAAAUUUGAUCUUAAUUAGAUAGUGUUGUCAAGAAAGUGCUUGAGAAUUUGAAAUCGGCUAGAAUACAUUGAUUUAUGUUUAGUGCUAGCUUACGAUUUACCGUGUUUGUAACGCCGAUUAAUGUCAUAUUUGAUUGUCGAUCCUGGCUUCUAUAAUUAAUUGAAUAAAAUAUUUCUUGGUUUCUUACCUUUCUUAAUUCUUCUUUUUUUCAUUUAUGAUUUAUUUGUUUUAUUUUGAAUUCAUAUAUCAUUAACAGGGAAAAGUGAAGGAAUAAAAGGAGAGAAAUCAUGAGAUUAUAUAAAGAUGGCUAAAAUUUCAAUCAUUACCUUGGUUAUAGAAAACUUGUCGGGUUUCGCUUCAAAAUUUGCGAUCUUAUCAACGACAGAUUCCAGCAGAGUGUUCAACUUGUCAUUAUAACCAAACACUGUCACCUAUAUAUAGAAGAAAACCACUAAGUUAGGAACAUACAACAUAUUAGAAAAUAUAUAAGAAAUGAUGCAUACUAAUUCUACAUUCCUUGGACAUGUGCAUGCACAAACACAUCUAGAGAAUGAGCAAGAAAUUAGUUUACUUUACUAAUUUUUAAUAACAAAAUAGUCUUAGAUCAUAAUUUUCAGAUUAAGGAGUGUUUCGAGCACCUAUCAUGCUAAAUUUUGCACAUUUACAUGUAGCUUGUAGGAUAUGAUGAUAUCAUAUAAUUUUAUUCUCCUUUCUUCAAAAUCUUGCAUAAUAAUAUACUUGAAUAUUUAAUUUAAUAUUAUAAAUACAUAUAUUUAUUUCAACUCAAAUAGUUAGAUUCGCGUUUUCUUUUUCCAGAAAAAAAAAUCUUGUCAAUGUUAGCACCAUAUGUUUAGAUUUUAUAUAAAAUAUCCUGAGUUAAAUCGAGGCUUUACAAAAUACCAAUAGCUACGCCUAUAUUACAGUUGCGAAAUGGAAAAUCAGAGGAGCAAAAUUACCUCAAAACCUCUGUCUGUGCGCGAUAUAGAAUAAUCAAGGCCAGCAAUUUCAGCGUCGUAAGCUGAAGCAUAGAGGAUAAGACAAGGCUUUUGUCAAGAAGGGGGACGGAGCUUUCGAGUGAUGAGAAAAGAGCAAGAAACCCAAACUGCAUAAGACUAGUAAUUUACCGUGUUCAUUCAAGUAAUCGUCCAACAACUGUACAAAAAUGUUGGCAAGAACUUCAGCUUGAGGAGAAUCUCUAACGUGGGGACAGUUGAAUUCAAUUUUAACAAAUGCCUUAGGUACGGAGAACAUUGUAUCAGGCUUGUACCAUAGUUUUGAAUAGGAUGACUUUCUUAACAAUACUGGGAACUUGACCUGCUCAAUGGGAUCCAUUUAAAGGUUAAUUCAUUGCUACAUCAGAGUGGCUAGAGUUGGGAUUGAUAAAAACGAUCACAACAAACCUUUUCUUGAGCAACCUUAAGAGACAAGUUUGUGGGUACGAACAUAUUUGGUGCUGGCAGCUGCAAAUUAUCACUUGGUGCUGAUGACAUCCAUUUCUGCAAUCAAAUCAAAGGUUCCAUCAAGAACCUUUCUCUUCACCGGAGAUUUAUAAAAUAUAUAGAGAGGGUAGUAAACAAAUGGAAUUCUACAAAGUUGUUAUAUAAAAAUAUAAUGGGUAAGAUCAACAGCAAACCUGAAUCAUCGAAGUAGUGAUUUUUUCAACAGUAUAUGCAGUACCGAACCAUGGCUCAACCUUAUCUGUGUCUCCUUCAAAUUUCUUCGACUCCCAGAAAAUUCUGUUAAACAGAGAUCGUAUUAGAUACAAAACAAAAACCGAUUCACUUGUAAAUUAAUUGAACUAUUAUUUUAUACAUGGUCGGUGUAGUUUCUAAACUUCACAAUCGACGGAUUAGAUAGUUGAUGCAUAUCUAUAUUUAAGAAAACUAGUAAAUUAAUAUAAUGAAUCUAUGCAUUUGAGUCUCCCUCUCUCUCUCUCUCUCUCUCUUUAUAUAUAUAUAUUAUAUAUAUAUCAUGCUAAUACAAUUAGACUUAAAUCUCCCUCUCCAAAAUCAAAUAUAUAUAUUAUUAAUUAAAUAUAUAUAGAUAUGACAAUAUUUUAACUCUACUUAUAGAAUUUAAAAACUCAAUUGUGGAUAUAUAAAAUAUAAUCCAAAUUAAGAUGUAUACUAGUUAAUAAUAAGACAAGCUUAGAUGGGAUUUCAUAAAGGAUACCUUAUGCGAUAUUGGCUUUUCGACUCAGUUUAUUGACAUUAUUGCACAAAGUUGGCAAGGAUGUAGUACUCAAAUAAUCUGAAAUGGUUGUCUUACAGACUUCUUUUUACCUUCAAGAGGAAUACGACAAGGGGACCCUUUUCUCCUUAUUUGUUUGCCUUGUGCAUGGAAAGAUUAUCACAUGGCAUUAACUUGCUAGCCGACACUGGUUUAGGGAAAUCAUUCCAAUUCAAAAAUGGAGGACUAACGAAAUAGCAUAUACUUUUUGCAAAUGACUUAAAUUUAUUUGCUGAAGCUUCGGAACAAUAGCUAGAUGUCAUAAUGCAAGUUUUUGACAUGUUUGGUAGAAGCUUGGGGGAGAAGGUGAAUCAUAGUAAAAUUGUCUUCUAUUGUGCUCGAAAUGCGUGUAAUAAUCUAUUGCGCCACUUGGAACAGAGGUUAGGUUUCUCUCUAACACAUGAUUUAGGGACUUAUCUAGACACUCCAAUCAUCCACGGUUGGAGAUGUCUCAAGCAUUAUCAAUAUAUUGUGGAAAGGGUACAAAAGAAGUUGACUGGGUGGAAAACCAAUUCGUUAUCCUUUGUUGGCCGCUUGACAUUGUUUCAAUCAAUUUUGCUCUCAUUGUCAUACUAUGUCAUGCAAGCAUUAGUAAUACUUCAAGCUAUCUAUGAGAAAAUAAAAAAAAAAGUAUGAUGUUUUUUUGGGGCUCCAUGGGGUUAAUAGGAAAAUUCAUCUUGUUAAAUGGGCAUAGAUAUGUAGGCCAAAAAAGUUUAGUGGCUUAAGAAUUUGAAAAUUGUGACAGAUGAAUGAUGCUUUUCUUAUCAAAUUAGGGUGGUCCAUCAUUGACAACCCUCACAAACUAUGGUUUGCAUUAUGAGAGUGAAAUACAGAGUUAUGAUGGCAAUGAGUCCUGAGGUUAAGAACAUUCCUUGGGCUUUCCUCAUAUGGUGUUGGCUCAUAUUGGGUUUAGAUGGAAUUUGAGGAAUCGACAAAAUUGACUUCAAGAUGAGCCUUUUAAUAGACGCUAUCUGUAAGACUUAUUUCAUCUUCAUCACUCAAUAUACAAAAAAGGGAUUAUGCAAAUAGCCUUAGGGAUACAAUGAAUAACAUCUAACUUUGUCUUUGCACUUUACGAGAGUAAACCGCUAGAUAUACUCUAGGGUUUGCAAAGUUGUUCUACCUUAAAGCCUACUUUCGGUAGCAAGUAGAUUAUAAGGAAUUUGGAUUCUUUUGAUGGAUGAUAGGAACUAAAGUGUUUAUGUUUACUUACAGAACAUAACACUUUUAUUGUUUAUUAACUUUUCUUCUCUUGUCUUGUUUGUUUUUGGUCUGUCAAAAUGGUUGGUAGUAAGUCUGUUAUAUAGACUUGCUAGUGUCUCUUCUUAAGGACACAAACUUUUCAUUAAGGCAUCUUUUUGCCUUAAAGAUACCUUUGUGUUUUACAAGAUACAAUCUUUGGAUAAAGGUAUUGUUUCAAUAAUCACCUUAUGAAAGGACAAUAAUUCAUUCGAUGAGAUAUAAUCUUUGAGCUACAAUAUGAAAAGAUAACUUUUCAUAACCCAACUUUUGAGCUGUGGUGUUUUUUCAAUUAUCUCAUAACUUUUGAAUUGAAAAGUGUGUUUUUAAUAUGUCACUUUACUAAGAGAUAUAACUAUUCACAUGAAAAACUCAUUUACAAUCCAAUAGUCACAUUAUGUCACUCUAUGUGACUUAACCUUUGAGCUAAGAUAGAUUUCCAUUAUGUGAGACAACAUUUUGUUUUGAAAAUACACCAACAUAUGGCGGGACAUUGAUCGAGUUUUGCUUGCAAUAGUGGAGUAUGCUUGAUGGUCAAUUGGCUUGAGUAGAGAAGUAAAUUUCUUGCAUGAUUAUUGGACUACAAGAAGGAAGAUUGCUGAUUUUGUUAAGAAUAAUUGUUGACUCUAUAUGUUUUUUAUGAUAACAAAACAUUUUUCAUUCAUUAAUGUCUAACUUUAUUAAUUAAGUGUGUAGGAUAAAGUAAAUUCCCUCAAUGAAAUGAAUAAUUAAAAGCAAGAUCAUAUCAUAGAUAGGCUAAUCAAUUAAAGUGAGAAAAAUGGAAAGAAGUUGUGAAGAAAGCACUUUUGUAAUUGAUUAUCAUAAAGCCUUAAUCAGCUAAGGAAUGGUUAAGCUUUAAGUUAAAGCAAAACAGAAAAAUAUUAAUCAGUUAACACUAGACUUAACUGAUUAAGAAUGUGUUGGAUAAAGCAAAGUAGAGGUGUGCUAAUUGGUUAAGGCGUAAGGUUAAUUAGUUAGAGCACAAGACUUGAAAAAUCUUCAAGUGCCAAAAUGCAAAUUCCUAGUGAAGGUGACCGUUGGAUGGAGCCAAAAUGAAGGAAUGCAAAUUCGAAGAAUUUUUAAUUGAUUAGAGCUGGUGGUAAUCGAUUAAGGUUAAGGAAGUAAAGCUUCAACCAGUUAAAGAGAGAGUUAACCAGUUGAGGAAGUUUGUUGAAAAAAAGAAGCUUGGAGACAAAGAUCUCUUAAUCAGUUAGAGUCUCUUGUAAUUAGUUAGAGCAAAAAAUACAGCAGUAAGAUAGUGUAAGAUAGAGAAGCUGUAAUCGAUUAAAGCACCGAGAAGCUGUAAUCGAUUAGAGCUAUCUGUAACCAAUUAACAAAGCACUAUCGGCCUAUUUGAAAAGAGUUGCUAGAAGAUAAAAUAAUGGCUAGAAAUUGUCUCUAACUACUAGAAUCAGUCUACCAAGUAUUUAAAGCAUUUCUAACAUUCAAAAAUCACAUAGAGAAGCUACCAAGAGUGAUUUUGAGCUAAAAACAUCCAAAACCUUCUCUUAACACUUGUAUUCCACUCCUAUCUUUGUUAAAGUGUUUGUGUUGAAGCUUGUACAACUUAGAUCAGUAAGGUGAUCAUUUGUAGCUCCUUUUAUCUUCUAUUUCUUGUUUACUUAAAGUGUGUGAGACACUUUAAGGGGUAGUCUAAGUUAGGGUAAGUUUAGGACUUGUUGUAAAAGAAUUAGAGCUUGGGUUAUAAGCUCACCUUGUAAAAGUUUGGUGGAAGCUGUUUAUUUUACUAGUUUUAGUGAAGUGGAUGUAGAUCAGGUGGAUCAAGCCACUAUAAAUAUUGUGUUUUAAUCCAUACAAAGACUUUUCAAGCUUACAUACUUUCCUUUCUUGACUAGGAAGACAAAUUCUUCGAGUUCGUCCAUAUACACUUCUUCAUCUAACUCACAAUUUAGGAAUGAUGUUUUAACAUCCAUUUGGUGAAUUACUAUAUUUUGUAUAGAUGCAAGUGCUAUAAGCACUUUAAUUGUAGCUAUUCUUGCUACUGGUGCAUAUGUCCCAAAAUAAUCUACACCUUCUUUUUGUUAAAGCCCUUAACCACUAGCCUUGCUUUAAAUUUAUCUGUGAUUCCAUCAACUUUCCUUUUCUUUUUGAAAAUCCAUUUACAACAUAUUGGCUUAGAACUUGGUGGAAGGUCUACCAAUUUCCAAGUUUUAUUUCCAAUUAUCAAGUCCAUCUCAUCUUGUAUUACUACCAUCUAAAAUGAAGCAUUUUGAAACCUCAUUGCCUCCUCAUAAGUUUAAGGAUCACCUUCAUCUUAAUCACAUGUUUCUUCUCUUAUAUCUUCUACUAAGUACAUGAGGAAAUAGGAUCCAUAUGUCUUUGCUUUUCUACAUCUUUUGCUUCUUUAAAGCUCAAUAGUUUUCUUAUCAUUUUCUGAAAGUUUAUUACUUUCCAUUACUAGUUCUUUAGGUCUUGGAAUUGAAUUGAAUCUUGUUUCAUUAAAGAUUGCAUCCUUUAAUUCUAUGACUAUAUUAAUGGAAUAUGAAUCAUUGGGCUCAAUCACCAUGAACCGAUAUGCUUUACUAUGUUCAGCAUAUCUUAUGAAUAUUCAUUUAAUUUCUUUUUCACACAAUUUCCUUUUCUUUGGUUCCGACACUUUUACUAUGGCUCGACAUCCCCAAAUUCUUAAAUAAUUAAGGUUUGACUUUUUUCUUUUCCAUAACUCAUAAAAAGGUAUUUUACUUCUUUUGUUUGGGAUUAUAUUUAGUAUAUAGCAAGUCGUUAAUAAGGCUUUGCCCCAAAAUCCUUUUUCCAAACCCAAAUUAAAAAGCAAAGCAUUGAUCAUUUUUGUAAGAACUUGAUUCUUACGUUUCACUACACCAUUUUGUUCUGGUGCAUAUGGAGCAGUAAUCUCAUGCAUAAUACCAGUGUACUCAAAAUACUUGGGAUCAUAAUAUUCACCUCCUCUAUCACUUCGUACGCAUUUGAUAUGCAAUUCACAAUGCAACUCAAUUUCAUUUUUAUAUAUUCUAAAUUUCUCCAUUACUUCAUCUUUAGCAUGUAAUAAGUAAACAUGGCAAUAUCUAGAGAAGUCAUCUAUAAAUGUUACAAAGUAUUUCUUUCCACCAAUAGAUGGAGUACUAUGCAUGUCACAAACAUCAAAAUGUAUUAAUGCAAGCAAUUUUGAGUUUCUUUCUAUAUAAGGAAACGAGCUUCUUGUGAUUUUAGUAACCAUGCAUGUAUUGCACAUAUCAUUAUUUCCAUCAAUAUUAGGUAUCAACUCUAAGUUAACCAUAUCAUGCUUUCUUCUAUAAUGGAUAUGACCUAAUCUAUUACGCCAUAAAUUAUACAAUGCUACUUUAGUAUCAUGAACAUUAAAUGAGACAUCAAUAUCAGUAGAACUAGUAGCAUUCCUAUUAAUAUUGAGCUUAAACAUGUUUUUACAUAAGUAUCCACUUCCCACAUAUUGUCCACCUUUUGUAAAGAAUAACUUAUUUCCCUCAAAUACUAAUUUGAAGCCAUACUUAUUUAGCAAGCCACCUGACAUAAGAUUUUUCUUCUAACUUUUGGUAUAUAAUAGACAUUAUUUAGCUCAAGUAUUUUUUCAAAAGUAAACAUGAGUUCCACGGUGCCUUUUCCUUUCACUUGUAUAGUGGAGGAAUUUCCCAUGUACAACAUGGUUCCAUCAUUAACCACUGCCAAGGAGUUGAAGAAACUCUUAUCCUUACAUACAAGCUUAGUUGCACCAAUGCCAAUCCACCAUACUUCAUCAUCUUGGAGAAGAUUGACCUCGAAAAUCAUAGCAACAAACUUGUUGUUGUUCACAUUUUAUGUCUUUUAUUUCAAAAGUCUACAUUUUGUCUUGAAUUGUCCAAAGAAUGGGCCUUUUUUGUUCUUUUGAUCUUAUGACUUUUGUUGUUCAUAUCAACAGAAUGUUUUCUUUUGUUGUAUGAAACCGGCUUGUUUGAUGAUUUGUGUUCCAUUAUAUGGACCUUUGAAGUUUCAAGAUUCUUUCCAUUCGAAUCCUUUUCUUUUCCACAUCUUGCUUGACUUUUUCUUGUUUGCGAUAAUCUUCUUUUAUUCGAAGAUUAUUACUAAGGUCCUUGAGAGACAUCUCUUCUUUCUUAUGUUUUAGGGUUUUCUUAAUGUCUUUCCAUAAACAGGGAAGUUUAUCAAUUAUCGAAGACACCAAAAAUAGCUUUAUCUAUAUUAAAAUUAUAUUGCUAAAAGCUAUUAAGCAUGCAUUAAAGCUCAUAAAAUUGAUUCAUAACAAAAUGAUAAUCUAUGCAUGUGACAAAAUACUUCUUUCUAACCAAUGUGCUUUUAUUAUGCCUAUCACACACAGUUUCAUUCAUAUCAAGUAAGGAAAGAAAACUUAUUUUAUAAUCCGAUAUAGAAACAUUUUUCCACAAACAAAUCCGGUUCAUAGAUCUUUCUUUGUUAACAUCAAACCGAUCUAACUUUUUCCAACAAAUAAAGUUUCCUUCUUCAAUGCGGUCUAGGUUGACAAUGUUGGUAACUAUCUCUUUUAGUGAAGUCAUUUUGAAUUCCAAUUCCACGAAAUAUAAAUUUUAAAACUAUUGGUGCAUAUGGGGUUUAGUUGGAAUUCAAGGAAUUAGCAAACUUGACUUCAAGGUGAGCCUUUUAAUAGAUGUUAUCUUCAAGACCUAUUUUGCCCUACUACUCAGUAUGCAGAAGGGGAAUUAUGUGAAUAGCCGAAGAAAUACAAUGUAGCCAACGUCUAACUUCGUCUUUACACUUUACGAGAGCAGGCUGCUAGAUACACUUGAGGAUUUGCAAAGUUGUUUAGUCUUAAAGCUUACUUUCUACAACAAGUAGAUUAUAAAGAAUUUGGAUUCCUUUGAUAGAUGAUGAGAACUAAAGUGUUUAUGUUUAUUUGCAGAACAUAACACUUCUAUUGCUUCUUAACUUUUUUGCUUUUGUCUUGUUUGUUUUUUGUGUUUCAAAAUGGUUGGUAGUAAGUCCCUUGUAUAGGCUUGCACGUGUUUCUUGUCGAAAACAUAACCCUUUUAUUAAGGCACCUUUUUGUCUUAAAGAUACUUUUACAUUCUACAAGAUACAAUCCUUGAAUAAAGGUAUUGUUUCAAUAAUCACCUUAUGAAAUGACAAUCAUUCAUUCCAUAAGACAUAAUCUUUGAGCUACAAUAUGAAAAUAUAACGUUUCAUGUCUAAACUUCUAAGUUAUGACAUUUUUCCAAUUGUCUCAUAACUUUUGGAUUUGGAAGUGUGUUUUUAAUAUGUCACUUUACUGAGGGACAUAACUAGUCACAUGAAAAACUUACAACUGAAUAGUCACAUUAUGUCACUUUCUGUGACAUAACCUUUGAGUUAACAUAGUUUUUCAUUAUAUGAGACAAUAUUUUAUUUUGAAACACACCAACAUAUGGCAGGGCAUUGAUCGAGUUUUGCUUACAAUAGUGGAGAAUACUCGAUGGUCAAUUGGCUUGUGUAAAGAAGUAAAUUUCUAGUAUGAUUAUUGGACUAUAAGAGGGAGGAUUAUUGAUAUUGUUAAGAAUAACUGUUGACUCCAUAUGUUUUUUAUGAUAACAAAACAUUUUUCAUUCAUUAUUGUCUAACUUUAUUAAUUAAGUGUGCAGAAUAAAGUAAAUUCCCUCAAUGAAACGAAUGAUUAAAAGCAAGAUCAUAUCAUAGAUAAGCCAAUCAAUUAAAGUGAGAAAAAUGGAAAGAAUUUGUGCAGAUAACGCUUCUGUAACUUAUUAUCAAAUAGCCUUAAUCAGCUAAGGAAUGGUUAGGCUAUAAGUUAAAGCAAAACAAAAAAAUGUUAAUUAGUUAACGCUAGACUUCAUUGAUUAAAAAAGUGCUAGACAAAGUAAAGUAGAGGUGUGUUAAUCGGUUAAGGUGUGGGGUUAAUCGGUUAGAGCACAAGACUUGAAGAAUCUUCAAGUGCCAAAAUUCAAAUUUCUAAGGAAGGUGAUCGUUGGAUGGAGUGAAAAUGAAAGAGUGCAAAUUCGAAGAAUUUUUAAUUGAUUAGAGUUGGUGGUAAUCGAUUAAGGCCAAAUGAAGUGAAGCUUCAAUUAGUUAAAGGGAGAGCUAACCUGUCAGAGCAAGUUUGCUGAAGAAAAGAACCUUCGAGACGAAGAUCUCUUAAUCGAUUAGAGUCUCUUGUAAUUAGUUAAAGCAAAAAAUACAACAGUAAGAUAGUGCAAGGCAGAGAAGCUAUAAUCGAUUAGAGCUGUCUGUAACCAAAACAAAACACUGUCUGCCUAUUUGAAAAGAGCCGCUAGAAGAUAAAAUAAUAGCUAGUAAUGGCUAGAAACUAUCUCUAAUGACUAAAAUCAGUCUAGCAAGUAUUUAAAGCCUCUCUAACAUUCGAAAAUCACAUAAAGAAGCUACCAAGAGUGAUUUUGAGCUAAAAACAUCCAAAAACCAUCAUUUGACACUUGUAUUCCACUAUUAUCUUUGAAAAAGUAUUUGUGUUGAAGCUUGUACAAUUUAGAUCAGUAAGGUGAUCAUUUGUACCUCAUUUUAUCUUCUAUUUCUUGUUUACUUAGAGUGUGUGAAACACUUUAAGGGGUAGUCUAAGUUAGGGUAAGCUUAGGACUUAUUGUAAAAGAAUUAAAGCUUGGGUUAGAGGCUCACCUUGUAAAAGUUUGGUGAAAGUUGUUAAUUUCACUGGUUUUAGUGAAGUGGAUGUAAACCAAGUGAACCGAACCACUAUAAAUAUUGUGUUUUGUGCACUUCUCUUAACCUUCUUUUACUUGAUGUUUGCUAAUCUCAACAAGUUUUCAAACCAUCCAUCUUAAAUCUUCCAAAUGGAUUUUAAAUUUCAAAAGUUACCUUCAAAAAUAUUUUUAAGUGCUAUUCACCCCCUCUUUAGCACUCCUUUUAAGACCAACAAGUGAUAUCAGAGCCUAACCCUUGAUUUUAAAGGUUUAACAUCUUAAAGGUAUGAUCCAAUGGUUGUUCAUAAUUUUAAUGUGGCUGAGGUUCAAUCCACAAAUAGGCUUUCUCUAUUUUAUGGAACAAACUACUGAUUUUAGAGUAUUAAGAUCUCUAUCUACAUAAGGACUGUUGAUUAUGAAAUGUGAAAUGUCAUCACUAGUAGUCCUUAUGUUCCUUCGAAAAUUGAUCUUGUAACUGGUAAGAAAAUUCUCAACACUAGAAAUGAGAAAAGUACAAAUAAACUUCAAAGCGAUAAACAUUCUCUAUUGUGCAUUAAAUUUUGAUGAGUUCAACAAAGUUUCUACUUGUACAAAAGCUAAAGAAAUCUAGGAGAAGAUGAAGAUCAUUCAUAAAGGGACUUCACAAGUUAAGGAGUCAGAGAUUGCUCUUUUUACUCACAGCUACGUGAUGUUCAGGAUGGAACUAGGAGAAGACAUCAAAACCACAUAUGAUCGGUUCACCAACAUUGUCAACAAGCUCAAGCAACUUGGGAAGGAAAUUCCUAAACAUGAAGUGGUAAAGAGGUUGCUUAAAAGCUUAUCAAAGGCUUGGAAGGUAAAGGUGACAGCAAUUCCAGAAGCCAAAGAUCUUAAUGUCAUCACCCUAGAUGAGAUAUAUGGCUCACUCCUAAUUUAUGAGCAAGAGAGGAAGGAAAAAAAAGAAAGGAAAGAAACUAAGGAAGAAAUAGAAGUAAGAGCUAACAUUUGCUUAAUGGCCAAAGAUGAAGAACUUGAGGUAAUUUCUGAUUUAUCUAAUAUUUCCUUUGAUAAAUUUCAAGAUGAGUAUGAUUGUUUAUAUGCUGAAUUUGAGAGGUUAGCUUUAAAGUAUAAGGUUUUGAAAAAGAAAGCUUUAUCUUUAGAUGAUGAAUGAGAAAAGAUUAAAUGUGAUUUCAAAUCUGCUUUUGAUUAAAGAAAUGUUUUUCAAAUUAAGCUGGAGCAAUCCAAAACAGAUUUUGAAUCUAUGAAGUUGGAACUAGAGAGCAAAAAUGAGGCCUUGCAAAAGUCAUUGGAUGAGAAUAUUACUCUUAAAGCGUAAAUAGAAGUGGGAUCAAAAUUGAAGUAAUACAAAGAACAAAAAUAAAAAAUAAAUGUUAUUUUAGAAGGAAAAAUGAUGCAUUUUGAUUUCAUUGUUAUGCUUAUGGCAAGAAAGGUCAUAUCUUUUAUGAUUGUUAUUGUAAGGGUAAUAACCUCCUUAAAACUAAGGUGGUUUAGGUGCCUAAAGGUUUUUAUGUGCUUACUAAACCUCAAGGACUUAUCAAAGUAUAGGUACCUUUGAAAAAAAAAGGAACAAUUAUUUUGUAGGUUGAGCAAGAGUAAAAGGAAUAAUGUUUGAAAGCUCAACCAAAGGAGAAACAACCUUGGUACUUGGAUAAUGGAUGCUCAAGGCAUAUGACCAUAAAUAAGAAUUUGUUUGUCAAGCUUGAUAGAAAUACAAGCGGUAGUGCCUCUUUUGGUUACAACUCUGAAGGUAUCAACCAAGGAAUUGAAACCAUUGGUAACACUUUUUAAACUAUAAUCAAGCAUGUUUCAUUUGUUGAAAGUCUAAAGUAUAACUUGUUAAGCAUUAGUCAAAUUCGUGAUAGAGGAUUUGGAAUUUGCUUUGAUUGUCAUGUAUGCCAUGUGAUUGACAUUGACACUAACAAAGUUGUAUCCAUUGGCAUAAGAUUUGAAAAUGCUUAAGUGAAUUUUCUUGAUGAAAUUAAUAUCCAAAAUGAGUCUUGUCUUAUGGCCAAUGAUGUGUGUGAUAGUUGACUGUGGCAUCAAAGAAUAAGACAUUUUCAAAUAUUAAAAAAAAAAGGAUUUGGCUAUUAAACUGUCAAAGAUUUCUUUUUAAAAUGAUAAAGUUUAUGAUGCAUGUUAAUUUGAAAAACAAGUAAAAAGUUCUUUUAAAUCAAAGACAGUGAUUUCAACUUGUAGACCAUUUGAACUAUUGCACAUUGACUUGUUUGGACCUAUUGAUGUUAUUAGCAUGAGGGCAAGUCAUAUGGUUUUGUUAUUAUUGAUGAUUACUUUAGGCAUACUUGGUUGUAUUUCUUUGCUUAAAAAGAUGAUGCAUUGCAUGCUUUUGUUAAACAUUGCUAGAAAGUGCAAAAUGAGAAAGGCGUUUCCAUUGUUAGCAUUAGAAGUGACCAUGGUGGUGAAUUUGAAAUAUUUUGCGAUAAACAUGGCUUUGAUCACAAUUUUUCAACCCCUAAAACUGCACAAUAAAAUGGAGUUGUAGAGAAAAAAUAGGAAAUUGAAGGAAAUGACAAGAACAAUACUUUGAGAAAAUAAUUUUUCAAAAUACUUUUGGACUGAGGCUAUAAACAAAGCCUCCUUCAUUUUAAAUAGCGUUUCCAUUAGGGUUAUGAUUUGAAAAGUCCCUUAUGAACUUUACAAAGGAAAAAAACCAAACAUUUCACAUUUAAAGAGUUUUGGAUGCACAUUCUUUAUUUUAAAAAAUGAAAAACACACCUUGGGAAAGUUUGAUGCUAAGAGUAAAGAAGCUAUUUUCUUAGGUUAUGCAAUUAAUUCUAAAGCUUAUAGAUUGUUUAAUAAAAAAAAUUAGUUAUAGAAGAAUUUAUUCAUAUUAUUUUUUAUGAGAUUAAUGUUGCACCAAGAAAGGUAGUGUAUGAUGAUUAUGCAGAUGAUAUUAAGGAGAAAAUGAAAUAGAUGAACUUCAAGAACAAAGAAGAUAAAGUAAAUUAACAGUUUUGACGAUAACAAAGCAUUUCUCAUUCAUUAAUGCCUAACUUUAUUAAUUAAGUGUGCAGAAUAAAGGGAAUUCCCUCAAUGAAAUGAAUGAUUAAAAGCAAGAUCAUAUCAUAAAUAGGCUAAUCAAUUAAAGUGAGAAAGAUGGAAAAAAUUUGUGAAGAUAAGGCUUUUGCAACUGAUUAUCAAAAAGCUUUAAUUAACUAAGGAAUGGCUAGGCUAUAAGUUAAAGCAGAACAAAAAAAUGUUAAUCAGUUAACACCAGACUUAACUGGUUAAGAAGGUGCUGGACAAAGCAAAGUAGAGGUGUGCUAAUCGGUUAAGGUGUGGGAUUAAUCAAUUAGAGCACAAGACUUGAAGAAUCUUUAAGCGCCAAAAUUCAAAUUCAAAUUCAAAGUGAAGGUGACUGUGAAUGGAGCCAAAACGAAAGAGUGUAAAUUCAAAGAAUUUUUAAUUGAUUAGACUUGGUGGUAAUCGGUUAAGGCUAAAGAAAGUAAAGCUCCAAUCAAUUAAGGGGAGAGUUAACCAAUUAGAGAAAGUUUGCUGAAGAAGAAAAGCCUAAAGACAAAGAUCUUUUAAUCAGUUAGAGUCUCUGUAAUCGAUUAGAGUAGAGAACACAACAGUAAGAUAGUGCAAGGCAAAAAAGCUAAAAUCGAUUAGAACUGCUUGUAACCAAUUAACAUAACACUAUCUACCUAUUUGAAAAGAGCCAUUAGAAGAUAAAAUAAUGGUUAGAAACUAUCUCUAACAGCUAGAAUCAGUCUCUCAAGUGUUUAAAGCCUUUCCAACAGUCAAAAAUCACAUAAAGAAGCUAGUAAAAGUAUUUUGAGCUUAAAACAUUCAAAAACCUUCUCUUAACACUUGUAUUCCACUCUUAUCUUUGUAAAAAUGUUUAUGCUGAAGCUUGUACAACUUAAAUCAGUAAGGUUUUCAUUUGUACCUCUUUUUAUCUUCUAUUUUUUGUUUACUUAGAGUGUGUGAGACACUUUAAAGGAUAGUUUAAGCUAAGGUAAGCUUAGGACUUGUUGUAAAAGAAUUGGAACUUGAGUUAGAAACUCACCUUGUAAAAGCUUGAUGGAAGCUAUUAAUUCUACUGGUUUUAGUGAAGUUGGAUUGAAAAUCCUUGAUUAGGAACAUCAAGGAAGUGGAUGUAGGUCAGGUGGACUGAGCCACUAUAAAUAUUGUGUUUUGUCUACUUCUAUUAAUCUCUUUUUACUUGUUUGCUAAUCUCAAUAAAUUUUCAAACCAUCCAUCUUAAAUCUUUCAAACGAAUUUUAAAUUUCAAGAGCUCCCCUUAAAAAUAUUUUUAAGUGCUAUUCACCCCUUCUACCACUCUUUUGGGGACCAACAAUAACAUCCCUUAAGAUGAAAUAAAUAAACCAAUGAGUGCUUAUAUUGAUGAAAAUGGUGUUUGAGACCUUCAAAUAGUGUCAAGUUUCAUCCCAUAAGAAGCAACAAAUUAUAUCUUGGCUCAAAAACCUUCUAGUCUAAAUGCGUGCGAAGAUAGAGUAUUUUGGGCAGCAACACAAAUUGAAAAAAAUUAUAGUUAAAUCAACAUACAACUAUAUUGCAAGCCUCAACCAUUUAAUGGAGAAUCAGAUUUGGAGAGUAAUUUGGAAGUGGCCUAAUGCUAAUUCCACGUAUACUUUUUUUAUGGUUGGCAUACAAAGAUUGUUUUUGAACCAUCUUGGAACGAUCACAUCAUCAUUUUUCUAGAAAUUCUUUUUGCACUAUGCAAUAUAGAAGAUAAGUCGGUUAUCCAUGUUAUUUACGACUGCCCUCUCGCUAAAACUGUUUGGGAUUCUUUUGUUCUUGUUAAUCUUCAUGGUCUUUUGACAACUAGAUUAUGCUUGGUUGGUUUUACCAGAAUCUUAGGGGGGAGGUUUUCUUGUCUUGCAAUACCCAUGGUGGUGUGUCGUUUGGGGUCGUUGUGUGGUCUCUUUAGAAGUGGAGGAAUGAAUCAGUAUUUAACCACCACAACAUAUUUACUUCCAAAAAGAUCAUCCUCAUUAAAAAGUAUCUUGAAGAUACUAUUCAUUCUUGGUUGUACUUUAUUCCCACAGAUGCUGGUGUCAAUAGAUCUCGUGUGGAGUUGUUGAUUGGAUGGUCUCCGCAACCUCAAGAUUGGUUGCUAAUCAACACUAAUAAAGCUCAUUGAACUUCAUGCCAUCAAUCCAUUGCAGGAGUUGUUAUUCUUUACCAUUUUGGGAAUUGAAAAUGUGGUUUCUUAGUCAAUCUUAAAAACUGUUCUCCAUAUCGAGCAGAAUUAUGGAGUGGUUAUUGAGGUUUGUCAAUGGCACAGGAUGAGGGGUGUUGUAAAGUGAUCUUGGCUAUGGAUAACAAAACUGUUGUAAAAGUGAUUCAAAUGGAAACAGAUGAACUAAAUACUAAUUUAAAUUUGACUUUGGUUAUUAAAGAUUUCUUAAGGAAAGAAUGACAAAUAAGUAUCAUUCAUGUGUAUCGUGGAUCCAAUCGUUUGGCAGAUUUUCUUAUGAUUAUGCCUUUUCAAUAUCCUUUUGGCAGAAAGCUUUUCAGGGAUCCUUUAAGGGACAGUGCUUCAAUUUUAUUAAGCGAUGUUAUAGAAAUUUCAUUCCCAUGCAUUAUUUUAAUAUAUAUGUAUUAUUUUUAUUUCCUUAUACAAAAGUAAUAAUAUUGAUGUAAAUGUUUGCUUUUUAGGGUUAGAUUAAUCUUACCAAUGGAUCCUAAACUUUUUAUUUUCACUUUUUUAAAAAAUGCUUUUUAUCAACGGAGUCAUUUUUGUUGAUAAAAAUCCAUCGAUAGUUAUUGACGAAAUACCAAACAAUUGCUAAACAACAGGUGACAAGCAUGUUACCAAUGAAAUAUCGACGGAUCAUUGAUGGAAUUUAUCGACGAAAGUGGAUCCAACGGUAAGUAAGUCCAAUGCUAAUUUUAGCUUGGCAAUUAGGAAUAAAAUGCACAUUUAUUAAAAAAAUUGUAACUUAAGUAGGGUCUUAAUUAGUAAUUAUCUAGAUAAUGGAAUAAUUAAUAUUCUUCAGUAAGGAAUUAAUUUAAUUAAAGAAUUAAUUAAAUACUUAACUAAUUUGUUUACUAAGUACUUUGUGUUAAUUACAUUAUAAUAUUAUUUAACAGAAAAUAAAUUAUUAAUGUAAGUAUAUGAACAAAAAUCUGAAAUGUAAUAAAAAAUUUGCAAUUAAAUUAAAUUAGAAAAACAUAAAUUUUCAAUUAAUUGUUUAAUUGUAACUUAUAUAAUUACAUUAGUAAUAUAUUACUGUAAUUUAAUUAUAUAAAUUUGUAAUUAAUAGUGUUAAAUUAAUAAUUAAUAAUUUAUUUUUCAUAAAAAUUAACAAUGUUAGUAAUUAAUAUUAUUAAAUUUCAUAAAACUUUUAUAACUUAAUAUACUGAAAUUUGUGUUAAUGUUGUAAAGGAAUUAGGAAAAUUUCAUAAAAUUAAAAUUUUGUACGUCUAUUAUAUAAAUGAUUAAUUACUAGUGUUCAAUUACUAAUUAAUAUUAUAUAAUUUCAUAAAAAUUAUAUAAUUAGUAGUUUUACGUUGUAUAAUUUAAUAUUGUUAAAGUAAUAAAAAGUUAUAAUUUAAUAAUAUAAAAAUGUUAAACUAGAUAAUUAUAUAAUUAUUAUUGUUAGUAAUUAAGAAUUAAUAUUGUUAGUAACUAAUAUUGUUAAAUUACAUAAAAUUUUUAUAAUUUAAUCUUAAUUUGAAAAAUUGUUAUAAGUUAAUUCUAUAAAUUAAUAUUGUAAUGUAAUAUCGUGAAUUUCAUACUCAUAGUAGUAGUUAGAUAAAAAGCAAUUCUUUAAAUCAAUCAAAGUUUGCAUGAAGUAAUAGCAGCAAUAAUUAAGGUGUUUCUUUUACAUUUUAUAAUAGACGACAUCAUCAGUUUGUUAUAAUUAUUAGAAUGGAAUGAAAUAGAUCUUGGAUAUAUUCUCGAGUAGAUUCACGUGGAUUCAUUAGGAUGGAAUUUGUGAAUGGCAUCGAAGAAAUUUUUUUUUUGCCUUCAAUCAAGAUAAAUAGUAAGCUCUUAAUUGCUGAUAAGGUUUGGAAGCACCUUUUCUAUAAAAGGUUUCAUUAGUGCAUACACAAUAUGGGAUUCACAUGGUGAAUUAUUCCAUGUCGGAUAAUCAUCGAGAAGUGGUGAUGAUAAUGUUGAAGAAGUAGUUAAUGAAGUUGGAGUAGAAAAUCCAUAUGCUCGAAUGAUUAUGGAUGUUUUACGUCUAGAAUUUGAAUUCAAUGUCAAAAAUUAAAAUGAAGCGAUGGUUCAUGAAAAAGAUCCUAAUCCAAACGCUUCAACUUUUUAUUCAUUGUUAAAUGAUGUGGAUGCACCUUUGUGGUUUGGUUGCAUGAAGCAUACAAAAUUAUCAUUAGUGGCAUAACUAUUGAAUGUCAAGUCAAUGUUUAAGAUUAAUGAGUCUUGUUUUAAUUGUCUCAUGCAUCUAGUGAAGAAGAUAUUGUGAUCAGGUGAAGCUUUAUCAAAAAACUUCUAUCAAAUGAAGUCCAAGCUCAAUAAACUUUGAGUCGUUUAUGUUAAAAUCCAUGCAUGUAAGAACAAUUGCAUGUUAUUUUAUAAAAACGAUAUCAAAUUGUCUUAUUGCUUAAGUUGUGGUCAUCCUUGGUAUAAACUGAGUAAAUAAAGUGGAGGAAGGAAAAGAAAAUUUCGUAUAAGAUUUUGUGUUACCUUCCCCCUAUAUCGAGAUUACAGAGGCUUUAUAUGUCAGAAACAAUCAUAGAACACACCACAUGGCAUGCCACUAAUUAAUCUACUGAUGAAGUUCUUAGACAUCCUGUUGAUGGUGAGGCUUGACAACACUUUAAUUGCACUCAUCAGUCUUUUAAGGUAGAGUUUCAUAGUGUAAGACUCAAUUAUAUUUAGAUGGUUUCAAUCCAUUUGAAUCGACUACGAAAUCAUAUUUUGUGUCCCUAGUAAUGCUCACUAUGUAUAGCUUACCUCCAUGGAUGUGCAUGAGACAAUCAUAUAUCUUUCUUAAUAUGGUAAUCUUGGGGAAGAUAAGUUUGAAACAAAACAUCAAUGUUUUCCUGCGACCUUCGAUAGAUAUGUUGAAAGUAUUAUGGGACGAAGGUGUUAAGACACAUGAUGCUUUUAGGAAACAAAAUUUUAUUUUAUGAGUAGCACUUUUAUGGAUAAUUAAUUAUUUUCUUGCAUAUGGUAUAUUGUCCAGAUGGAGUACUCAUGGACAUUUAUCAUCCUUAUUGCAUGGAAUAAGGGAAAAGUUUCAUUUUGAAGUAUGGGAAGAAGCCUUAUUUUUUAUAUUGUCAUCGACAAUUUUUGCCAAUUGACCAUCCUUUUCAUUAACAAAGAGAUAAUUUUAAAAACAUGUUGAACAUGACUUUCCAAUUCCUUGAUUAUCCGUCAAAGAGAUUUUGGAAUGGUUAGAUUUAAUUCAUAAUUAAUAUCACAUAUGGGAUAAAGGUUGGUGGCCACAAGCUUCUGGGUUUCGGUCAAACUCAUAAGUGGGUGAAGUAGAGCAUUUUUUGGUAGUUACCUUACUGGAAUACGAAUCUCAUUUGUCAUAACUUGGAUGUGAUGCAUAUUGAAUGUAAUGUGUUUGAGAAUAAAUUCAAUAAAAAGAGAAGGCUAUCAACGCAAGGACUUCACAACAGAAGAUGAAACUUUUAUAUUUUCACUAAAACCGCCAUCAACACACACAUGGGAAUCUCAAAAUUUGUGGCUUUUGCCAUUUGUCUCUUGAAUAUCCCAAGCACUAUGAAAUCAUUGAUUUACUAUUUUUGCUUAACUUGGAUUCUUAAAAAAAGAUGAUUUAGAACUAGAUGUGCUAUAAGACAUUCAGAUGGAUCAUAUUUCAAUAAACCUUCCAGCAGGUCUGCAAGUAAAUAUUUUGAGAUCUCUACAUGUUGUGAUACCAUAUUUUUCAAACUAUCAAGCUUGAAGGAACAGUGUUUGCAUAAUAAUUUCAUUUUAGUAGUUAGUAGGGUAAAGAGGAUUAUCAAGACGAUGUGGAUUCAUUAAUGUGUACCCCUAAUAAUGAAACAAAAAAGAAUGAAUUUUAGGUGAUUGUCUUACACCGAAUUCAUAAUAGAGUAUAUAAUGAGGUGUGAGAAGAGAUUUUUUUUGAAAGAAAAGGCUGGAUUGCUUUCCAAAUUGAAUCAAAUAUUUUUAUUUGUACAACAAAAUUGCUUAUCUAAUGUUAACAGAAAAGAUAAUAAUUUGCUUCCCUUCACUCUUAUUAUCCUAAUAAAGACCUUAACUUCCUUCUUUCUUUUAUUUUGAGCACAUCUUUUGACCAAUUCAAAUAACAACUUUACCCUUUACUUCCCUUAAAUUCAAUAAAGAAAAAAAGGUAUCGAUACAUGGACUUCAAAACAAAAGAUGCAACUUUUAUAUUUUCACUAAAACCAACAUCAACACAUACAUGGGAAUCUCAAAAUUUGUGGCAUUUGCCAUUUCUCUCCUGGAUAUCCCAAGCACUAUGAAAUCAUUGAUUUACUAUUUUUUCUUAACUUGGAUUCUUAAGAAAAUGAUGAUUUAGAGCUUGAUGUGUUGUGAAACGUUCAGAUGGAUCAUAUUUCAAUAAACAUUCCAACAGGUCUAUGAGUGAAUAUCUUGAGCUCUAUACUGUUGUGAUACCAAAAAGUCUGUGAGUGAAAAUCUCAACAUGUGGGAGGAGAUUUUAAUACAGUUCAAAAUGAAGAAGAAAAAAUUGGAAGAUGUGAUGUCACAAGGUCAACUAAAGCCUUUGAAGAUUUUAUACCAAGCAUUGUUUUGGUGGAUUUACUUAUGUUUGGUAGACAAUUUACAUGGUGCAACAUAAAGGAAGAGGCUAUUUUUUGCAAGUUAGAUAGAUUUCUUAUUAGCAAUAACUGGCUAGAAUGCUAUUUGGAUAUUUUAUAAAAAUGUUUACCAUGUUUGAUAUCUUACCACAAUUUGGUGAUAAUGGGAGUGAAGGACACAAAUUGGGGACCAAAGCCAUUUAAGGUCUUUAAUUAUUGGUUAGAAGGAAGCAAUUUCCAGUAACUGAUUGAAGAAAACUAGGAAUGAGGUGAAAAUGGGCAGCUCAAGUAGUCUUUCACUUUGGUGGGGUCUUAAAUAUUUAAGGCUUUUCGUUUGAAAUUGGUAACAGAGAACUUUUGGAGAGAUUCAUUGCAGAAUAAAAAUACUAGAGAGUGAGUUGCAUAAUUUGGAUGCAGAAUAGUAUUCCAUAAUGAGAGAUUUUGGAAAACAUGAAAUUAGUAUGCAAAAAAGAAUAGAAUUGUAGUCUCUAUAUCGAAUUAAAGAACGAAAAUGGAAGUAGAAGUCAAGGGUCGAAUGGGUCAACGAUGGAGACAUAAAUAUAAAAUAUUUUCAUGCUAUGGUAUCGACUAGAAGGAGAUCAAACAAAAUUGUCAAUCUCAGAAUUAAUGAUUAGUUGAUUAAGGAACCAUUGAAAUAAAAAAAAAAGAUUACUAAGCACAUCACACUAUUGUAUGGGAAUAGAAAAAUAAUGAAACUUGUUGAUAUGGACUAUGGAAUAUGAAGUUUGAAGAGUAAAUCAACAGAGGCUUUAAAGGCGUCUUUCACUGAGAAUGAGGUUUAGGAAAUCUUGCAUGACUAUGAUGGUAAUAAGGCGCCUGGUCCAAAUGGAUAUAAUUUUAAUUUUCUUAAAUCGCAAUGGGGGAUUGUAAAGCAUGAAGUGAUAAAGUUAAUGAGACUUUCAUUACAUUAAUCCCAAAGGUGAAGAACCUCAUUAUAGUAAGUGAGUAUCGUCGAAUCAGUUUGGUGGGUAUUGUUUAUAAAUGUUGAAGAUUCGGUGAUUUCAACUGGUAAAGGUUGAAGAAGAAUGAAUUUGGACGCAAAACAGCUAUUGGCUGAAAGAAAGAAGGUAGGAAGGAUACUAUGUCGUAUUGAUUAUUUACUUAAAUGAAACGUUUUGUUGUUAUGUCAUUUUGUUUCUUCAGUUUUUGUUGUGGCUCAGACACCAGUUUCUUAUGUCAUUUUUGUUUAAUCUGUUAAGGCUUUUAGUCUCGUUUUUCUUUCUUUUUUCAUAGUUGUUGGGCUUAGUUGUUGCAGUGCACAAGAUCCAAUGUCUGGAAUUCUGUGCACAACUAUGUGGCACAGCGAGGUGUUUUCUCCAAUGUCGAAUCUUAAGGCACGGUUACCUCGAUGCUUAUAUAUAUGAAUAUAGAAAUAUAGAUGGUCGGUUUUUUCCCAAAUUUUUUUCUGAUGCUUCUUAUUUUUCCUCUGUUUUCUGGUUUUUGUUAGCUGUGUUCUUGGUGAGCUUGAACUUUCUCAUUCUUUAGAGAAUUCUACAAUAAAAUACAUGCUAAGGUUUUAGCUAAUAGGUUGAAAAAAGUGAUAAGAGAAAUAAUUGGGAUGCAUAAAUUUGCCUUUGUUAAGGGUAGACAACUCUUAGAUUGCUUCUUGAUAGCAAAUGAGAUAUUGAUAUGUUACGAAAAAAUGAGGAGGGAGGUUUGCUACUUAAAGUGGAUUUUGAGAGUGUAUGAUAAUGCAUGUUGGGAUGUUCUUGAUUUAAUGAUGCUUAAAAGGGGUUUUGGGAAGAAAUGGCGUAAUUGUAUCACAGUGUGUUGCAAUGGUAUUAUUCUCGAUUUUGGUCAAUGGCUCACCUACUAAGCUUAUAAAUUACAAAGAGGGCUUUGUUAAGGCUGCCCAUUAUCUCCAUUCCUACUCAACAUUGUGGCUGAAGCUUCUAGUUGUCUCAUGAUUAAAGUUGGGAAGGAGCAGAAAUGCAACAAUAUUCCCAUUAGCGAAAUAGGUUUGAGCCUUUCACACUCUUCUUUUUUAUGAGCCUAAUCUAGAAUAUUUAUUGAAUUUGAAAAGAGUGUUAAAUGCUUUCAGAUUGUUUCGGGAUUGAAAAUCAAUUCCAAGAAAAGUAACCUUUUUGGAGUGGGUAGUGAUGCGGACUUAUUAAAGAGAUAGGCAAUAAGAAUUUGAUGUAAGCCUUUUCCCAACAAAUUAUUUUAGCUUCCCUUUAGGGGCCAUUCAAGCAUCGAGGAAAUAUGGAAGCUUAUGGUGGAUUGUUUUAAAGCUAAAUUAGAUGGGUGGAAAGGUAAAAUGCUCUCAAUUUGCGAUCAAGGUACUUUAAUAAAAUUAGUGCUAAGUAGUUUACUGAUUUUUUUCAUGUCAUUGUUCAAAUUGCCUUCAGGGGUUAAAACAGAAUUAGAAAAAAUCCAAAGGAGAUUCUUAUAAGGGGGAAAUGAUAUGAAGAGGAAGAUACAUUAUAUUAAUUGGGAUGCAAUUUUCCAACACAAAGAUUUAGGUGGACUUGGUCUAGUUGAUUUGGAAAUAAAAAAUCAAGCACUGCUUCAUAAAUGGCUAUGGUGAUGUGGAAAUGAGCAGGAUAGCCUAUGGAGAGAAAUCUUUUAGCAAAGAAUGAUUAUGUGUUGAAUGCCCUUUGGCCCGACACUGAUGUUACAUGUAAAAGUUCUAAUCUUUGGAAAAAUAUUAUUUCACCAUUAUUGCCUAUUGAUAAAUUCUUUUUGCAGGUUUCAGCAAAUUUUGGAAUUGUUGUACGUAAUGCGCUUUCAAUAGUGUUUCGGUAAGAUGAAUGGAUAGUAGGAUUCAUUCUUAAGAGAAACUUUCCACAUAUCUUUGCAUUGUCAACCAACAAAGAUGGUAGGUUAUGUGAUUUUAGAGAAUGGCAAGAUAAUGUAUGGCAAUAGAAAAUUGUACUUUGACAACAAUUAGUUGGGUGGGAAUUCGAGUAGUGGAGUGGACUUUCAAGUUAGCCACAAGAACAUACAAUUAGUGAUUCCAUGCUAGAUGGCGUCACUUGGAAGCCUACUACAAGUGGAAAAUACUCUCCUUAAUCCUUAUGUCGACUAGUGACAACCAUACAGUGUGACAGCACAAAGCUUUGGCGCAUGGUUUAGAUGGGCUACACAUCUUUCAGAGUAGAAAUAUUUGUUCAGCAACUAAUGUAAGGAAAGAUAACAGUGAAACAUGAGCUUGGAAAAUGAGGAUUGAUUGGAGAAGAGCAGACAAUUUGUCCUGUAUGCACGCAAUGCAGAAAAACAGUAGAGAAUCUAUUAUUUACUUGUAGUGAAUCUUGGAAGGUAUGGAAUUUGUGGUAUUUUGAAUGGAAUUUUAGUUGGGUGACACGUAACAAUCCUCAAACUUUCUUCUGGCUAUGGAGAUCAAUCAAUUUUAGCAAAAUAAAUAUAAUAUUUGAACCAUGACCUUCUUUGCAAUUACAUGGUCGUUGUGGCUUUUCCGAAAUGGUAUGAUCUCAAUACAAAAAACAACUUUUACCGACAAAAAAUUUUUUAUCGGUAAAAUUUGUCAGCAGUUACUGACGUAGUUGUCUCCUAUUUGUUACUAACAGAAUAAAUCAACGGAAUGCAUUUUGUUGGUAUUCCAUCGACAAUCCAGUGGCGCAAAGCAAAUGAAAGGCACAGUAAGAUUACCGACCAAGAAAUUCCAUCGGUAAAGGAGUUACUGACAAAAUUUACCGACCAAAACUAUCGACGAAACGUCCAGUUGCGGAGAUAUGAAAAUGUCGACAGAAUUAUUAACAAAAUUUCUGUCGAUAAUGCCUUUGGUUAAAAAAUUUAGCGAUCAACUUACCGAUGAAAUUUUCGUUGAUAUUUUUAUGGCUCGCUUUUCAGAAUUAUCUGCCUACAAAACCUUUCAAAAGAUAGUGGAAUUUGUAUUUCGUUGAGAGUAGUCUUUGCUGUUGGUGUAAUUCUUCUAUUGAAUAUAGAAAUCAUCUAUUUCUUUGAUGUUCACGGACUUAGGUGUUUGGGGAAAUAUUCUGGAAAGGUAGGAAGUGUUGGAAUUAAUGUUUGCAUGUGACAAGUGGACAAAAUGACAAGUGACAGUUCACUUGGAUAUCCUACAUGUUUGUGUGUGUUUUGCUUAGUGUUGAAGACUACUACGUGUAGCUAUGCAUGUCACUGUGAUAAACAUGCUUUACACUUGUUUCUCAUGUAUUAACAAGUGUUAUAUCUGUUGAUGACUUGUGUCAAUGAAGCUAUGUAUAUAUUUGUUGAAUAUGAAUGAAACUAGUGUGGCCUUCUCUCUUUGUCUACUCUGUUUUAGAGAUAUAAAACAGGGGCUGCAUCCAGCAGCCAUUUUUCUCUCUUUUUCCCAAAAUUAUAACAUGGUAUCAGAGCACAAUUUGAGUUCUUGAAGGACCAAAACUCUGAAUAUCACCACAACCCUCCAAACAAUAACCCACCGUUGGAGCAUGGCAAAUAGCAGUAUCUUCUCUCAUCAAACAUCACCAUUAAGUGAGUUUGAGGUCCUUAAGAUGAAGGACAAUAAAGUGAUGAAGGUCUGCAGAGAUGAGCUAAUGUAAACAACAAAUCAGGUGAGAUUGUUGGAUGAGAAUAUUCCAGGUAAAAGUGUUGUGGAGAAAGUCUUUGAAAAUGCUUUAAGUGCAAAAUUCAAAGGCAAAGUCAUGUUUGAGACAACACCAAGAAAGGAACCUGGUGAGUCAAAGGAGAAAGAAAAGAAAGGUCAUCAACACAACAAGUCUCAGCUCAAGAAGAACAAGUUUCAGAUUUGUUCACACAAGUAAGGAACAGUAGCACAGACUACUAUUGCAGUUGAGUAUAUGGUAGCUGUUAUAGCUGCAAACCAAGCCACAUGGAUGAGGAAAGUACCCUCCACUUUGGAAUGCCUCAAACAAAACCAACUGAGCUGUUCGUGGAUAAUAAAUCAACAAUCACUGUUGCCAAAAAUCCAGUCUUCUAUGGAAGAACAAAACACAUCAGUGUCAAGUAUUAUCUAUCGAGUGAUGGUGAAAAAUGUGGUGAAGUGCUCAUUGCUCACUUUAGUUUUAAAGAACAGUUCACUGACAUGUUGACCAAAUCACUGAGCAAGGCAAAGUUCAACUAUCACAAAGAUCAACUAAAGAUUCUCCAUACAAGCAUUAAGGGGGAAUGUUGGAAUUAAUGCUUACAUGUGACAAGUGGACAAAAUGACAAGUGACGGUCCACUUUGAUAUCCUGCAUGUUUGUGUGUGUUUUGUUUAGUGUUGAAGACUACUACGUGUAGCUAUGCAUGUCACUGUGAUAAACAUGUUUUACACUUGUUUCUCAUGUAUUAACAAGUGUUAUAUCUAUUGAUGACUUGUGUCAAUGAAGCUAUGUAUAUAUUUGUUGAAUAUGAAUGAAACUAGUGUGGCCUUCUCUCUUUGUCUACUCUGUUUUAGAGAUAUAAAACAGGGGCUGCAUCCAGCAGCCAUUUUUCUCUCUUUCUCCCAAAAUUAUAACAGGAAGUGGUUGGGUGCUUUCCAAAAUUUAUUCAACUCGUUUUGCUACAGUGUGAGUCCUUUUUGUGGCAUAUCGAGGGGAAUAAUCGUUGGUUUAUGGUUUGUGGAGCUGCCUUAUGGUCAUUACGGGGGGCAAGAAAUAAAAUCCUUUUAAAGGGAAGAAGUGGGAGAUUGAGAGUUUGGUUUCACCAGUUAAACUUCAGUAUUUUCAUUGGAUUAAAGUGGUGGAGGAGGGGAAAAACAAUAUAGAAGAGGAGAUUUGGUAGGCAGAUCCGGGGGUUGACUGAAGGCCAUAUGUGUCAAAGUUAAGGGAAGAUUGAAAAGAAACAACUUCAAGCAAACUUCUUAAAGUUCAACUUGGACGGCUCAGCUAGACGUAAGCAAGAUCUUGCUAGCUGUAAAGGUACUUUAAGAAACUCUGAUGGUACUUUUAUUGUUAUGUUUUUUAUUGGUGUAUUCGAUUCUAACUAUGUUGAAGUCUAUACCAUUGAAGUGGCAUUAGAAUCAUUUGGCAAUUUUGUAUGGCUUGGGAAAAGAUCGUUAAUCAUUGAAUUAGAUUCAACUGUUGUAAUACUCUAGGUGCUAAAUAGUUGUAAGAGACUUUGGACGUUUAAGGAGACUGUUUCAACAUACUGAUAAGCUGCAUGAAGUCAUUGGAUUGAUGUAUUCUUUUUGAAAAUGUGUUCAUGCAAGCUAACCAUUGUGCUGACAGUCUUGUAGAAAUAGGAGUGAAUAGACAUGAAAUGUUUACAGCUUAGUGCUAAUUGGAUGAUGGUGUUUGAUUUUUGUUGAUGAUGGAAAUUUAAGGUAGAGGGCUGUUGUGUUGGCACUUUUUAUUUUUUUAAAGUUUUCGGGUUCUUGUAUCAAUGUGAUUGGUUUUGUGAAUCAAGGGUUUGUUUAUUGAGAGAUUAUUUCGUGAUGCUACUUUGCAAGCAUGACUAGUUUAUGAUCAAACUUUCUUAUAUUGUCUUGUGAUAAUUUAAUCUUUUAACUUGGCUUAAAAAAAAAGGCGAAAUGAAGGAUAUAUGUAUAUUUGGAUUGAAGUAAGUGAUAAAGACAAGAAACUAACAUAAUUAAGUAACAGAAGUGAAUGUUUGAUAUGUCUAAUUAAAACUUAUUUAAGCACAUACCGGACAUUCUCUGGCGAGAACUCUCUUAGAAACAUGUGCACGACGUCAGGAUUGAAAUUUGAAAGUAACGAUGAGCCCACUAACCAAUCUUUUGGAGGAUAUUUCUGAGUAUCAAUUUAAAAGAAGUCAAAAUUAACUAGUAGAUUGUCUAUCAUAAGAUCCUCAGUAGAAAUAAGACUUUUUUUAUAUACAUAUUUUUCAUUAACAAAAGGAGUAAUUAAUUGAUAAAAACCAAUUAAUAAUAAGUAAUAUAAGAGGAAUUACCUCCAUAUUUGAUGCAAUUCUAAUAACAUAAUUAAGAGGUUGGAUUUUGUCUGGAUAGUGAAAUUUUGUCUCGCAAACAGCUGAAAGCUUCAUAUAGAAAAAUAAAAAUGUCUUAUAAAACUCUUCAACAUGUGUAAAACUAGAAAGAUAGUAUUCAUCCCACACUUCCAGCUUCACUGCUGUAUCAAAUUGAAGCACAGCUAGGGAGAAAGAAUUGAUAAACAUGAAUUUAAACUAGGUGGCGAUAAGGUGUGCGAAUUUUCAAUAUGAAAUUCAUCAACUAACUAAUGCAUGAUGUUUUGUAAGUGCACUGAUGAUUUCCCAUGUCAGAUCUUCCAUGCCAAGUAAAAUCUUCUAUCAAACAAGCUUAAACCUUGAUAUGACAAAUUGGUAAUGGAUGAAUAAAAUUAUGUUUCUAAAAAAAAAAACCUUACUAAUGCAUGGAGCACCUAGCUCGAAGUUGAUAACAACAUUUUUCGUUUUAUCCAUUUAGAUUAUUUUUCUUAUUAGAAGUAGCACCAAGAGCAUAUAUAUAUCAAAAAUGAAAAUGAUGAUGGACAGCUAAAUCAUCAGUAUAUUUCAAUAUCAUCUUUUAAGUUCUGCCUAUUUACAGCUACAGUUAAUUUCUUUUCAAGAAAAAAUUAAAAUUAAUUUAUUCUUAGUGUUCAUAGGAUAUGCAUACCUCCUCAAAUACCCGUUUACAAACACUAGUCUGCUUUAAGAGUUGGAUAUAUUUAAAUAGCAACCCUACGAUAUCCUGCAUAUGCUCUGAAAUUCAGUAAGGGGGAAGCAACAUUAGUGAUAUAAUAAGGAUGCAUUUGGUGCACAAGAUGAUAGAUAGGAUAAUUAUUGUUCUAUUUCAUUUUUGGUGUGUACUUAAAAGGGAAGAUUGGAUUGUAAAGUGGAUUACUCAUCCUCCAAGAAUAGAAUGACUCAAUCCUCUAAAAAAGAAAAGAUUAAUUUUAAUCUCAUGAGAUUGGAUGAUAAAUGCUUUACAUUUCCCAUUUCACCUCUAAAACUUGUAUUUAAAAAUUGACUUAAGCUAAUGGUAAGAUGACAAGUGUCAGUGUUUGAUUGGCUAGCUCAAAAUAUUUUUUCCCCCUCCUUCGUUGCCAGCCAGCAUUAACACCGACACCAGGGUUGGAGCCCUUCCCAACGUCGGAUCUAACUGAAGAGCAAUCGAAAUGGAGCUCCUGAUGCUGAUCCACGGUGGGAGCGACCAAACCUGACCCUUUUUUUUUUUAACAAAAGUUAAAUAAAAUAAUACAAAUUUAAAUUAAAUAUAUUUUGUUCAAAAAAUUUUAAUUUUAACCAUAAACUUAUAAAUUUAAAUCAUAUUUACCUUAAGAAAACGGUAAUUUUGAUCGUUAAAAAAGUCAUCCUAUCUUAUUCUUAAUUUACACACCAAAAAUAGUAUAACAUAAAAAUCAUCUUAUUUUACUUUUAAUUCUUGCACAUGUCAAAUAUAAGAUAAGAUGAUAUUAUGUAAUCCAAAUCCACUUUUUAUCUUUUGUUAUCAAGGAUUAAAAGACAUCAUCGAUUCUUACUUCUUACGUUUACCAUACAUUUAUGUACAUAAAUAAUUCCCAAGUUUAAAAACAGAUAACUCACUAUCAUUGGUAAAAGAACAUACUAACCAUGACCAGCAUCAGUAAGAGCGACAAUUACUUGAAAGAAAGAAAACUCCGAUGUCCACCAGUAUUCACCAGCUUUCAAUCCAGUAGCCCAUCCUGCAAUUUUCAUAAAUAGGCAUAAUUUAAUGGGUUUUUUUUUUCAACUUUUGAGCUAUAGAAUAAUUGGCAAGUAGUUCUUCUUUGAUCAGGUCGUUCCUUCAUAACCUUCCCAUCCCUAAUAAGAAAAGGUUUAUUUUCAAAUAAUAACUUUAUAUUGCAAAAAAUAAGCAGGUAGUAGAAGCAAGUAGAAUCAUUAAAUAACAACUUGGUAAAUCUCGUGGCAUUAUACACAAUUAAAAAACAUUUUUUUUGAAAAUGAAAUUUAUUGAUUAAUCAAAUGUGGAAUACAGACUUCCAUCAUGUCAUUCAAGACUAGAGAGGACACAUUUUCUAUUGGAGAAUGAUACAAAGUAAUAUAAGAAUUUAACUCAAAUCCUAGAUUAGUCAUAAAAUCAACAAUUUUGUUCCCUUUCCUAUAUAUAUGACUUAUACUAAUCUCCCAAUACCUACUUAACAAGUCUUUAAUUGCUCUAAUUGCACCUAGAUUAGAGCAAGGAUGAGCAGAAGAAAAGCUGAUCACCUAAACCACUGCUUUAUUAUCAAUUUGUAAUUUAACUUUGUGAAAGCCUCCCUCCCAAGCCAGUUGGCGACCUUUGUAAAGCCCCACAACUCCACACAAUAGGCUGAACUUGUAUCUAACUUGCAUGCAUAUCCCAUUAGCCGAGUACCAUGUGUGUCUCUUAGAACUCCUCCAACAGAAGUAGUCCUUACUGCACUCUUGUACACCUUAUCCAAAUUCAUUGCUAUCCAUUCUUCUGGUGGUGGUGUUCAUCCCACUAGGAUCUCCUCUUGUCGACUCAAACCCCUACUUAGCAAGGGAAGGGUUGUCCAUAUCUUAUGAGUAUCCACAACCAUGCUUUUGAUUAUACUCAAUUGGCUUUCAAUGGAGAGUUCACAACCUUCAAAUAUAAACAAGUUUCGCCAUUUUCAAAUAUACUAGCACACUAUAUCAAUAAUAAUGUUCUAGGGGACAUCGAAGGCAUAGAGAUACUUAAGACUAAGGUUUUUAGACAACCAAUCAAUCAAUGGUGCUUGGAAGAAUUGAUUAAUACCAAUAUGAGGCAAUAUACGCCUCCAAAGAGCCUCUGCUAAAGGGCAAUCCUAAGCAAGUGGAGACAUAUUUCCUCAACACCAUGACAAUGAGGACAUGACCCAUAUGAUGAAAGCCUACGUCUAACUCUUUCUGCAUUUGUCAAGAUGUGUUUAUGUAGAAAAAAAAAAUAGGAAAAAGCAUAUUCUUUAGGGACUUUUCCAAUCCCAAGCCAAGUUCCACAUUUUUUUUGUUCUCUACUCGACUAGAAUCAGCAGGACUCCCUAAUUGCUUAUAUGUUGAGGAAAUAGUAAAAUAUCCAAAGGAGAAAGAGCCCAAUAAGGCAUAUCUAGUGAGGCCGAUAAGGUGGGGGGAAUAAUGUAAAGGAUUUGAUUCACCACUUCGGCUAGUACGAUAGCUGCUAACCUCUCCUUAUCCUAAUCUCCAUUAGGCAUGAUAUAAUCCCUUACCCCGUGCACUUGGAUUUAACAUAAAACCCCAUAUCUGUUACAAAAUUAAUCAAUGGCACUUCACCUACCCAAAUAUCGGUCCAGAAAUUAACGAGAGCGUCAUCCUCAAUUCACCAUCUCACAUGUUUGAUGAAUUCACCUCAUAAUCUACUCAUUGAUCUCCAUAUAUUUGAACACCCACAACGCAUAGGAUCAUUUAAGUAACCUGUUCUGAUAAAAUUAUAUUUGUUCACAAUAACCCUUACCCAAAAUGCAUCAGGUUUGGAAAAUAGUCCCCAACAUAAUUUUAGAAUUAAAGCGUCAUUCAUCAAAUAUAAUCUUGGAAUGCCCAUCCCUCCUUGUGACUUAGGUUUACAAAGUAUAUUCCACCUCAACAAAUUUACCUUCAUGUCUUGACUUUCACCAUGCCAAAAAAAGUUUCCACACAAACAUUCAAUUUUUUUACAAAUUUCUAAUGGGAUAAAAAUUGUUUGCAUUGUGUAUAGUGGAAUACUUGAAAGAACUAAUUUGACAAGAGUUAAACGACGUGCAUAAGAUAAAGAUGAUGCCUUCCAUCCACUUAGUCUGCUUUUAACUUUAUCAACAAGAUACUUAUAAAUGCUAAUACUCUUUUUGCCUUUCAAUAAAGGGACUCCAAGAUAGUUUCCCACAUUUUUAGAAUAAGAAAAGCCAAAACAAGCCACUAGUUGAUUAAUUACCUCUUUAGAUACAUUUUGUGAACAAAAGAAAGUUGAUUUUGCAAUGCUCACCUUCGCUCCUGAACAAGCACAAAAAUCAUCUAAAAUUUCUUUUAUUACCUCAAUCUGGACUUUUGAGGCUUCCGCAAAGAAUAUGACGUCAUCAGCAAAAAAUAAGUGAGAUAAGGCUGGUCCUUGUCAACUUAAACUAAUCGGUUUCCACACUUUCUGAUCGAUAGCUUGCCUGAUACCAUGAGCCAGUCGUUUUAUGUGCAAUACAAACAAUUGGGGGCUAAUGGAUCUCCUUGUCGCACUCCUUUCGAAAUGGAGAAUUUAUCCAAGUGCCUCCCAUUCCAUAAUAUUUGAAAACUACUAUUGUUCCAACUCCUAAUUAGAAUAUCAAUAAUGGUGCAUGGGAUUCUAGUUUUCACGAGUGAAUCAAGGAUGAAUUCCCACCUCAAUUUGUCGUAGGCCUUCUCCAAAUCAAUCUUAAUCAUCAUCCAACUCCUUCCCCCCUUUUUUUUCCAAAAAGAGUGCACUACCUCCUGAGAAACAAUUAUAUUGUCAACGAUAUGUCUCCCAGGAAUAAAAUUGGCUUGCGGUUCAUCUAUCAAUAAGCUUAUAUACGAUUUUAAUCUAUUGGCUACCACCUUCAUUAAAACUUUGAAAACGACUAGCAAUAAGUUAAUGGGUCUGAAUUGUGAGACAUGCUCAGAGGCCUAAUUUUGGGUAUCAAAACAAUCAAAGAAUUACACAUAUUAUGACCAAUCUUUAUGCCAUUAAAAACAUCCUGUAUAUAUUCCACUAGGUUUUGUCCCACCACCUUCCAUUGUGAUUGAAAAAAUAAAGCAAGAAAACCACCCAAACCUGGUGCUUUAAGGGGUUUCAUCUAGAACAACGCUUUUCUAACUUCCCCUUUGUCAACCGUAUGACUAAUAAAUUCAUAACCUUCCUCAGGUAGAAUGGGGAAUUUAUUCUAGAUAGGGUAUGUUGGGAGAUCAUUGCCUUCCUUAGAAUAUAAACUUUGAAAAAAAUCCACAACAUGCAACUGUAAUUGCCUUUUAUCAUCACAUUAUUCAUCAUUUAAGAUCUUGAGACGUAAAAUUUUUAGCUUGCAGUUUCUUGUCUUCACUCGAAGAUGAAAGUAUCCGGUAUUAUGGGCGCCAAACUUCCACCAGUCUGCCUUAGAUUUUUGAAACCAGAACACUUCCUCUUGCAGGUUGGUCAAAACAUUUAAACGAAUAUAUGUUAGAAUUCCGACAUAUUAUAAUUCUAAUAAUUUUUUAUGUAUUUUCAAUUCUCCAUAAAAUUUUUUGAAGGACUUAAUUCAAUUAGAAAGGGAUCAUAAAAAAGAAGGUGCGAAAAAUUUGUAAUGAUACCAACAUUUUCGAGGGAUUGUAUCCAUUGAAAGCCAAUCAAUUUUUGAGGGAAUAUAACCGUCAAAUAUGUGUUAAUUUCUUAUUAUAGUUUCAUCGAAAGUUUUUCAUAAAUUCUUAAAUAUAUAAAGUUCAAUCGAGCUGUCUCCUUUAAAUUGAAAUCCCUAGUCCCUAAAUUCCCUCUUCUCCCUUUCCACUAAUCACUCCGCUACACUGGGGUCUCUCAUCCAUUCCCUGUGCCAAGCCAUUGCUCCUUCAAAAAUAUCUCCCAAUCUCGAUGCCUUUGCUGUAAAUUUUUUUAGCUUAUGAGUUCGUUGAGUAAUUGUAAGAAUAGUUAAAAAGAUAUGUUGUGAUUUGGAAGUAGGAACACAUAAUUUAUCACUAACUCAUUCAUAGAGGUGUCUGGUUCUUAGUCAAAACUCCAAAACUUUCCUAGGUGAAACUUUAUUAAACUUACUAUGUCGGAAUAGCUACACCCACACUAUCAAAGAAAUGCUUCACAAGAAAAUGAUGAUUGCGACAACAUGGAAAGAGAUGUGCUGAAGGAAAUAUGUUGGGUUGAUGGAUGAAAGGUAGAGUUAGUCGAGAAAUCAAAAAGAAAGAAAUAAAAGAGAGAGAUGUGUUUUGGGCAGAGAAAACAGAAAAUGAAUAGUCAUCUUUAGUGAAGAAUUUGAUCUUAAUUUGGUAGAAUUAAUUUUGACUUUAGUCUUAAAUGGAGUUUGGUGGGAACAAACAACUUCAAAAGAGGAAAAAGAAGCAGUCACGUGUAGGACACAUAUGAUCACUAUAACUUUACCAAUCUGUUUAGGUAAAAUAUAUUCACUUUUCUAAGUUUUGAUUGAAAUUACAUGAAGGUCCAUUAGUUUUUAAAAUGGACACUUCGCUCUAAAAUUUUUUUUUUCUAAACACAUAGUUCAAACCGUUAGUGUUUCCGUCAAUUUGAUUAUGCGAUAAGGGUAAAAAAAUAAUUUUAUCCUUGAUUAAUUUUUAAAAUUACUAUUAUAUAAUUUUAUUAAUUUUUAUUUAUUUUUUAUUAAUUAAAAAAUAUUCCCCUUUGGGGAACAUCAGAGCUCCCUUAAGGAGCUCGGGGAGCCUGUUUUGAGGCUCUUAAGGGAGCACUAGGUGCUCCCUUCCUUUGAGGAGCAUCGAUCCUUUGGGAGCACCGACUGGUGCCUUUUUUUUUUUAAGAAGUUGAGGAACACCGAUCAUUUUUUAUUUUUUAAAAAAUAUAAUAAUAAUUUUUUAAAUUAAUAAAGAAAAAAAGGGUACUUUAGUUUUCUCAUAAUUUCUGUUAACGAUGUUUGCAUUCUUGAGAGAGUGUCUUGCUUGAAAUUUCGAUUAAAACUUAAGGGUGAGGGUAUUUUACCCAUGCAUUUAUUAUUUCCUUAAGGUUUUAGUGAAACACCGAAUUUGGUGUCAUCUAGCAAAUGGUUGUUGUGUUACUUCAACACUAGAGUUCAUGCCAUUUUAGUUAUUAGGUUGUCGAAUGGCUAUUAAAGCCACAUGCAUUUUUAUUCUUGUUAUUAUGUUAUUUCUCAAGGGAAGAGUUGUGGAGCGUAAAAGUCUAUGAGAAUCUAUUUCUUUUUCAUUUUUCUAAACUCUAGGAUGAAUGUACAAGUGUCAUAUCAUUUACAUUUGGGUAUUUACACUUGAAAUGAAAAAGAAUUUUUGCGGCUCAACAAUUUCUUCAUUUUACUAAUAUUCUUCUUCUUCUUCAUUCUUCUUUGAAAAAAGGCUCUCAAUUCUUCAUACUUUUUAGAAAUUUAUUCCUUUUUCUCAACAUGGUAUCAAAGCUUUAAAGCAUCUUGAGGGACCUAAGAUUCUUUUUAUUCGUCCUUUUCAUUCGUGCUUGAUACUCUUCACUUGUGAGUAACUUAGCAUUAAUGGCUUUUUCCAAUUUUAAAUUUCAGCUCCACCAAUUUUCAUUAGUGAAAAUUACCCCAUUUGGACUUUGAAAAUGAAGGCAUAUUUAAGGGUAUCUGAUCGGUGGGAGGUGGUUGAAGUAGGAGGUGACCUUUUUGUUUAAAGGCAUGCAAAUCCAACAAUGGCUCAAAUUAAAGAAAAUAGUGAAAAGUACCAGAAAGGUACCAAGCACUCUCUUGUAUACAUUCUGUUGUCUCAUAUUCAAUUUUUACUCGAAUCAUGGCUUAUGAUGAUCUUAAGGAAGUUUGGGAUAAACUUAAAGAAGAGUUGCAGGGUAAUGAUCAUACAAGGCAGAUUCAGAUUUUGAAUUUGUUGAGAAAGUUUGAGGUAUUGAAAAUGAUGGAGGACGAAAGCAUUAAGGACUAUGCAAAUAAGGUAAUGAGGAUUAUGAAUCAAUUGAGAUUGUUGGGGAAAGCUUUGGUUGCAAGAAAAAUUGUGAACAAAGUAUUGGUGAGCUUACCAAAGAAGUUUAAAUCUAAGAUUUCAUAUCUGGAAGACUCCAAGGAUUUGUCAAGAAUAAUAGUGACAGAAUUAAUGAAUGCUUUGUUAGCCCAAGAGCAAAGGAAGGCCAUAAAAAAUAAACACUGUUGAAAAUGUCUUAGUAGCUAGGACUAAGGGCUUGAGAGUCAAGGGAAGUGGUUCAAAAAAGCUCGAGGGAGAGGGAAACAAAGCUAAUGAUGGCAAGCAAGGUAAACAAAGAUAUAAACAUGCUCUUUGCCCUCACUUCAAAAAACCAUACUAGUAAAUAUUGCUAGUAUAAGCCCAAUGUCAAGUGUAGGGCCUGCAACUAGUUAGGGCUUUUAAAAAAAGUCUGCAAUGCCAAAAAGGCUAGUUUUGAAGAGAAAGCUACCAUUGUUAAGCAAGGUUAUAAAUGAAGAACUCUUAUUCAUGGCUAGAAUAGGAGCUAAUUCAAUGAUGAAAAAUUAUGGCUUAUUGAUAGUGGAUGUUCAAAUCAUAUAACUGGAAAUGAAGAAAUGUUUACUGAUCUGGAUAGAAGCUUUAAGGCUCAAGUGAAGAUUAGAAAUAGAGUGUACUUGAAUAUUCUAGGCACGAGCACUAUUAUGGUUGAGACUCCUUCAAGUACUAAAUACAUUACAGAUGUCUAUUAUGUUCCUACUAAUAAACAUUAUGCAUUAUUGUUUAAAGACAAGUAUUGCACAAUUUUUGAUCCUACUGAUGCAGAAAUGUUAACCGUUGAAAUGAAGAAUAAGUGUUAUCCAUUAAAAUUGAUAGACAUUGAGCAUCGGGCUUUUCAAAGUAAAGAUAAUGUCUCUAAUCUUUAGCAUAAAAGAAUGGGACACGUGAACUAUGGUUCCUUUAUGAGAAUGGCCUCAACUAACUUAGUAGAAGGCCUUCUAGUUAUAACUAAGUUAGAGAAGCUAUGUGAGAUAUGCCAAUACGAAAAACAAAGUCACAACCUUUUCUAAAAGAAAACAGAUGGAAAUCAAAUCAAAAACUUAAACUGAUGCAUACUGAUAUUAGUGGACUAAUAAGAACUCUAUCAUUAAAUGAUAACAAGUUUUACAUAGUUUUUAUUGAUGAUUUAACUUGAUAUUGUUGGGUUUACUUUUUGAAACAAAAGUAUGAACCUUCGAAGAACUUCAUUAAGUUUAAGGCCUUGGUUGAGAAUCCUACAAGCCUUAAUAUAAAAAUUUUGAAAAGUGAUAAUGUGUAGAAUAUACAACUGCAGAGUUUAAAAAAUGCUUGAUGGAACUCAGUGUUAAACACUAGCUUACAUAACUUAUAGCCCUUAUCAAAAUGGUGUUUCAAAAAGGAUGAACAGGACAUUGGUUGAAAUGGCUAGAUGUAUGAUGUUUCAGAAGAAGUUGACAAAGGAAUUUUGGGUUGAAGUUGUCAAUAUAGUUAAUUACGUCUUGAACAUGACUCAUACCAAGGCAUUGACACACAAAAUCCUUAUGAGAUGUGGAUGAACACAAACCUGGUGUUUCUCAUUUAAAGAUAUUUGGUUUUUUUUUUAUGCAAAAAUUCCACAUGAGAAAAGAACCAAGUUUGAUUCAAAGUCACUGUUGGCUAUCCAUCUUGGUUAUAGUGAAACAUCCAAAAGUUAUAAACUACAUGAUAUUGAAUCAAAGAAAUUGUUUAUCAGCAAAGAUGUGAACUUUGAUGAAGGGCAAAGAUGGAACUAGGAAAAAAAGUCCAUUGAAAGCUUAGAUAAUGUGAUUAGUACUAAUGAUGUUUGAUUGCAAGAUGAUGAAGAGUCUUUGGAUAUUGAAGAUGAAAAACUAGUUGUUAGGGGUAUAAGAUCAUUGUAAAAGAUCUAUAGCAGGUGCAAUGUAGCCAUAGUUGAACCUACAAACUACAAUAAAGCUUCUUUAUAUGAGAAUCGAAUAACAGUUAUGGUUGUAGAGAUGAAUAUGAUCAAGGAGAAUGGUACCUGGAUCUAGUUGACAAACCAACGGAUCAAAAUUUAAUUAGGGUAAAAUGAAUAUUCAGAACCAAACUGAAUCCAAAUGGAUCAAUUACUAAGUUCAAAGCCAGGUUAGUUGUGAAUGGCUGUGCAUAAGUGUAUGGUGUUGAUUACUUGGAAACAUUUGUCCCAGUUGCAGGACAUGAUACUAUUAGAUUACUUAAUGCUCUAAUAGCUAGAGAAAGACGGAAAUCUGGCACUUAGAUGUCAAAUCAACUUUCUAAAUGGUUUCUUAACUGAAGAUAUUUACAUUGAGCAACUAAAAGGGUUUGAAAAAGUUGAAUCAACAAGUAAAGUCUGCAAACUGAUUAAACCUUUUAUGGUCAUAAGUAGGCUCCUUGAGCCUAGUAUGAGAGAAUAGAUGAUCAUCUUAGAAGCCAAGGCUUUAAUCGCAUUACAAGUGAACCUACACUUUAUGUGAAGAGUUCAAAUACUUCAGUUAUGCUUAUAAUUGCCUUAUGUAAUGAUGAUAAUAAAUUCUUGAAAGUAUUCAAGCAUCAAAUGAUGAAUUUUUUGAAAUGACUUAUUUAAGGCAGAUGACUUCUUUCUUAGGGAUGGAGUUUCUACAAGGUGCUGAUCAGAUUUUUGUGCAUUAGACUAAGUAUGCAAAAGAUCUGUUAAAGAAAUUUAAUAUGAAUUCUUGUAAAGUUGUAAACACUUCACUCACCACUAGAAGUAAGCUAAGCAAGAAUGAUGGUUCUUCUAAGGCUAAUGGCAUAGCAUACAAAAUAAUGAUAGGCUCAUUGCCAUACUAUAGGCUCAUUGCCAUACUUGUCUGCAACUCCACCAGACAUAAUGUUUACAACAAGUCUAGUAUUUAGGUUCAUGCAAUCUCCAUCAAUGUUGCAUUUCGUAGCUGCAAAACUUGUUCUUAGGUACAUCAAAGGUGCUUUGAACUUUGGUUUAAGGUAUAGUAACAAAGAUAGUAGUGAACUUCAAGGAUAUAGUGAUAGUGAUUGAGCUGGUUCAAUUAAUGAUUCAUUAAGCACAAUUGGUUUCUAUUUCCUUUUUGGUAGUGCAAUUUUUCUUGGAAUUAAUAAAAAAAAAAAGAAGUAGUAGCACAAUCAUUAACUGAGGUUAAAUACAUUGCUAUUGCUUUAGCAGCUAACCAUGCUUAAUGCUUAGGAAAAUUCUAUCUGAUUUAGGUUUCAACCAAAACAAAGGCACUCUGUUGAAGGUUAAUAAUCAGUCAACUAUAACAAUAGCAAAAAACCAUAAGCAACACGAACGUAAAAACCAUAUUUGUCUCAAGUUUCAUGCCUUAGGAGAAGUAGUAAAAAAAGGGAAAUUCAGCUUGAAUAUUGCAAUACUAAUCUUCAACUCAUAAACAUUUUCAUUAAGGGUUUAAGUAGAGACAAGUUUGAAUUUCUAAAAACUGAAUUGGGAGUUUACCAGAUAGAGACCAAGGAUUUAAAGAAAUGGGGGCAUUAUUUAUAAUGACUGAUUUUUCACUUGUAGAUGUCAUGGUUGAGAAAGUCCUUGCUAGCUUCUUAGUAGAAAAAUGUAAGAUAGAUAUAAGAGUUUAUGGCUCUGAUACCAAUAAUGGAGGAGAUGAUCAAGGGGAAAGUUGAGACUCAAGAGGGACAUUGCUAUAGUAGGUAUGCAUUGGCUAUAAAAUAUGACUUUCCUAGCCUUAAGGGUGGCAUGACCUUUUAGCUACAGGAAUUCCUCUUAAGACCUGAACAACUCACUUAUGUCAACCCCUUCAAUACUAAUACUUAGACGUCUUUGAAAUCAAAACCUUUUUCUGAUGCACAAGAUCCAUCUAAGAUAGCAAAUGCAGAGCAUACUUAAAGAUUUGAACUCACGAGAAAUCUACGCUUACAUUUUCUUAGUUAGUAACUAGAAAGGAAGAGAAAUAUUUAGAAACUUAUGAUAGAGAGAAAACACACGAUUUUUAUUACUUGAGCUUGUUUGGCCCCAUUCAUUACAAAAGACCUCUUUUUCUAUAUGAAAGAGGAGAUAAAUGACAUACUUUCUAUAGUGAUUGAAUAAGAACACAAGUACUCACAUUUUACAUAUUUUACUAAAGUGAUGGACACGCUCAUCACUGAUACUUAAAGAAAGAUACUAACAUACUUUAAUAAAGAAAGAUAUUGAUGCACUUUAAUAAAGAGGAAACUAUUGGUCAUCUUUAAUCAUAGUCUAUUCCUUGGUUAAAGGAUUUGUUGAGGUCCUCAAUCAUCUGCUUUUUCCUUUCUCUACAAAUGUACAUGUGUAAAGAUGAUGCCUUGAGGUCAGUAUCACAAUGUUCGUUGCAUAUUUCACAUAAUGGUUUUAUGGAAAGUCAUGCAACGUUAUCUUCAUCAAUUUCUCCAUAAUCCCAAAGGUUUUGAUACCAUUCAUGCGGGUUAGGGAUUCCUUCAUUAUAUUCUUGUAAUGCCUACAUGAUUUGAUCGUAAUAAGGUCCAAGUGUUUCCAGAAAAUAAUCCUAGGACAUUUCAGUUUCCAAGGGAGGCUAAAUGUGAUCUAGGAUAACCCUGUUGUGUUGGCAGACGCAUCUUUAGAACGUCUUGUAUUCUUGGUUCAACUCUCUGAUAUUACAUUAGAGAGUUCUAUAAACCCAUGCAGAGGGGAAUGCUCUGAGCUAAGUAGCUUUCCCAUGAGUGACAAAGUAUUGAGGCUUGUACAGAAUGAAUAUGAUCAUUUCGUUCCCUUUUUCGACCUCUGAAGUGACUAUUUCUUUCCAGUAAGAAAUAGGGUAAAACCAUGAAAGAAAAUCCACAAAGUUUUUCCUCCAUGCUUCUAUAUCAUUAGAUAAUGCCUUUUCUAAGAAUUUCAAUAAAGUCAUGAUGUGAAAUUGGAUGCCAAUAUGAUAUUUAUGGGUUAAAUACCAUAACAUCCAUUUUAAUUCAUCAGGAAAUUCUAUAAAUUAAUAGAAAGCCUAAUCCCCAUAUUACACAAGAAUUGGUCAAAAAUGCCCUUAUGAAUUUAUACAUAUAGCACCUAAAUCAUACAAAUAGCAGUUCAAGGAGAACUUACUAAAGUGGCUUUUCCCUUUUAUGAACGCAAAACUGAUUCAUGCAAGAACCUAAAUUGUCCCUUAUUAAUUGUCAGAUAUCAUAUAUAUAUAAAUAGAUCCAAACACAAUUUCCAAACAAUAUGAAGCAUACUAUUAUAUAUUACUACUAAUGAUCGCACAUUUUAAAGACUCUUAAUAAUUGCCGCGACACAUUUUACGACACUUUAUGUUGAAUAUAAAUCUUUUAUCAAAAGAUUUUUCAAAGGAGCUAGUGUCUCACUUUAAUCAAAUGUAUUUAAGAUAAUAUGCCUAGAGAGAAACAUCCGUAAUGAUUCUAACAUGAUUAGUCUUGAAUCUUUUUUAUUUAUUAUUUUUUGAUUUGGAGAAUGAAAAUUUGAUUUUGAACUUAACUCUUUAAAUAAAAUUAUAUGCAUCAACUAUUAAGUUAUACACUUAAUCUCAAGUCUUAGUUAAAGCAUAUGUUUAAAAUUGUUUAAUAAUUUGAUUAUGGAUACCUUUUAUGUUUUUUCUUUUCAAAAGAUGCGCAAACUUACCUAGUUUUUGCAAGGUGUGAUACACGGAUCCUUCUCCUUUAUGGCCAAUGACACGAGUAAGAUAAUAGCACGGCCCUUCCUUGUAAUGAUGCCUGCUUGGAGUUAUUGGCCAUGCAACGGUCAAUUUGUGCCUUUCUUUUAUUGGAACAGCCUUGACAAGAAUCUGAAAUCAAAUUAAAAUUAGACAGCUACAUCAAUUAACCUUUCAAGUUUCAACCGCUUAUAUGAUUUUGGUGCUUUUAAUUCAAGAAACAUGCUCCAAUUUAAUAUGUUUGUUCUCUUGUUAAAUUAAGAGUAAUUGACAUUAUUAUUAGUCCACUAGGCAACAACAACAUACUAAUUUUUCAUCAUACCAUUAGAUGUUCUGACUUAAAAGGUAGACCCGUAGAUUGGAAGCCACGUUGGUUGGAGUUUCGAAUAACUUGGAACUUGUUCUCCACCAAGUUUUGAAUUUCAUCGAGGCUUUCUAGAAUUCCACAACAAAUCGCGUUAUGAAAAAAGGAAAAUAAAACCAAAGAAAUCGUAUUUGUUGAAAGUUUAAGCAAAUCGAACAUUCAACUCUAAGCUUUUCUGUAUUUUGUGGUAAGAGCAUUGCUAGUAAAACUACAUAUGGCAAAUUACAAGCAAAUUUAGAUUUUCCUUUUUCUACUUUUAUUUUUCGAAAGAUAGGUAACAUAAUGUAUGAAUUUUAUAUGAAACUAUUAUAUUUGAAACAAUAUUUUGUUUAUAUCAUAUGCUCAAUUUUAAUUUAAUAAGAUUUUUUUUCUUUUACUAUUUUUUCUCAAUCAAUCAAAUGAAUUUUUAUUAAAAUCAAACAAGAGUUGCAUAACCUAGACAAGCUAGUUCAUUAGCUUGAAUGGCCUUACAAAGAUCCCGCAUAUUGCAAACCUAAAAUAAUAAGUGCACGUUUGGUUCACAAAAUAGAAUAGAGUGGAAUGGAAUAGGUGUUCUAUGAAAAUAGGACAAAAUAAAAGUAAAGUAAAAAUAUUAUUAUGUAGUUUGGUUGAUGGAAUAGGUAAAGGUAGAAUUUGCUAUUAUAACUUAUCACAAUGUUCGGUUGUUAGAUAUAAUUUUGGAAUAAUAAAAGAAUAUAUUAUAAAAAGAUAAAAAUAUCUUUUAUUAUAAAAUAUAAUUAUAUAUUUAUUUUAUUUUAUUUUAUAAAUAUUAAUAAUGUAAUUUAUUUAAAAUAUUAAUAUUUAAUAAUUAAAAUACUAAUAUUUUAUUUUUAAUUUAAUCAUUAAUAUUUUAAAAUAUUAAUUAUUUUAUUUAUAAUUUAUGCAUAAUUAUGAUUAAAAUAUUAACACUUUUAAUUAAUUUUCAAGUUCUAAAUAUUUUAUAAUAUAUAAUUAAGAACUUAAGCUCUUUAUUAUAAUAAGAUUUAUUUUCAUCAAAAACAAAAAUACUGUUUAUAUAAUUUAGUAAAAUUUAUACCAAAUGACAAAAUUAAGUAAAUUUUUUCUUUUUUAAUCAUUUAAUUUUUAUUUUCAUUAAAACUUUAAAAUUUAAAUAAUUUAAUAAUUUAUUNUUAAAUAUUAAAUAUUUUUAUUUUUUAAUUUAAAAUAUUAAUUUUUUAUAAUAUAUAAUUAAAAACUUAAAAUUUUUAUUUUAAAUUCUUUUUUCUUUUUCUUUCAAUUUUCACUUAUAAGGGACAGUUUUGUCUUAUUAAUUUUAGAAGCUAUUCUCCUACCCAUGGAAUAGCAAAUGCCACGGGGGAGGAGGUUGGGAUUAGUUAACCUCUGAUUUUAGGUGAUCUUGGCGAAAAGAGAUUGCAAGAGAAUGGCUAUUCCUUGGGCCAUUUGACAACCAAACGAAUGAGCAAAUAUUCCUUCAGAAUAGAGGGUGAAUGACUUAACUAUUUCCCCAAUCAAACAUGCUAUAGUAUUUCUAACACACAACAACUACCAAUAAAACUCAAAAUAGAGGCUGGGGAUAACCUUUCAUUUAUCAAUCAAACCUUGCACAAAACAGAAUAGUCUAGUAUUUGACCAGGAAGCCAUGAAUCACCACAUUCCAUAAACAAUUCUCCAUAAACACAAAAGAAAGAUGAAAAAUGCCAUGAACAUAUCAAACAAUGUGGCUACCACCAUGCAUAGAACGUGUCACCUCGUUCUACUCCAAACAUUACUAAAGAGUCAACCAAUGUAGGAGCAGAGGGAAAAAGGGUUAGUAGGGGCCUUUGCCUGCUCCAAAAGUUUUAAAAUUUUAUAAUUUCUCUUUCUUUUUUUUUAAUUUUAUAAUUUUCUCCUACUUUUUUAAAAAAAUUGUUAUAGUUUUGCCCUUACAAACAUUGAACUUCUAGUAUGAUUAUUUUAUUGAAAUUGUUUUUUCUCCUCCAACAUGAAAUUCUGGCUUCGCCUCUAAGAUAAUGUAUUGUCUUCUCAAAAUAUGUGACAAAAAAAAAUAUCACCAAUAUUUCUACAUAUGGUGUUCAACUCAUUAAAGGUUUGCCAUACUUUCCAUGGGCGAAGUUUGCUCUCUUUCACCUUUGAAAUUGUAAUUUUUGAUUUAGACUCAACAAUGAGCCUAUUAGAACCCACCCAUGAAAUAGUAGCAAACAACUUGAUUGCAUAGAAAAUAGCCAUUAUCUCACAUAAUUUGAGCCUUGUAUGCCCAAGGGAUCAUAAAACACUCCUCGUACAUGCCCAUUUAAAUCUCGAAGGACACCUACCCAUCUUGCCAAAUCAAGUUUACCAUGAGCCAAGCUAUCCACAUUGAACUUAAGCUCUGAAGGAACAUAAAUACUGAUUGACCUAGGUACCUUGCACACUACCAUCGGAUUAAGCUUCCACGUUUCCAUCCACCACCCAUUCUCCUUAAUUUUCUUAAUACUUUUAUUAGCCUUAAUCCAUAACAUCAACUGCAUUUUGAUAAGGAAGAUAAUUUCAUCACCAUCUCAUUUCUUCCAAUUAAAAAUAAUCUUGUUAUGGGCCAACCACAAGGACUAAAAGGUUGACUUGCACACUACUAUCCAACAAGAUUUGAUUCUCUCACCAAACCCAUUAUUAUCCCAUGACUAAAUAAUACCCUUUAUCGUUUGUGGCAACACCCAAGCAAGGCUUCAUCAUCUUAGUCUUCCAUUCCAUAACCACCAACUAUAGUAACAUGAACAAAAGUGGUCACAUGUCUCUUCCACAAAACUACACCAAUAACAAUAUAAUUUUCCACAAAAGAUUUUUACGCGACAGAUUCGUAAUGCCCAAACCACUCCUUGCCUUCUAUUUGCACACUACUUGCCAUUUAAUUUUUAUGAUAUAUAAGGGAAAUUCUCUGUUCCUGAUGGUGCUUCAAGGGGAGCGAUUACCAUUUGAAAGACGUGUUUUUUAAGCUCAAAUCUUGUUUUAUGUCUCAAAGAUUGAUUCCUUUCAUAUGGGUCAUUAAAAAACUAGAUUUCAAUUGGGGGUUUGAGAAUAUUUAUACAUUAAAUGACAAUAGUGCUAGCCAAGCCUUAUGAGAGUAGCUUACUAACAUACUUAGUACUAAUGCUAUGCCAUGGUGCCUCAUGCGAAAUUUUAAUAUUGUGAAAAAUUUCAAGGGCAAUAUGAGAAUUUUUGUGAAUCUUUUAGUGCUAACUUCAUUGAAAGCACGAAGUUCGCUGAUCUUCCAUUAAUUGGCGAGAAAUUUAGUUGGUGCAACAAUAGUUUUGUCCCAUCAUACAGUAAACUAGAUAGAUUUGUAUUAUUGGUUGAAUUAUUAGACAUACAUCAAAAUUUAUUUUAAAAAAUUCCUUAUUCUCUGUACAACCAUAAUCCAAUUUUGUUGGAUAUUAAUGGUGUUAAUUAGGGUCCAAAACCAUUUUGUCUCCACAACCAUUUGCUUAUGGUAGAUAGCUUCCAAGGCUUAGAAGUUGAAAAAUCUGAAAUAUCUUAAGAACUCUAGAAUUUGGUUAUGGCUUAAAGAAAUCAAAUUUGCCACUAAACAAUGGCAAAAGUAGGAUUGCAAUUGAGAUCAAUUUUAGAUUAGCAAGAUCGAGUAUGCUAUUCACAAUUUACUCCUAAUGUUACAAAGAAGAAGUAUAAAUGACAACAUUAGAUUGCAAAUCAUCGUUAAGAAGGCCAAGUUAUGACAAUUUUAUAAAGCUGAGGAAAGAUGAUGGCAAUUAAAUCAAAGGUCAAAUAGUUACUUCAGAGAGAUAGGAAUAAUAAUUCUUUUCAUUCAAUGGCCUUUGCUAGGCAACAGGCCAAUUAUAUUGGAAAACUUAUGAUUCAAGAUGAGAUGACCAAUAUCAUGUUUCUCUUAAAGAUGAAAUUGCCAAACACUUUAAGACCUUUUACGACCAAAAUAAUGCUGUCAACUAAAAGGAGUUCAAUUGUAAUUUCAAAUCCCUUAAAGAGCAAAGUGCUUUAUCUUUGGCAAAAUCCAUUUAUCAAAGCUAAAGUUUUAGAGGCCAUCAAAAAGUGCGUUGGCAACAAAGUGUUAGGUUUGGAUGAAAUAACCUCAAAAUUUUUCAAGAAAUAAUGAGAUUGUUGAAAGGUGAUGUAAUGAAGUUUAUGCAUGAUUUCUAUAUGUCUUAGUCCUUUUUCAAUUGCAUAAAUUCAUCUUUCAUUACUUUUAUUCUAAGGUGUGCUAACUUUAGUUGUUUGAUUAAAUUUAGACCAAUUAGUUUGGUGAGGAGCAUUUAUAAUAUUUUUGCAAGAGUCUUGGAAAACCAUCUGUGAGUUAUGAUAAAGGAAGUUGUGGUGGUUAGUAAAUUUGCUUUCAAAAGGUAGACAAAUCACAAGUUGCCUUUUUAUUGCAAACAAUGUUAUUAAUUUAAAAGGAAGAAUGGUUUAGGAGGUUUGUUUCUUAAAUUCAAUUGCAAAAAAGCUUUUGAAGUGUGGAUUUGGUUUUUUUAGACUUGGUAAUGAAAGGGAUAAGGUUUGAGAAGAAAUGGAGUGGAUGGACCAAGACCUGUAGUUCAUGAACCUCUAUUUUUCUUCUUGUGAGUAUAGUGCCCCCAUGAAACAAUUUGACUUGAAACAAGGACUCCGAUAGGAAUGCCCUCUUUCCCUUUUUUUGUUUAAAAUCAUUACCGAGGCUUACAGUCUGUUGAUGAAUAAAGUUGUCUUAAUUGACAUAUUCAAAGGAAUUACUAUUGGGCACAAUAGCUUUGAGAUAUCUCACAUGUAGUAUGCCAAAAAUACUGUUAUCUACUAUAAACUGACCUUGAAUGACUUGUUGAUUAUUAAGAAAAUAUUAAGAAGUUUUCAAGUUAUCACAGGUCUAAGAAUCAACUCCCAAAAGAGUUGUUUAUAUGGUAUUGGUGUGGAUUAGCAUGCUUUAAGGUCUUAGUCUAAUAGAAUUCUUUUUCAGGUUGAGACCCUUCCCUCAAUGUACUUGAGGCUUCCUUUGGGCAUACACCUUAAUUCUAUGAUGAUAUUGAAUCUAGUUGUGGACAAAUUUAAAGCUUGACUUGCUUGUUGGAAAUCUAAAUUGUUUUUGUAAGUGGAAGGGUUACCCUGCUAAAUCAAUUCUUGCUAACCUUCCUAUAUUCUUCAUAACCCAAUUUCAACUUGCUAUAGGUGUUAAGGAAACUUUGGAUAAAAUCCAAAGAAAGUUAUUUUGGAAUGGUUCAAUUUCUAGUAAGAAAGUCCAUCUCAUUUAGUAGAAAACUAUCUAUUCUUACAAACAAUUUGGAACAAUUGGUUCGGUGGAUUUGCAACUAAAAGCAAAAUUUUGCUCAACAAAUCGAUUUGGAGGUUUGAAAUGAAACAUAAUAGCCCUUGGAGAACUAUCAUCUUAGAGAAGAUUGGUUGGGACCUUGUAAGUUUAAUCCCACCUUAUUGCUCCAAUAGAAAAGACUCCUCUCUCUUGAAGAAUAUUAUUUGCCUCUUGUAACAAAUUCUUUUCUUAAGCCUCCAUAGGGAGUUUUUUCUGUAGGCAACCACAAAAAAUUUUUCUUUGGAUUGGUGAAUGGAUUAAAGGCAUUGUUCUAAAAACAAUGUUCUCUAGAAUUUUUUUGCACUUGUUGCAAACAAAUCAGAUACGUUUAAUCGGUAUAGAUUUUAGGUCAAUAAAAUGUGGACUUGGAGUAGUGACCUUAGAAUAAGUUGAUUUGAGUGGGAUAUCCAUCACUGGGAACAACUUAUCAAUAUGUUGAAGGAAUUCUUCCUUGGGUAUGACUUUUAGGAUAAAAUAAUUUGAAAAAACAAUUCAACAAAUGGAGAGUGUUGUAACAAGUCCUCCUGUAAGAAGGUCUUUUCUUCAUCUUCUCUAAAAUUCAAUGAAAACUUGCUUAAACAAGCCUUACAUUGCAAAAACUUGAAAUCUUUUACUGGUAGGUUGUUAUAAAUAGAGUAGCAAUAAAAGAAAAACUUGUUAAAAAGGGCAUGCUAGAUCUAAAUUUAGCUUUUUGCAUCUUACAUAAGAGGGACUACAAAUAGGUUUAACUAACAUCUAUUCUUUACCUAUUUUGAAAUCUUGGAAGAUUUAGGCUUUGUGCUAUAACAUUUAGGGGAUUUCGUGCAAUAUUUCAAAAGAUACAACCUUUUUUUCAUUGGCUUGCAACUUGACUUUACCCAAUAAUCUUUGUAACAAGGUAUGACAAAUGGCUUUGUUUACUACUAUUUGUUUUGGAUUAUUAAAAACACGACAACCUUCAAAGGUUAGAGUUUUGUUUUGAGGUAACUUAUUGAUGCCAUUAAAUGUAGAAUUGCUUGGUGGUUUCAAAUAAGAUGACCAACAGACUAUAACUUGAUUGUUGAUAUCUUUAGAUUCCUAAUGUUGUUUUAGCUCCUUAGAAUGUUAAACCACAGAAGUUUGGGAUUGUUUGGGCUUACCUUUAGUGCAACUUCCUCAAAUUUAAUGUCAACAGUUCGUCAAGAAGAAAACUUGGUGAUGAUGGAAUUGGAAAGACUUUGUGUGAUGAGGUUGGUUUUGUUAAGAUCAUGUUUUCCAAGUUUGUUUGUAUUUUUAACUCAAAUAUCGCUAAGUUGCUUGCUAUAUUAGAGAAGUUUUUAUAAUCUUUAUAGUUUCAAAGUGAGCUAACACAUAAUACUCAAUGGUUGAAAGCAAUUCUCUUAAUGCGAUCAAUCAGUAUUGAAUUCGCAUUCAGCUGAAUAGAAGUUAAGAAAAUUUAUCUUGCAUGUUUAAGCUUUAAAAAUUCAACUGAGAAAAUGACAAAUUCACUAUAUCCCUCACCUUGCUAAUGAGUUAGCCAAUGACCUAGCAAAAUUAGGUGUCUAAUAUUAUCUAAUUUCUUUUUCUAUAUUUAACUUUUUGAAUAGUUGUUUCUCUAACUCCUUUCCCACGCAAAAAGCCUUUUACUAAACUCUAUCUUCCAACUUUAUUUUUCUCAUUUUCAUCCUUAUAAUUUUCACUAACCAUUGCCUCCUUAGUUCUUUCUAGAGUGAACAACCUAGGGUACAUAAUGCUAGGUGCUUUUGUUGUUGCUAUUGUAACUAGGUAUUUCUUGUUGUCUAAUGAUGCAUUUGACUUUUUAUUUCAAAAUCUUAUGGUAUUGUUCAUUUCCUUGCUCAAAGUCUAGAUUCUCCAUGGCUUUAUCUUAAUGCUAUCAAAAGUAUCAUAUGCCUUAUUGUUUGUUAUUGAUGGAUUAGUUACAAUCUUCAUUUGUCUACUCUCAAAGUCUAUAUUGUUACGGGUGUUUCAAUUGUAGAUUUUCUAGGGUCAUUUUUUUCACUUGAGGUAGGCAAAUUUUUUAUAUACUUGAGCUUUGGGCUUCUAUUUGUUUUCAAUUAAGGUUAUUUUUUGACUAUAUCAAUUUCUUGAAACAUUUGGACUCCCCGUUAUAUCAAUAAUAAACUCCUCUAUGCUUUCAAAAGAAAAUGUAAAUAGCAUAUAUAACAAACUAAAUGAAACCUCACUAACCUUUUGUAUAUAAAACCAAAUGCAUGAGAUUGGCUGAAUAAUUUUCUUCGUAGAACUUUAAAAGCUCCUGUCUUAUAUCCAACCCUUUUGCUUUUGGUCUAACAUCCAAGGUAUACCAAUUCCCUACAUAUAUAUUAACAAGUUAAACAAACACAAUAUAAGAUGCAUAUAUGUAUGUAAAAUCUUUGUUGGAAAAGAAAAGGACACCAUCAUUUAUUUUGUUUUUAAAUUAAUCAAAUUUAUUUGCUAUACAGAAGAAUUCUAUUUUAAAUUAAUAAUCAAGGUAUACCAAUUCUCUACGUACAUAUAAUUUACUCAAAACAACCAACGAAAUGCUCUAUUUUACUACAAGUCUUUUCAAUAUUUCAAUUUGCAUAAUGUCAACAAGCACAAUGCAUGCCAAAUGACCAUGUCAUUUGCCAAAGCACAUAUUAUUUUGAAAAAAUGAAAGAGAAAACAAGGGUAGGGGGAAGAUAAAAUUAUAUAAAAGCUUUACCUAUGCCAAAUCUAUGAUAAGGAUGACUUUCCCAGCUGAGAUGUUUUUGAAGCUGCAUAGGAGAUAAGGAGUUACAAUGGAAAAGAAAAGGUUAUGGAUAGCUUUAAACUUCAUUUUAUUAUGCUUCUUGCUUAUCAUAUUUUCUUAGGAAAUAAAAAGUAAAAAAAAACUUUAAAUUAAAAUUAAAUUUUUUUGAAUAAUUUAAAAGUUAAAAAUUGACUGUGAAAGAUAGUAGUAUCACUUUGAAUAUGAUCAUUUCCUAUUAGGGUUUCUCAAAGUCUAGGUUGUUUCAUACUUGAAUCACUUUUAUUCUAAGGUAUUUCAAGUGAUCAUAUUAUUUAUGGUUCAAACUAUUUUGAUUAGCAUCUUUCUUUUUUUUUUUUAAAUUGAAUGUCUAUACUAAUUAAUUGACAUGCAGUUUAAGGAAAAAAUUUUGAGUUCUAGUGACUGUUAUAUUAAACUCUAUAAUAAUUUAUAAUAUUUAUUUCCAUUUAUUUUUCUUUUCCAAAAAGUUCAAAAACAAACAAUAAAUCUUGUUCUUAGAGGCGAAGCUAUAGGGGCUUGUUAGAGACCACGGUGCUAAAAGCUGGGAGAGAAAACGAUAUGGGAAGAAUUUUUAUUUGUGUAUUGAACAAAAAAACUGUACAAUGUAUGUUGUUUUUUUAUAUACAAGAAUAAAGGAAAAUUAAGCCUAUAAUAAGCUGCACUACUUGACAAAAUUACAAGAAUAAUAAAUGCCUAAAAAUGAAUAGUUAUUUACAAUUGUACCAUAAUUCUGUUGGUCCAGCAAUCAGUGUCUGGAAAUUCUUUAAAACAAUUUCUUGCUGGCAUCAUCCUAUUUAAUUCUAUAAUACUCCCCCCACAAGAGGAGCUACCACAGCUUGUUUCUUUGCUUUCUAGCUUAUCAAGGAUUUUCCAAGGAAUAUACUGACUCUUAUAACAAACCUUUUUGUGUCUAGACAACUCUCCUAAUCACUCUAUGCAUAGGCUGUUAAGAUGAGUUCUAAAUGUGAAGCCAUCAAAAUGCCAUUCCCUAGGUAUUUAAGUACUCUAAGUGCUGCAUGAAAAUGAGAUGUUCCAAGCUUGUCCAUAUACUGUGAUAAUACUUGAACAGCAUAUGUGAUGUCUAGUCGAGCAAAGGUUAGAUAAAUUAAUUUACCUAUCAAUUGUCUAUAAGUUAUAGCAUCUACUAGUUUAUCUUUCUCAUUAGCCUUAGAUAACUUUUGGUUAUAGUCCAUAGGUGCGGAUACAAGCUUAGCACCUAGUAAACCAUGUUCCUUCAAUAAACUCAGAGUAUACUUUUGCUGGUAGAUUGUAAUCCCCGUAUCUGACCUUGCUACUUUUAGACCAAGAAAAUAUUUCACACAUCCUAAAUCCUUCAACUUAAACUUGGAACUAAGAUAUUGCUUAACAUCAUUUGUAGCCUUCACAGAAGAACUUCCUAUCAUUAUGUCAUCAACAUACACAAGUAAUCGCACAAAAUCAUUAUUUUUAGUUAUGUAAGUAAAUAAAGAAUAAUCUGAUUUUGACUGUGUGAAACCAUCAAGUAGUAAUGCCUUAAUGAACUUACAAUUCCAUUGCCAUGAUGCUUGUUUGAGCUUGUAUAGUGAUUUGUGUAGUUUGCUAACAAACUUCACACCACUAGGAUACUCCCCCUUGAUGAGAUAACCUUGAGGUAGGUCCAAGUAAAUAAUCUCAUCAAGGUCUUCAUUUAAGAAAGCAUUGUUGAGGUCUAGACGUUAUGAUGCCAAUUUUUCAAUGCUGUUAUUUCUGAAAACGUUCUGACAGUAGGUUGUUUAGCCAUUGGACUAAACAUCUCUUGAUAGUCAAAGCUUUCUCGUUAAUUGUAGCCUUUAGCCACCAACCUAACAUUGUAUCUUUUCAUAUUGCCAUCAGCAUUCAUUUUCACUUUAUAUACCCAUUUACUACCAAUAAAAUGUGAAUCAGAAGGUAAUGGUACCACACUCUAAGUGCCAUUGUCUUCAAAGGCAUCAAUUUUACUUUCAUGGCAUUCUUUUAAUGAUAAACUGAAUCGCUUGAUGAUAAGUUUUUGGCUCAUCAACAUGGGACAAAGAAACCAUAAAAGUUUUAUGAGAAUCAAAUAAUAGAUUGGAAGAUAGAAAAUCUUGAAUAGGAUAUUUAAUGACACUGUGUGAUGAUGCAGAGGGUAAACACAAUAAUAUGCCUCUAAGUAUUUUAAAGGUCUUCUUAUUCUAUCUCUUUUCCUUGAUGGAGAGUUUUCAUGAUCACUAAUAAAGACAACAAAAUGAUCAUCAUAGAAAUUAGAUAUAUUUAAAGAGGAUGAAACAGUAUUUAUAUUGGAAAUAGAUUCUGAAUUUAAUGGACUUGAAUUAUUUAUGUCAUGAUAAAAUCUGUCAAUGAAAGAGAAUUACCAACAAGAUUAUAAUCAUGAACAAAAAAAUUAAAGUCUGAAUAAUUAUCAGUAUUGAUAUUGAGAUUAUUGGUGACCAAAUUAUACUCACAAGAUGUUUGGGGAACUGUUUCUUUGUUGACAGUUUAUGUUGGCUUUUGGAAGGGAAAAAUGCUCUCAUGGAAGAUGACAUCCCUACAUAUAAAGAUUUUAUGCGUGCUCAAAUUAUAUAACUUGUAUCCUUUCACUCCUGUUGGAUAUCCUAUAAAUACCUCUAGGGUCAAUCUUUUUUCUAUUAUGUGACAAAAUGCUAGCAAAACAAAAGGAACCACAUACCUUGAAAUGUGAAUAAGAAAGUGGUUUUUGGAAUAAUUUCUCAUAUGGAGUUUUAUUUUUCAAGAUUGGUUUAGGUAUUCAAUUGAUAAUGUGGGCUACUAAAAGUAUUGAAUCACCCCAAAAUUUUAAAAGCAAAUAGGACUGGAAAAGCAAAGCUCUAGCAAUUAUCAGCAGAUGUUGGUGUUUUCUUUCAACCACACCAUUCUGCUGUGCUCUAUCAACGGUUUUCUUUCAACCACACUAUUCUACUAUGGUCUAUCUACACAUGACCGUUGAUGCACAAUUCUUUUAGAAGAAUAAAAAUCAACAAGUUUAAAUUCCUGACCAUUAUCAAAUCUUAAUUGCUUAAUUGAUUUACCAAAUUGGUUGAAUAUCAUAUUGUAAAGGGAUUGUGUCAAACCUGUUGUGUCAGAUUUAGCAUGCAUAAGACCAGUCCAUUUGAAAUGAUUGUAAUCAUCUACAAUUGUAAAAAAAUAUCGAUAACCAUUAAUUGUUGGUGUAAAAUAUGGACCCUAAAUAUUUACAUGCACUAAAUAAGAUGCAGAUUUUGAACGUUGAACAUGAACAAGAAAAGGUAAACAUUUUGCUUUGCUAGUGGACAAAUUUCACAAGGUAAAUCAUCAGCUCAAUGAACUUUAAAACAAACUUUUCCUAUUGGAUUUAUCCUAUUUGAAGAGACAUGCCCUAAUCUAUAAUGCCAAAGGUCAAAAUAGCUAGGAGCUCUUGUACAAGUAAAAACUGUUUCACAAAAAUCCUUGGAAAUUGAACCAGUAAUUUCUGGUUCACAAUUGUUCAUAAAGCUAACAAAACCAGUAAAAAUGGAAUUGGCAAACUUUCAAUAUUAAAUUUAUCAAAGUAUUGUGCAUCACAACUGUCUUGCAAGAGGUAUAGACCUACUGUCACUUUAAUAAGCCUAAUCACUGUCCAUGACUUGAUGUCCUAAAUUACAUAAUGUGUAUCAAUAAACAAAAGACAAAAAUUCUUUGUAUUUGUUAUCUUACUAAUAGAAAUAAGAUUGAAGCUGAAUGAAGGUACACACAAAACAUUGUGUAAGAUAAACCUUAAGUUUAUUUUGAUUAUCCCUAUAUGUGAUACAGGCACUUUGACUUUGUUUGGUAAAUGAACAUACAUUUGAUAAAUAGGCUUUGAAGAAAUAAAAGACUUACUGAAACAAGCUAUAUGAUCACUUGCACUAGUGUUAAUUAUCCAAGUAUCAUUCUUACCAUGAAAAUUGAGAUCAUUAUGAAACUUAAUUGAAUUAAAUGAAUAAGAUGGAUGAGAAAUAUACCAACCAAUAAUCAAUUGACAAGAGAGGAUUUGUUUUGCUAAUUUGGUGAGGCUUGUCCACCAUCAGCUAAGUUUGUAGCAGGUUUAUUGAUUAGUGCUAGAAUUUUGUUGAACUGAUUCUUAAUGAAAGAAAUAGGCAAAGUGGAGUUGAUAGGCAUUUCUUUUAAUUCAGCAUCUUGAGGGUUACACAUCACAUUGUUAACCAUUGCCUUUCCUCUCUUUAAACCAAAUUUAUGUUUCGUGAAUUUGAAAUCAUCAGGAAUCUUAUUAGUUUAUAACACUUCUCCUUUGUAUGACCUUUUUACUGUAGUGUGCACAUGCAAAGCCUUUGCUUCUUUUUUGUACCUUGUGUAAUAACCAUGGUAGAUGACUCAAGGUUGGGCAGUGAUUAAAAGGUUAGUUCCUUUAUGAUUCCUCCCUUAUCAUUAGAUAGUAAGCCUCAUUCAUGUUUGGAAAUGGUUUCGGCAUCACUAUCUGGGAUGUUAAGGCAAAAUAGGUUUCAUUUAACCCAUUUAACAACCUAAGUACAGUGUCAUUUUGAAUCCAGUCCUUGUAAGAUUGAAACAUUUCAGGUUAUAGGUUCCACAAAGGCAAUGAGGUAAGGGCCCAUAAUUACGUAACUCUUCCCAUAAACUAUUUAGCUCAGUAAAAUAGGCAUCUACAGAUCUUUUACCUUGAGUGACAUUGUUGAGGCAGUACUGAAGUUUACGAUGCGAGCAUCAUUAGGAUGGUUGAACCUCUCUUUUAGUGUUUCUAGAUCUGGUAAGCAGAGCUCAUGUAGAACACAGUCAAUGCUAUGGGUUAUGUAAGUGAUUCUAAAAGCCACACCACAACAGGGUCAUUGCAGUAGGACCAAGCAAUGUGAAGCUCAUCAGAUGAACUUGGUUCUGGCAAAGUUCUAUCAAUGAAUCUCUUCUUAUUCCAAAUUAAGAGAGCUUAUGUGAAGGAUUUGCUCCAAAAGACAUAGUUGUUGGAGCUCAACUUAGGGUAUCACCACUGACCCAUGGUGGUCUAAAGAGUGUAAAAAAUAAGGUGAUUGAAGAUCUUUUGCUAGGAUUACCAAUGAUUUUGAGGUAGUUGAGUUUGUGAUUGUAGUAUUGGUUGAGUCUACCAUUUUCUUGAAUUAGUGAGCCAAAUAUAGGAUUUUAGUCUAUAUUAAGAGGAUUUGAGGGAUGAAUUGAUUGGGCUGAAAGAGUUAAACCCAGAUCUGAAAAGUUUGGCGUGAUGAUUUAAAAACCAGUGAAAUGUUUAGGAGAGAUUGAAAAAAAAAACAAUUGAAAUAUGAAAAAUAGAAAAAAAAUCUAGGAAAUAAACGAUAAAAUGAUUAGACAAACAAAUGGAUCCGAGCAAGGAAUUCAACGAAGAAUCCCAACUUGCUCUGAUACCAUGUCAAAAGUUAGGAGAGAAAAUGAUAUGAGAAGAAUUAUCAUAUCUGUAUUGAAUAAAAAAAAACUGUACAGUGUAUGUUUUAUUUUUAUAAACAAGAAUAAAAGAAUAUCAAGCCUAUAAUAAGUUGCACUACUUAACAAAAUUACAAGAAUAAUAAAUUGAUGCCAGGCCAUUGUAAAGACACCUAGACGUUGUAAAAGACAUCAAUCGUGGCGAGGUUGAAAACCCCAUUAAGGUGAAUCACCAAUCUUGACAAGGUUGAAAACCCCACUAAGGUGAAAAAUAGCUAAAAUCCAACUUUGGUUGGCUAGGCCAAAGAUACUAAAAACCUCUUACUCUUUAAAACAAGCUUAGAGAAAUAAACACUCCUGCUUAAGAAAAUAUUAUUUAUUAACUCUCAACUAUAAUGUCUCAUAACUAAGCUUAAGAGUCCUAUUUAUAGUAUUAUAGGCCCACAUCCUAAUAAAACUCUACUUUUAGUUGAUCCAGUAUAACUAGAGUAGUUAAUAAGAUAUUUAAAUAAAAUAGGUGUUCUAAUCCUAAAUNGAUUUAAAUAAAAUAGGUGUUCUAUUCCUAAAUAGAACAUGACUAUCCUAAUCAAAUACUAAUUCUUAAAAGUAUUAAAAUUCCAAUAAAAAUAAGAAAAGAAUCCUAAUCUAAAUAGAAUAAAGAAAAUAAAUCCUAUAUCAACUACAAUUAGAAAAACUAAAUAGAAUCCUAAAUGCUCUUACAUCAUAAAUGCCCAAGAAUGCAUAGCUAUUUACAAAUGUACCAUUAUUCUGUUGGUUCAACAAUUAGUGUUUAGAAUUUUCUUUAAAACAAAUUUUUGUCGGCAUCAUCCCAUUUAAUUCUCUAAUGCCCUUUGCUUUUGAAUGGCUUAUAUACGCUAUAGCUUUGCAACAUAACAAAGGGAAACUCUUGCUUUGACCCUACAAAAAUUUUAACUACCCCUUUUUAGAGGUGCUUAUGGACCAAGUCGAGCUUGAUUGACACCUCUAAAAUUUAGAUUCAAGUUUAGACCUAGCUUGAUUAAUUAAAUUUUAUUUAUUAUUAAAAUAUUAAAAAAAUAUUUUUAUAUAAAUAUUUUUAAUAUUUGUAAAUAUAUUUUCAAAUUAAAUUAAAUAAAAAAUAAAUAAAAUUAUUCAUAUAAUAAAUAUCUCAAGCCGGGCCUAGUCGAAAUCAAGCCUAAAAGAUCUUGUCCAUGCCACAACUCAAGUCGGGCUAGGCUUGGGUGGAGAGAUUUACUGCCUUUCUUGUAAAAUUUGAAAUCAGUAUUAUAGGUGAAAAUAGAGGGGGUUGAGUUGGUUUUGGGAUUGAGUCAUUUCAAGUCGUGUGUCUUACCAGGUAAUUUAUUGUUCUGGUUGGGGUUAAUUUAGGUUAGUGCUGUUCAAUCGUUGGAUUAUUAUGAGUUUGAAGUCAUUUUAAAUUGGAAAGUCAAGUUCAAGUAACCCACAUGUCAAGUGAAUCUGAAAUCAUUAGUCACCUUGAGAUGCUUUUUUAUAAUUUAUUUAUAUAUAUAUAACAAUUUAUAAGAGUACAAUUAAAAGAUCUAAGAUUUAUACGUAACAUCAAUUUUUUUUAUACUUGGUAAAGAAAUUUGGUUAAAUUAUACAAUUAGUCUAUGUACUCUAUAAAAAAGUAUGUAUUUAGUCCCUAUAUAAUAAUUUGUGUGAAUUGAUCCUUGUACUUUGUCAUUUGUUAAUUUCAAUCCUUAACUAAAAUAUUGUUAAAUUUUGUAAAAUUAUACAGUUAGUCCCUGUACUCUAUAAAAAGUAUGUAUUUAGUUCUUGUACAAUAAUUUGUAUAAAUUGGAUCCUUGUACUUUGUCAAUUUGUUAAUUUCAAUCCCUAAAUCUAAUACUAUCAAAUUUAAACAUUAAGUAUGCUAAUGUGGCAUUUUGACCAAACAAAUAUGACACUAAUACAGACAUCAUGGUGUUAUCUAGAUGAGGUGGCAUAUAUUGAUGUGGUAGAAAUGCUGACAUGGUAAAAGCUUUAUACAAUGAAAAAAUACUGACUUUCCACAUGGGUUUAAAAAAGAAUUAAAAAAAAACCCAUAUCCUAAAUUAAAAUUAAAUAAGAUUAACAGAAAACGAACAGAUGAAAAGAUAGGGAGAAAAAACAAGAACGUAUCCCCAAAAAAUAGGGAAAAACAUAGAAAAACCUAAAAUCCUAUGACUCAAUUGUUGAAGUGCAUCAAAUAAGCAUAACAACACAAUUGAUGCAGAGCAACAAGAACCAUUAACAACAAAAAAUAAAAAGCAAAAAUCGGGAAACAAAAACAGUAGCAAUGAAGACCAUGAAACAAAGAAACUAAUAAAGGAAACUAACCACUUGGAACUUGCUCAUUUUAACGAGACAUUAAAUCUCUUGAAGGGUCAAGAGUUAAAAUAAAUUUAUUGAGUCUCUAAUCAGUAGAGUUGAUAAUUACUUGGUCGAAGGAAAGCUUGCUGAAGCAACAGCCGCCCUUGAAUAAGGUGUCAAAGGUAGCCAAGCGGAAGAGAUAGGUGGUGAUUGAGUGAAAUGAGCAGCGAUAGGGCCAUUAUGGAGCAAGCUUUAACUAUUGUGAAGAUAAUCAUCCAAAGCUUUAACUGUCUGUAUACAUGAAAUCCCAAGAACACAAAUCCAUACACAAACGUAAAUCUGGAGAUAAUCACCCAAAAGAACACCUUCCAGAUUUGCUAUGAAUGCCAAGAACACAUUUACAACCGUAAUGCAAAUCUUUUUGGCCUCCUUUCUAUUAGUAUGGUUUACUUAGGGAAGAGUUUCAUAUUUCUUUUUGAAUUACUCAGGAAAAGGGAAACCUAUUUGAGAUCUCCCAAAAAGAUGAGCCAUGUCAACAUUGUGCCAUGUCAGCAUUAUGCCACAUCAUUUGUAUUAGUGCUAUGUAAGCUUGGUCAAAAUGUCAUAUCAGCAUACUUAACGAUCAAAUUUAACAGUGUUAAAGUUAAAGACUAAAAUUAACAAAUUGAUAAAGUAUAAGGAUCUAGUUCAUACAAAUUAUUAUAUAGGGACUAAAUGUAUGCUUUUUGUAUAAUACAAAAACUAAUUGCAUAAUUUAACUAAAAAAAUACUAAUUGUUUUAAACCGAUUACCAUCGUUUCUUAAUUGAUUACAAUUUUCUUAAUCGAAGUCAUCCUUCCCAACAAAAAAAAACCUUCACUUUCUUCAGCAUUCCCUAAACCCAACUACCUUAUAAUUAGAAUGUUCUCUCAUUGUUUGUAAAUUCCUGUUCCUCUUUUAAAAAUCAUUCUUUAGGUUGUCUUGAAUUUUCAAAAACUGUGAAAAAUGUGGGUAGAGAAUCUAUUAUUGCUACUAAAUAAAAUUCAAUAACAUCAAAUUUUUGUUGAAGAUUUUAACGAAGAGAAGAGCAUUAGAUUUCCCUUAUAGAUUCUAGGAAAGAGAAUAGAAGGAUUUGACUUUUGUUUACAAAUUCUAGAGAAGAGAAUAGCAUUGCAUUUCCCUGACAACUUCUAGGAAAGAGAAGAGAAGGAUUUUUCUUUUAUUAUGGAACAAUAUGUUGGCUCUUUUAGUUUUUGAUGAUAAUAAAACAUUUUCAUUCAUUUGUAUCUAAUAAUUCUACUUAAGUGUGCAAGACAAGAAUUGUAUGUCAAUGAUAAUUAAAUAAUUCCAUGAGACAUAUCAAAAAGGUAUAUGAAUAAGAAGCCACAACUAAUCAACAAAACAGAAGCUCCUUAGUUAAAUAAUGAAGGGUUAGUUAGCUAAAAUUCGAAUCAGAAGUUGGUGGGCUUAAGAGUAUUGAGAAACAAAAAAGACUUAGUCGACCAAGAAAUGGGUUAGUCGACCGAGAGCCUACUGUCAGAAAUUUGGACUUCAAGAUAGAACCAACUUAAUUGACUAAGAAAGAAGUUAGUCGACUAAGUGCUUACUGCCAGAAACUGGGAUCAAAAAAUAGAAACGACUUAGUCGACUAAGAGCAUUCUACCAAAAAAUUUGAAUUGUGCACUAGAAGAAAGAUUAAUGGCCAUAAUUGUAACAAAACUAUUUUCAACGGUCAAAAACUACCUAACAUCUAUCAAAACUGAUUUUUCAAGUAUUUAAGAAGCUUCCAAUGGCUAGAAAUGUAAGUAAGGCCUCCAAGAACAAAACGAGCUCAAAAACUAGAAAAUACUUUCUGCUUAUUUACUGCACUCAACUCCUAUCUUUAUAAUUGUGAUAUGCACUUCACUUUAUUCCACAUAGAUCAACCUUGUGAUCAUAAGUACACUCUUAUCACUUCUCUACUUGUAUUCUUAGAGUGAGCGGGCCACUCUAAGCGAUUGAUUCAAGUUAGGAUUGCUUGAUUGAGCAUAGGUUCUAACUUAGCCUUGAAAAGUUAGGUGUUAGGUUUUAGUUAAUCUUGGUGAAAAAUAUUGUGAAAAGUUUUGGCUAAGCUUGGUGAAAGCUUGUGGAUUUCACCUUUUAUAGUAGAUUGAUUUGGAAAAUCCUUGGUUGAAUAAUCAAAAUAGUGGAUGUAGGUCUUGGAUUGAACCACUAGAAAUUCUGGUGUAUUGUCUGCUCUAUUUUUUUUAUUUUUGUUUCUUUUUAAAUCAUUUCCUCAUCUUGCAUAGAACAAGUCUUUAUUGAUCUUAAAACUUGUCUUCAAUUUAGAGCUAAUUUGAGUAAGAGCCAAAAAAUACUAUUCACCCCCCUCUAGCACAUUUAUUUGGGACCAACACAAUAUUAUUAUGUGUCCUACCUUUAUUGUUCCUUUUCUCAAAAUCAUUUUUGGGUAUUUUUGGAUUUCUUUACACCAACUUUCAAUCAAGCAACAAGGGCUUCAAUCAAACAGAAAAAGUUGGAUUAGGUUUUUUGUUAGGAAGGAUGACUUCAAUUAUGAAGAUGAUAAUCAGUUAAGAAACUAUGGUAAUCAAUUUGAAACAAUUAAUUUUUUUUUAUUUUUUGUUUCAAAUCCAUAACCAAUAAUUUUUGGACAUUUGGAAAGGAAAAAACCCAAUUCUGAGUCAAUAAUUUUUCAUGUCAUGUCAUCUACCACGUGGCAUUGACAUCAUCAAGAUGACACAUUAACGCAUCAAAACUUGCUGACUGUACCAUUGACUAACGAAAGUUAGUUAACAAUUAAUGAGAGAUAAUUCUUUGAUCCAAAAUAAAAAUUCAGUGGCAUAUUUGAACACAAAAUAAAGACAUGGAGCAAAUUGACUUUCUUGAUAUAGUUCUGACACUUAUGUAUGUAUUUAGCUUCUAUAUAAUUUUGAAAAUAUCCUCAAUAAAAUAGUUAAAUAUUCAAAUGAAAUAUUCAAUCUAUAACUAAUUAAUAACUUGUUUAAAUAUAGGGAUAAGAAAUCUAUCAUGAACCUAUCGACCUGUCACCCAACACAUAUACCAAGUAACAAUAACAAGUACAAGCUUAACCAAGAACAAAGAUCUCUAUUAUAUUCAAAAUUCUAAAAUAUCUAAAAUUUAAUUGAUAUAAAAUUUAUUUUAUCACUACUUUAACAUAUUUAGAGAUUCGGUUAGUUUAAAAAAAGGAUUCAAGAUCAAAGUAAAACUAAUACCUGGUGCAUUCUCCGCUCAUCAGACAAUAAGUAAUUCUGGUAUGCUGAGACAAAAAGAGAAAAUGGUACUAAUGAAUUAAAGUCUAAAUACUAGAAAACAUUGUGUUUAUAAAUAAAUAAAUAAAAAUAGUCCUUAUACUAAACUUUAAAAAAAUCUAAUGAGAUAUCUACAUUAAUUUGUUGAUACAUGAAUUUUAAUUCCAUAUAUUCCCCAAUACUUGACAUGUUUUUUGACCAAUCAAAAUAUGAAGGGUGGUAGGAAAAAUAUUACGCCACUUGAUAGGGCUACCAUGCAACAUACGCGUGGCUACUAGGAGUCAAAAACUACCUUCUGGAUGGUACGGCCUUUUAGCAACAAGGACAACCUUCGUGAUAUGAGCAACUUAUCUUUUUUGCUCGACCCUGUCAAUAUUGAUACUUAGACAUCUUUGAGAUCAAAUUCCUUUUUUGGUGCACAAGAUUCGUCUAAGAUGGCAAGUACAGAACAUACUUAAGGAUUUGAGCUCAUGAGAGAUCUAUACUUACAUAUCCUUGAUAAUUACUAGGAAAGAAGAAAGAGGCUUAGAAAGUUUGUUGAAGAAACAUUGGAUUUUUAUUACUCAAAGGUGUUUUACCUUUUCAUUUCAAGAGUUCUCCUCAUUAAAAGAGUUUCCUUACCAUGUUCAUCCUAAAAUACGGUAAAAAGUGAACUUGGUCCAAAACAGGAUCUCAUCCAGAGUUUUAAUUGUGAAGGUAACCCUAUUUUCCACUUCACAGAUUCAUCCACUAGACACUGUUCAUGGGACAUCAACUGUAGUUACAAAAGAUGCUAGAGAGAUAGUCUUGAGGCAGACUAUGAGCCAAAUCAUGAGCCAACCAAGAUGAUGGUGCUUUUUUGAGUCCAGAUGCAGAACAAUCCACUGAUAGUGGUGAUUAGGUAUAUAGAAACCUGUUUUGGGCUUAUCUUCAAGAUAGAUGCCCAAUUGCUAGAACCCGGCUUUCAGAUUAAAAUUAGAAAACACUCUGGCAUUAGCAAGACGUGAGAAUAAAGAGUUUCUGUUUAGAAGUGGGAACUUGUCAUCUAGGAGAAAUGGUUGAAAGGCUGGUAGUUGAUAACUAGUCUUAACAUUCCCUUAAUUUGCUCAACUCUUUUACUAACAUAAAAGUUUUACACGCCCAUUGAGAAUCUAAAAGCUCAAUCAAUCCCUAUUAUUCUAACACAUUGCGUCCUUGCUCAGCUAGUUUUUGGUGUUUAAGAUUUAUUGAUGAGUGGCUAGCCUUUGUGGGAUUAAUAUACUCGUUGAGCUUGAAUGGUAACCUAACAAAAAAUUCUAGAUUCUUCCACAGGGGAUUGUUGCAUUUAAGCAUGAAUUAUGAAUGAGAAUUGGCACAUGCCUUUUCUCUAAGUAGAUCAAUUGUGAGCCGCCCUUGGUCAGACUGUUGCUGGAUAAGAUAGAGAUAUGGAAUUUGUACACAUGGUUUGAAAGAAAUUUUGUACCUUAUUCCUUCAGGGAGAAUCCUCAAAUGAUGGCAUUCAUGAUAAAUGUCAAAUCCAAUCACUAUGUUUUUUCCAAUUAGUUCAGACCCUAGUACUUGGGUGGUGAUAGAACACUAAGAGAAUAACUGGGUAGUGAUAGGUUUGUUUAUCAAGUGUGUAGUGAAAAUCUGAUCUGAAGCAAUUUUGAAAUGCCUUUUAUAAGGUAUCUAGCAUUCAAAUGGAAGGAUAUUUGGGUUCAUGACUAUUUCAACACCGCCUACAUCAAAAAAGGCAAUGACUGUUAUCGGUUGGCUAUAUUUGGAAGGAUAGAUUGAGACUGGUUCUGAGGUUAUUAGUGGUGCAGGGAUUUUUUGUGUUUUAAGUUGGGAAGGAAUAUUUGGUCAGGGUUGGAUUAUGAACAUGUCUUCAAGGUUAGAGACAAAGUCUGAGGUUAUAGUUUGGAUGGCAAACAAAAUUCUAUCUGUAGGUUCAUCUUUGAGAGAAAAAAUGGAUUCCAGAUCAUUAUCCUUAAGAUUUACCUUUGUUUUUCAUUCAAUCUCCUAGAACAUUUUUGCUCCUUUCCUUUUAUUGUUAGGACAUUUUUCUGCACAAUGUCCUUGCUGGUUGUAGAUAUAACACUUGGUUGACUUGGUCCUCUUGCUUAGCCUCCUCUUCUUCAGAUAUUUCCACUUUGUUCUGUAUCUGUGAUGAGGAGCAACUUGUUUGAAAAAUCUGAAUUUCCUUAAAUGCUUCUUUCUUUUUGUUUUGUAGUCACAAUCUUGGGUUUUGUGACAUUUUAUUAACUAAUCGGUUUUUUCACAAGCAUUAUCUAGGUCUCUGUUCCCUUUAAGGUAAUCUUUUACCACUUUGUGCUUAUUGCAGAUAUCCUCAAGGGCAAUGUGGACUUCUUAUUGGAUUUCUCCAAGGGUUAAAAACAAAAUGUCUUUUCUUUGUUGUUGAAGAGACCUUGUAAUUAUUGUCUGGAUUGGCCUUGGGACAAGGAGACAAAAACUUGCUUUAAACUUGGAGAAGCACCAAGGGUAUAGAAGAGUUUCAUCAUUUUCUGGAAAUAUUUAUCCAGAUCUGCUUUCUUAUAGGAGCAACAUUAUUUUUGGAAAAAUUCCUUCCUUUGGAGAGUCUUGACAUCUUCAAUGUCUCCUAUAAAAUAACUAUGAAGGAUUUGGAUUAUUUGGCUGAAAUCUUACAUGACCAGAAACUGCAUUUAGCCAGUUUGAUUGAAGGUAUUCCACCAAUAUCUUAGGACUCCAGUAAACCUUGAUGCGAAUUCCAUCAAGAUUAUAUAGUAAUUAUCUUCAGUUAGCCUCCUGGUUUCUAACCAUGCAUACAAUUCUUGGAAUCGUUUUGCCCACUUUGUUGGUGGGAUAUCGUCAAUGGUGAAUGUCAACUUUGAGAUUGUUAGAGUUGCUUGUCUUCGAGCAUUAUUGGGUUCUGUGUUAUCUUCAUCCAUUUCCUCGACCUUUACUUUUGAGCUUGCCAUGAAUGGGGAUCUUUCUGGUUCUGGCAAAGGGUCUUCAAGAUAAGGAUGAGAUUCUUCAUCACUACUGGUCAUAGCUUCUAAAGUUUUAGAAGAGGUUGAGUAGGAUGAUUGAGAUGUUGGCUCGUCUUGGAUUGCUUGAGCAGAAAAGAUCUUGGGAAUUGUAUUUUCUUUGUAUUCUUUGAGGAAAAAGACCAGAGAAUUUUCUUGCUUGAUCAUCAAUGUUUUGGGUUCAACGCCUCCGAUGUUUAUCCCAAAUCUCGGUUUUGAUUGUGGAACUUUUAUUUCUUCUUCUGGCUGCACAGGUUUUUUCCUUUGGGCUUUUGCAGACAAUGUUUCAAGCUUUUAUGUUUCAGAGGAUUCUUCGACUUCUUUUCUUUUCCUCUGUUUUUCUUCUUCUUCUUUUUAGGCUUUAAGUUUUUUGUAAAGAUUAAAAAGAGUCAAUUCUUUGGAUAGAGGUGGCAGUUUUUCUGGUAUUUUUGGAGUGCAAGUUGAUAGUAGGAAUGGAUCAUUCCUGUUUGGAGAUAAGAUUUUCUUGGUUUCUUGAAGGAGCUUAAUCUGAGCUUUAAGCUUCUAAAUUUCUGCUUUCUUUUGUUCCAUAUAUAGUUGGAAUGGAACACCUUGUUCUGGUAUUUCCUUAGAGACUGGUCUAAGUCUAUUUUGGAGAAGUUUGAUCAUAUCGUUGGUGGUCUUGGCAUUUUCAUCCACUUUAUUUUCCACCUUCUGGAUUUUGUCCUAGAUGCUGCUGAGCUUUUGGUCAAUUCCUUUCAGCAAGGAAUUUUGGACGAGAGAAUUUAUUGUUUGCUAGUUUAGUGCAGCUUCUGCUGCACUGAUUUUGACUAGUUUUCCCAUAGCAUCAGCUUGGAGAAGGGUCAGAAUUUUAGGUGCAUGUUUGAAUUCCUUUUCUGUAAAUUCUUCUAGUGGAGGAAAAUCAUGGUCAUAAGAAGGACUUACUGGUUGAAACAGGCAAACCUAGGGUACUAGUGGAGGUUGCUGAUAUUGGUGAUAAGUUUGAAAGCAACUUUGUUUUUGUACCCACCUUUGGAUCUUUUGUAACAUGGUAAAACAGGUUUUGGAGAUUUUGGAGAUGGUGGUUCAUGAUGCGAAAGGUUCUCUUCGUGCCCACUCUAGAGGAGAAUAUUUAACUAAAUACUGGUAUUUUUCUCUAUUUUCUCCCAAAGGUUCUAUUGAAGGAUUUUUGUCUUGAUAUCUCCUAUACAUAGACUUGGUAAUUUUAGACACGACACGAAAAGAUACGAGUUAAACAGGUUUUGGGUUUACGCUUAACGUGUUUCGUGUCUAAUCGUGUUUGACACGUUAAGACACGAAAAUUUUUAUGUCUUAACGUGUCAAAUACGACAAACACGGUUAAACACGUUUACUUAAUCGUGUUAUCGUGUUUAAACGUGUAUACAUAUUUAAAUAUGUAUACAUGACACGUUUAUUAAGUUAUUAAAUAUUAAUAGUUAAAAACUAUUUUAACCUUAUAUAAAUAAUUUUUAAUAAUUAUUUAAUGUAUAUUUUAACCUUUAUAUAUGAUAAUGAAUUUUAUGUAUGUUAUUUAUAUUAAAUUUUAUUAUAUUUGAUGUUAUUAUUAUUAUUUUUUUAUUGUAAUUAUUUUUAUAAUUAUAGAUUUUAAAUUUAAAUAAUAAAAUUAUAUUUAAUUAUAAAUAUUUUUAUUUAAUCGUGUUAAAUGUGUUAAUCGUGUUAAACGUGUUAUUAAUCGUGUCGUGUAGUAUAUUGACACGUUUAAUAAACGUGUAAAACGUGUUAAUCGUGUCAUGUCGUGUCGUAUUACACGUGUAUUAAACGUGUACAUGUAUGUAUUUCAAAUUUAAGACACGAAUAUUAAACGUGUUGUGUUCGCGUUUAGUCUUAACAUGUUUCGUGUAUAAUCGUAUCUGAUACAUUAAAGACACGAAAACACGAAUUGCCAAAUCUACCUAUACAUAACUUUGUUAGAGGAAUAACUUGGCUUUUUCUUUUUUGAUUUCUUGGCUAGCCCAUGAUCUAACUCAUAGUCUGCCUCAAGACUGUCUUUUGGCAUCCUUUGCAGCUAUAAUUGAUGUCCCAUGGACAAUGUCCAGUGAACAAAUCUGUGAAGUGGAAAAUAAGGUUACCCUCGAAAUCAAAACUUUGGAUGAGGGCUUGUUUUGGACUAGCUUCAAUUUAUACUAUUUUAAGCAUGAACAUGGUAAGGAAAAUGGGUGGUGCAUAAGGGUAAAGCCUCUCUAUGGGUUCGGCACCCCCCCCCCCCCCCCCCCCCCCCCCCCCCCNNNNNNNNNNNNNNNNNNNNNNNNNNNNNNNNNNNNNNNNNNNNNNNNNNNNNNNNNNNNNNNNNNNNNNNNNNNNNNNNNNNNNNNNNNNNNNNNNNNNNNNNNNNNNNNNNNNNNNNNNNNNNNNNNNNNNNNNNNNNNNNNNNNNNNNNNNNNNNNNNNNNNNNNNNNNNNNNNNNNNNNNUAUGUGGAUUCUAUCUUCUACUUGUCAUAUUUUUUUUUGUAUGUGGAUUUUAUUUUUUAUGAUUUUAAUAUUUUAAAAUAAAUAAAUUAUUAUAUAAUUUUCAAAUAUAAGUUGCAAUGUUGCACAGUUGCUUAGAAUUUCAUUAAUAUAUUAUUUUUUAUUUAGAAUAACCAAUGCAUUUUGGCAUGUAUGAUGCAAACUUUUAAGUAAGAAGGAUAUACAUACAUAUUGAUCAAGAAAGAAAUAAUUAUAUUUUUUUCAAUACAAUUUUAUUGAUUAUAUAUUUUUAAUGGCUCUCAAAAUUAUUUUUUAUUCAAUAAUUAGUUUUAAUCCUCAAACUGUUUGAUAAAAUUAAAGUCAUUAUGGUUAGCAUAUUACUAAUUAAGCUUAGCAAAUAAAUUCUAAAUUAAUAUGUUAAGCCUAUCAAAUUUUUUUUUAAAAAAAAAGUAAGUCUACUAAUUCAAGCCAUUAAGUUUUAAUAUAAAUCGAAACCUAUCAUAACAUAUUAUAUCUUAACAAUCCAACCUAAUAGCCUAUCAGAAUAUAUUAUAUUUCAAUAGUUCAACCCAAUAACUUGAUAUGUUAAUUAGCAAUUCAAGAGGUAAAUAAAAAAAUAAGAGAAGAGUUAGAACACACAAAGCAAAGUGGCAAUUUAUUUGAGUUCGAAAAACUGUUUUCUCUUUCACUGUUGGCCACAAAGAAUGAAAGAGACUCUUUUUAUAGUUUCAUUCAAUCAUAUUUACAAACAACACCAUUAUUAUUGUUAAUGUGUAUUUUUUUUAUAUAUCCAAUAUCUUUUGAAUUUUAUUUAUUCUUUUAGAUGAGUGAUAAUUGAAUUAUAUAUAAAGUUCUCUUUAACUGUUUAGUGUCUCUCUAUUUGGUCUCCUUUUAAAAAUAUUCUAACUCCGUCCCUAUGGUGCAAAAGGCUCCUUUAAAUGAGAGUGAUCAAAUUUGAUUUCUACUAUCCCAUCCGACUUUCUAGUGAAAUGAGUUUCUGUGGAUUGGAUGGAGUUUGCUGUUUCAUGGAGCUUCUCAUCAUUAGUCACCCACUUUUUUGGCAAAAGUUUGGCGAGGUCCUGCUUUGGAAUUCUUUUGGGGACAAAAGAAUAUUUAGGGACCUGAGUGGCAUUUAUGGAGAGGACCAAAGCAUUAUCAAAGUUGGUUUGGAGUCUGGAAAGAUUGAAUAUAUGGUCUUGAACCCUAUAAAUCAUCUGGUAAUGGAGUGUGGCAAUUAUGGCUGAGGGAACUUGUUGAACACUUGCUAUUUGGAUAUGAACUUUCAAUGCUGAGAGUAGGUUUGGUCAUAAAGAGCCAUAGUGUAGUUUCGGAAUAGAGUCACAAUGACUGUUCCGUGCUGAGAGUAUUUGAUCAUGUACGGAUUUUGAUUAACAUAUAAUUGAGGUGUCAUCAAAUUUUUAAAACGGAAUUAAGAAUUGGGAUCCAUCGAUAUAUGAAAUAAAAAUAUCACACUCAAUAAUUUUUGGUACGUAUAUUAUGUUAGACAUUUUUUUAAAAUAUAAAAACUAAAUAUGAUAUUAUACAAAUUAAAAAAUAAAGAUAAAUAAAAGGCUCACCGGACUCAACAGUUUUAAUUUCCCUCAUGGCUGCUUCAGUUGACAUCAAUGGUUUAUUAAAAAGCUGGGAAAAGCUGAAUGGUAUUGUGCCAACCAGAAAAAAAAAAGGGGAAAAUUACAGGACAACAACGAAAUUCACAAACUUUACAUGAACAUUAAUUUGAUGGAAAUAACACCAAAGAAAGCUGAGAAAACAACACUUACCGUUCCAAAGCUUCUUCAAAACAGUCAUUGUUAAUGUUAAAAUGAUAGUUGGUCUGGUUGGAAGACACAGCGCCUUCUGUGUAGCCUCCAUGCUGAAUAUCAGUGAAGUAAACCAAGCAUAUAUAAUUAAGGAAAAAAUGUAAUAUUUUUGGGAAAAUAUAAGGACAAAUAUAUGAUUUUACUUUUAAUUAUAUAAACUAAUUAAAUUUGAACUGAUAUUAUGCUUUAUUUAUUUGUUUAUUUUUCAUCUUUAUUCAAUUAAAAUUUUACAUUUUAUUUGUUAUCUUUAUUGCGUGAUCAAUAUUUAAACAGCAAAAAAAAAAGAAAACAGUGAUUUUUUAUUUUGUUUUUUUUAAGAUAAUCAACAAAAAUAGACUUGUGUGCAUAAAAGAUCUACCACGGUUAGAAACUCAAAAACAUUAUAAUUUGAGUAACUAAACUCAUAUAUAAUGACAUAUAGAAGAGUAUAUUUGAGAUGAACGGUACCUCGAUUAUGUACUGAGAAUAACUAUCCUCCCCAGGAUAUGUUUCACUAGCAUAAGCCAGCAGCAGCGCGCGCACUACAAAAAAUGAAACAAAAAAAAAAAGAAACAUAUGGAAUAAGAAAAAGAAUUGUUGAGUUGCUCAAAUGAAAUCAUAUUAGUCCCUCUUGUACCCAAAGAAAUGCUCAACAUCAAAUGAAGUUGGACCCUGAAAUUAUAGCCAAAAUCUUAAUAAGACAUCAAAUUUCCAGUCAGAAAACGCUUUAGAUAUUUUACCAAACCCAGUCGACCCAUGAGCGUCUAGCAGGUAAGGUUUAUAGGAUAGAAGUGACUACUUAUCAGAAGAAAAAUAUAUGUACGUACUGAGAAGAUGAGCAAGGCCCUCGCAGCCAUCCGGAUCAGAGAAGUAGCCGAUGCUGACACGCAUACAUGCAGCAGACUGCAACAUCAAAGUCAGAAAUUUUUGGAUACAUUACUUAAAUUAAAUUGGAACCAAAAAAAAGGACAAGACAGAAAUUAAUUUUUGGAAUUUCCCUUGCCUUGUCGGUGUCGAGAUCGCUUACGAGGAGCACUUGGAGGGAGUUUCCGAGGACGAUCCUCCUGUACUGUCUCUUGUCUGUUCGAGGCUUUAGUAUUUCUUCGUCGAUUUCCGUAACAUUAGCCAUUUUCAAGUUCGGUCGAGAGAGGAAAGAUCAAUUUGCUUGUUUUUUUAUCUUUUGCGGCUUGAAAUUUAUUUAAGGAGAAAGAUUAGAUUUUCAAUAUAUUGAGAAGGGUAAUUUCAUCUUUAUCAUACAAUAAAGCCUAUCACAGUUCACCAAUAUUAGAGGGUGAUAUUACAUUUCCUAAAGCUCUAUUAAAAUAUCUUACAACACUUAUUAGAAAUUAUUUUCUUUUGGAUACACUAACAUAAUAUUUCCCAUACUUUCAUUAUUGUAGACAAACGAAUUUGACCUGUAAUACUAUUUCUUGCUGCAGCUUUUCUUUUCACUUUACCUAAAGGGGCACCACCAUUUUCUCUUCCGCAUAAAGGCCAAGUUUCUUUAUCUGAGUCGUUUAUCUUGGGUCCCAGCACUAUUCCAGAUGUAUAUCCUGCAUGUUCGUGUCUUCUCUUUCUCAAUAAAAUGUCUGAUUACUAUGUUGUUUUAUCCCUUUUCACUUUUCAACAUUUUCUUUUAAAUUAACAUGUGACUUAGCCUUUUAUCCUUAAUUCUUGACUUUUUUUUUCUAAUUUAUUAAUGCAUGAUUGCUAUGUUUUGCAUUAUUGAUGCACUCUUUCUAAUUUGCUUAGCCUUAUCCCUUUAUCCUUUGCCUUGUUUGUUUUGUCCUUAUUUGUCCUUUUAAGGCCAUAGCUUUGAGAUAAGUUGUCCCUACUCACUAAUUGCUCCACGGAGGUAUCAGUUGUGCCUCCGAAACUCCAAAAUUAGUCUGAUUCACUACAAAAUAUAUAACUAUUUUGAUGAAAAUUUGUCAAAAAAACCUUAAUUUCUGUCAAAAAUUAACUACUGAUAGAAUUGUUGAUGGUUAAAUUUUGUCGAAAAUACAUUAAUAGGUAAACUAUUCCAUUGUAAAAAGUAAUGAAACUCAAAUUUGUUGGAAAUUUUUUACAAUAUUUCAUCAUUAAAAAGGUAAAAUGGCAGUCCAUUUAUUGACUUACUUUUGGCACUGUUCUGUUGGAGUAUUUCAUCAAUGAUUUGACAUAUUCCGUUGGUAAUCCAUCAACAAUUCCACCAGAUGUUGGUUAGAAAAUCAAUCGAAAAAAUUUGUGGUUAUUCAGUCGGUACUUUAUAGGUGAUAAAAGGAUAUUUUGAUAAUUCUACAAAAUAUGUAUGUAUGCAAACUUAUGUAUUAUACAAUUAUCAGAUAUUUAGACAAUAUUAUUAUAGAAUUUAAAAUAAUUAAAAAUAAAUAUUAUUAUACAAUUAAAAAUAUUAAAACAUACAAAAAUAUAUUAAUUUAUAUUCAAAGUAUACAAUGUUUCAAUGUUUUAAAAAUAAUGAAAAUAUACAUAAAAGAAGUCCAAUGCCUCACAACGUGUUGUCGUCACCUCUUGCAAACUCUCCCUCGAAUUGCAAGUGCUCGCUUGUUGUGGUGGAGGAACUGAAUCUGCUUCAUCUGUUCCAUGAAGGUCUAAACUGUCUUCGCCGUCGCACUGUUCUUCUUUAUUUUCCAUGGCAUCUUGAGAACAUUCUCAUUAUUGUUGUUCAAUGUGUCGCGAAUGUCAAGAAUGUUCUCUUAUAGAUGCUACACCUUUUAUUGGAGAGGAUCAGGAUGAGCAACAGUCACCACCGAAACUCCACAUGCAAGCUCUGAUGUCGGUACAAGUAAAGACCCACCAGGCAUUCUAAUCCCAAAGCCAUACACAUGAUAAAAAAAUGGCUGAAAAUUAAUUGGAAAAUAUUAAAAAAUGGCUGCAAAUUAUAUCAUCUGUGGAUAAUCUGACAUAUUGCUUUGGACAAAAGAUUUUCAAUUGAAUAAAUUUUUUUAAAGUAAUUAUUGCUUUUUUUAUAUGAUUUUAGACUAUUUGAUGAUUAAAACUUUUCUUUGUGUGACGUGCUAAAAUACUAAUAAUUUAGUUUUAGCCUUAGAUUGAUAAAGAUGAAUUUGUCUUACCCAACUUUAUCCUAAUAAUUUAUAGGUGACAGUUUAUUUUGACAGGUAACUUGACGUUAAUUUAUGUCCAUAAUAUGAACUUUAUAUGGUGAAUUAUAUUUGAAUGAUAAAUGAUGGAUGCUCUUAAAUAUGGAAUGGACAGGUGGAAUUAAUUAUGAAAUGAAAUAGGAUAAUCUCUCAUUAUAUAGUUUAAUAUCACAUGUAUAAAAAAAAAAAAAGAUUGAUGGUUUUACUUUAAGUUAGUUAAGAAAAAAAGUUGCAAAUUUAGAUUUAGUUAGAUAUUACUUUUAGGUUAAGAACUUAAGUUUGAAUUCCUUCCUCCCCUUAUUCCUUAAAGUUCCUUUAAUAUACAACCUAAAAAAGAUGCUAGAUGCCUUUCAGUGUAUUUUCUUCUGAAAAUCUAUAACAUGCGUUAUCCAUCUUUUUUGCCAAUAGUAUUUUUCUUUUUGAAAAAAAAGAAGAAGCACAGAUUAGUCUGAUAAUAUAUAUAAAUAUUUCUUGAAAUUUUAAAAUCUUUUUUCAUUCUUUUAAUGUCCUCAAAUUUUGGAUUGAAAAUUAUUUUAGAGUACGAUGACAACCACUAGUACAUACACUAUGAUAUUGCUUUUGAUUACACAAUAUUAAUUCCUAUCAUAUUUGGAUCUGUAACAAAAUACUAAAACUUAAGCAGGUUCUCUUUUUUUUUAAAGAGUUACUGUCAGACAAGUUUCAUUAAUCCCUUCUUCACUUCUUCUCUCUCAGUACGGCAUACUGACAGGAUAUACUUGCAGACAGAUAUAUUAAAACUUAAGGCUGCUGCAAAAGCAAACCUGUUGGCAAAGCAUCUUAUCCUGUUUGCUUUAGCAUAAAGCAACUGCCAGAUGCCGAUGAUCUCCUCUAAAUUCGACACACAACUUCGCGUAAGGAAUAUAUAGACUGGACUGGAUGGCUGCCUUAUCACAGAAUCUAAAACUUUUUGGAUGUAAAAGACAAUGGAAAACGAACCCUUCUUUUGAAUUCUCUAACUAUUAUCCUAUUCAAGCAUGAAAUUCCCAUGAUCUAUCAAUUUUAUAUUAGACUUAAAAAAAAAAAAAACUUUUCUUGCUUAUUUAUUUAAUAAAGAGUUUUAUUUUCAGUUGUCAAUUUAUAUGAAUAGAUCAUUGUAGUGAUGGGAAGCAAUAUCAUUUAAAAGAUGAAUUUAUUUUCACCAUCUUUUAAAUCCAUUAGUAAAAAAUGAAAAAUUGAGUUUUUAACUAAUGUCGUUGAUGAAAAUAAAACAUUGGGUAAAGGAUAUGGACUAAUAAUGAAAUUUUAUUUACAGUGUAUAAUAGAAAUCAUGAUUGACAAAAGUAAAAAAGAAAUAUUUGGUAGCAAAUUGUUGAUGAACAAAAACAUCAAUUGACGCAACGAGUUAGCAUAAAAACAAAAACUAGUACUCGACAAAGCUUUUAAAAUUGAUAAUCAAAUUUCAAACACAAAAACUUACACUCAAAAUUUGAAAAUAAAUAUAAUAUCAUUUAAUAAUUCAAAAAAAAAUAAAUUAAGUAUAAAAACUAAAACUAAGAAUGCUAUUUAUAAUAACCUAAUCUUACUUGACUUAAAUUUGAAAUACAAGUAAAAUAAAUUAAAAUAAAAAAGUAUGUUACCUUAGACUUUCUUAAAGUACAAGAAAAGUAAAUUCCUAAACCUAUAUUUACUUAUCAUCCAAGUAAAACAAAAUAAAACAAAAACUCUAAAUAUUAAAUACUAAAUAAAAAAUAUUAAAUGUUAAAAUUACUUAUCUACAUCAUCAAUGCAAAACUAUUUUCAUUUUAGGACGAUCAAUUUGGCUUCAACUUUCCUUUUUUUUAAAAAAGGCUUAUUUUAUUCAUCCAAAGAAAGGAGUCCUGCUGCAAAACAAACAAGCUGCUAGGAAAAAUCAAAGGAAAGGAACAACCGAAGUUUACAAAACACAGAACAUUGAACCGAAACAGAAUGUUGCAAAAGGUGGCAAAGAGCUGAUAUUGCAAAAUAGUGGCAAAUUGGAUGUAGGACAAUGGACUUCCCCUUGAGAUCAUCAUAGCCCAUUGAACCAAGUACCAACUGAUCUGUUUAUCUGGGACAGUUGCAAAAUAGCAGACCACACUUGAUGAGAAAAAGGACAGGAGAAGAAUUUAUGUUCUCUGCAUUCUGAACUCUGGAGCCUAACCACUGAAAAAACGACUUGUAUCAGAGAUUGAACACUGUUUCAGGAGCUAAUUCUCUGUAGAGAAUAGGUAAUCUGUCCAGAAUUGUCAUCCAAGCAAUGAGAGUGUCUUGUAAUAUGGUAUGGAAACCGGAUAAUUUUGUGCGAAGUCACCUUUGACAGUGUGUGCCUAAUCUCCUCCCAAGAAUUAACUAGCAAUUGUAAAAGUGCCAAAAGCAGUGCUUGCCUAAUUAGCUAUCCAAAAAAAAAAAAAAAUCCAAAGUAACAAUUUGAAAGCUAUUAGAUUAAUGAAUGAAAGGAAAUAAAUCAAUAAGAAUGUAGGCAAGAUUUUUGUACUUUAUUGUGAGAAAUUUUCUCCUGGUUCUUCCGUGUACGGAGGCAGUACAUUCGGUUGAUACCAACGAUACCAAUAUAUAUCUUUGCUGGAAUGCCUGUUUAUUGCAUCUUCGAUUCCUUGGAUUGUGGUAGUACUUUUCUUCGUAUCUUUCUGAACAAGUUGGAAUGCCUUUAAAACCAAUUAAUUAGAAUGAGACAAUGAGAAGAAGUGUGUUAAUUCUAAUGUUAGUAAUCAAUAAGAAAAAUUAAAUACGUACAAAUAAUGAACUAGCCUUUCUAUAAUUAGAAUGUACUCAAAGCUGUCAUGUUUUUAAUUAUUUAAUAAAUAAAGGAAAAAAAAAAUUAGCUAUAGGGUAAAAAGUGUGGAUGGAUACCUCUGUUUUGGCGUGAACACAAAGAUUUGAAUCAACUGUAAAAGUUGAAGCCAUCUUGGGACAUUCUUCUAUUGUUAAGGACCGUAAGGAUUGGAAUAUAAAAUGAUAACCCUCAGGGGUGGAGCUCAAGAUGCUUGGCAAAUUCCCAAGGAAUAGUACUUCUAAGUGAGGGAGGACCAUCUUCUUCUCCUUCCCAUCUUUGGUGCUUGCUUCACCUUCAUGUCCAAAUAAAUGCUCCAAUUCAAAGGCCUCUUGAAUUAUGAGAUAUCUGAGUUUUGAAAGAUAACCAACAAAACUAGCAGGAAAUAGGCGUUUCAAGUUUUUGCACUUUCCAAUUUGCAACCUGAUCAGAUUGGGGAAACAUACUUCGAGAUGAACUUGUGAUGAUGAAAUUUGAUCCUCGGUAAUGAUUUGCUGCAGUGCUUCGCAUUCCCAAAUCUUCAGAUAUUUCAGGUGCAACAAAUUCUGAGCAAUCGUAGGUGAAAAAACAUGUCUCAGUCUCCUGCAACCGAUGACCUUCAAUUUAAUAAGAUUUCCAAGGGUUACAUACUGGAGAGGAUCCUUCCAUAUAAUGCACAAUUCAGGUAGAGUCUCCAAUCGCAGUACCCUUAAACUUGAAUGAGUAUGUCCACCUUGAGCCUGACACGUCCUCUCAUGAUUCCGAGCAGAAAAGUAUUCCAAAUUUGGUGACUCUUGUCCCAAAUCAGGGACAAUAGUGGCACACUGCUGGUUCUUAUUUCUGAUAUUAAAGAGGCAAAACUCCUGUGAAUACAUAAUAAACCCAGUAUCAUUAUAUAUGUAUUCCUACCAAAAUAAAAAUCUUUAGGCUAAUGUCUAUGAAUUUUGUUUUGAAACCUGUACAACAAUUCUAAUGUCUAUGAUCAAAAUGAGCAAACUAUUCUGAUCUCCUUAGAUAGGCUUUGGCUAUUAUCAUCAUCAACAAUAAUAAAAAAAAAAACAAUAAAGAAUUAGAAGAAUGCCUAUUGGAUACCUUCGUUUGGGCAUGCAUCGAAGAUUCUGAAUCAACAAGAAAACUUGUAGCGAUCUUCAAACAUUCUUUUACUUCCAAGUAUUCCAACGUUGGGAGCACAAAAUGAUAACACUCCGGUAUGAACCUUGUGAGGCUAGGUAGCCUUUUAAGGAAUAACCGUUUCAGUUGAGGAAGUAACAUCUCUUUCUCAUCUUUGAGGUCUGUCUCAUCUUCAUGUCCAAAUAUUUGCUCUAAUUUACAAGCUCCUUCUACUUUGAACUCUUCGAGUUUGAGAAGGCAAUGAGCAACAAUAAUAGGGAAGAGAGUUUUCAAGCUGUUGCAACCUAUGAUCCAUAUUUUUCUUAAAUUAGGGAAGCUUGUAGGUUGAAGAGGAACAUUUGAUGUCGAUGUUGAACUUUGGCCCUCAUAAAUUAUUUGCUCUAAUGCCUGACAUCCCUUCACACACAGGAAGCUCAAAUUUGAUAAAUGUUGGGCGAGCAUAGGUGGAAAAACGUAUCUCAAGCUCUUGCAGUCAAUCAACAUCAAAAUUGUGAGAUUUUGAAGGCUUGCUAAUUCAGUGGGACCUUUCCAUAUAACCUGUAACUCAGAUAAGUCCUCUAAGUGUAGUGCCUUUAGAUUGAGAAGGAGGUAUC
rnacentral:lncRNA from 1 species